CAUUUGCCCCGUUUGAUUGCAAUCAUCGUCAAUAGCCUACACAUUUACUCAAUAUAUGUCUAAAGGAUAAUACUUUCACUUCUUUAAACCAAAACCAACAAGGCAAACACACAAAACCAAAAUCUUUAAAACUAAAAGAAAAUAGAUUUAAGAAAAACCUGCUUGCCAAGAAUGAGAAGGCCAGGCUUCUCAACCUCCACGAGGGCUCUCAAAAGCUUAGCAACAGACAAAGGGUACAGAGGACCACUAGUCUCCACAUGAAUGCCCCUAUCAGCUCCCAUAGCAAGGCCUGUCCUGAGCGUAUCGACGCACUGCUUUAGACCCAUGGUGACGGCCACGACCUCCGAGGCCAUGCCCGCCUCUUUGAUCCGAAGGGCCUCCUCCAAAGCAAUCUCGCAGAAUGGGUUCAUUGACAUCUUCACGUUCUGGGUCUCCACGCCGCUCUGUGAAACAAAACGAAAUGAAACUGUUCGAUUAGAAAGACAUGAUUUUGAAAUGAAUUACGAACUGGGUUUGUGUUGGAUUGGCCUUGCCUUAUCGGAUUUGACUCGGAUUUUGACGGCGUAGUCGACGACCCGCUUUAUCGCCACCAUUAUCUUCAUGGUUUCUUUCUUCUGCUCGGUCUGCUUGCCAAGAAUGGUGAUUGGAAUUGGAUAAUCCGGUGUGAGAAGAAGAGUGAGGAGAGAGAGUUGGAAACGGCAUUGGCAUUGCUGAGCUAGCAGCUACUACUAGUAGAUAAAUGGUGCCCGCAACUUUCCUAGUAUAAUAAGCUCGCAUUUUAUAUGUGACCAAAUAAAUAAAUGAAAAGCUCUCAUUUUGUAUUUUCUUUUGUUUUCUUCUUCACUAUUUGAAUCCGAAGACAAAUGGAAAAUCCACACGUAUUAAUUUUUUCUUUCGUCGAAAAAUUCACAUGCAUUAUAACAGCAAAAAAUCCCGACCAGGAAAAUAUAAUACAAGAAAAUAUGUACUAUCAUAAAUAUUACAUACUCAGCUAAUUGAGUGUAAAGAGGCCGACUUAUUGUCAUGAUCAACUGAUCUAACUUACAUAUACGCAUAAGUAAUUUAGUUAAAUGAACUUGAUGGUGUUUUAGGUGGUGCUCAUGUUGCCCUAUUUAAUAAUUAUGUUGUAACCCGAUAUCUGAGGUCUAGACCCGUUACUUUUUAUGGCUCAUUCAUGCGUGUGCCCAAGCCCAAGCCCAAGCCCAAGCCCAUUUACUUGUGCUGUCGGCCUCAUCCGUGUUGUGUCCAUGUUGUGUUUGAGCCUGUGUUGAUCACCUCUCUCUUUAUAAUCUCUAAUCACAGACAAAUCUAAUGAAGCCCCACACAUGUCUCAUAUUCCCAGGCAAUAGAUCCAAACCCAUACACACAGAACAUGGCUCUUAGGAAAGCGGCGUUGUUGGCGACCAUCAAUCUUUUUUUGGUAUAGAAAAGUUUAGAGGAGGGGAGGCUAUCCAUCUUAAGGUCAGGGCAUCUAAGGUUUUUUUUUUAGGAUUUUCAAAGGGGAUUUUAGCUCAUUUUUUGGUUUUUACAAAUUAUCCACUUAAAGGGAUUGUCGACAGUGGGACUCGAACUUAUGUCUGAAUAACGAAGAAAACUAUUCAUACCAACUCAACCAAUCCUGUGAGUUACCAUCAGUCUUUUCACGCACACAGUGCCUACUGUUUUAUGAUUCUAUUCUAUUCUAACUCUACAGAAACUAGUCUUUUUGUUUUUGCCAGCUGAUGGAAAAUCUAUAUACUCAGUGAGAAACCAACAGUGGAUUUCAGGGAUGUGAACCCAAAAUACAGCUUUAUGAAACUUUUGUUUGGAGCAUAUUCGAAGGCAGUGAGACAUCAAAACCUGUUCUUGACACCUUACCCAAUCCAACCUCUUGCAACAGUCUUGCACAUUAAUUAGAGAACUAUGCAGGAUUUUGAUAUGAGAUUUGACUUCUGUAGCAACUAUUGAUUGUCGAGAAAAUUAGAAUGCAGAGACUCAAAGGGGAAGAAUAAAAUAAUUCAUUCAGGAUGAACUGGUUUUCUUUUUUGAGUAAAUAAUUGUAGUAUUUGGCGCAGUCCAUCCACUGAAAACUGACUCUAGUAUUUAUUUAUAGAGUUUGUCCGUGACUCAAAUUGUAUGCCAGAAGACACAAAGCACAAGUAUAUAAACAUAGUUGUCAGAAUAGUAAUAGUAAGUAGCUAACUACUGUUCCUGCAUAUCAAAUUGGACCAAUCCCAAUAGCCCUCACUUGAAUGAACUCUGUGGCUUUCCUUUUUGCUAAAGGAAUUGACCCUUGCUUUGUAGAAAACUUCUCUAUCACCUGUAUACAAAGUGUUUAUUACCUGUUAAUCAUGUAACGAGAGAUAUCGACAUAUAAUUAUAUCCAUCACGACUUGCACUUAUUUUCUCAUUUAUUUAACUUUGUACCCAUUAUAAGUUGAGAUUGAACUUUGGCAAAGCAAAAGUGAUGAUAAGACAAUUAUAUACACUCUCACAAUUAGAGCUAUUACGUGCCACUAAUCUCGCCUCAUUGAAGAUUUUCUCGUCACAAAAGUGCAGUGUAUUGAUUUAGUGAAUAUUUUGACACAAACCUAAUUUCAAAAAAAUAAAUCACUAUCUCAUUUUCGUGUAUGAUUGGAGAUAUCAUUUGAUUUCUAGGUAAGUAGGUUAAUAUUCCAGACUGGAAAAUAGUUGGCAUCAUUGAGAGAAGAACCUCACCAAACCAUACAUAUGAACAAACCAUAUAUACUUCCCUUCUACCAGCAUUAGCAUUAUUGAUGAUCACACAUGAAGGCACUUAAUUAUAUGAUUGUUUCAAAUUGAAGAGGACCCAUAUCUGCCAACCUAAUCAAAUGGAAAGGGACCUUCCCCCUUUUACACGCUUUGUAAUCUUUGGAUUCUGCUAGUUGGUCUACACAAAGGGGCCUCCUCCAUGCUAAAUUCCUUUUUCUUUCCUUUAAAAAUAAUUUGAUUCUUGUGGUUGGUCUGUCUUUCUCUGAUCAGCAACAAUGAAAUUCACAAUUAUUCAAUUCAAUAUAGGUGGGUGGGAAAAAGGAUCAUUUGAAAAAAUAAUAAUAAUAUUGAAAAAAAAAAAGGAAUAAAAAGUGGUAAUUUCAGCAAUGAUGCCCAAUCCCACCACAUAAACCAAAAAGAAAUUCCAGUAGAGCUCUAUGGUUUCAAAUUUUAAUUGAAUAUGGUUAUAUGACAUUAACAAAUCCUUUAAUCUCUCAAUAAUACAUCUAAAAUCUCUAUCUCACAAAAAAACACUAAAAACUUGCAAAAUCCCAAGAAGAAAAAAAGAAGGCAGACUAGAAGGAAAAAAAAAAACUUGGCCUAUGUCUCCAAAUAAACAGGAAGAAUUGCACUCCUAGAUCCCCUACCAUUUCCAAAAGAAAAGAAAGAUCUUCUAACCCUACCACUACUACUACAACCUUCAAUGGGACUCAUCUCACUGACUUGCCUGUGCUGCUGCUGCUGCUGCUGCUGCUGCACAGCCUCUUGAACUGCCAAAUAGAGCUGCCUAUCAGCUGAAGAGUCCAUUGAGAAAGACCUCCUUAUGGGUUGGAUUGAGAACUGCUCAUCUUUGCCUCUAAUGUCAAUACAUUCAUCCCCCAUGCUUGUAACCUUGUUGUGAAACUUUCUUGCUAAUUUCUUGGGCACACUUCUGUUUUCCAAUUUCCUUGGUGAAGGGCUAAUAGAAAUCACUGACGCCUCCCCUGAAUUCAGUCUUUCUUGCCUCCCAAGCAUUGUUUGCUCCAUCGAAUUAUCGUUACUCAAUUCGAUCACCACGUAGUCUUCAUCACCGCCACUUAGGCUACCUGCAUAUGGACUUGGAUCUUGGGGUGAAGAGCUUGGAGCAACAAUUCGAUCGAAUGGAAACCGGGUUGUGGUCGAAAUGCUUGUUCUGCAAAGUGGGCAAUUGGCAUUGCUUUGAAGCCAAACAUCAAUGCAAUCAAUGUGAAAAAUGUGGCUGCAAUUUGGUAUGAUCCUCAGCUUCUCAUCUUCUUGGAACUCAUUCAAGCAAACUGCACACUCACAAAAGCUUCCCUCUUCAAAUCCUCUGUUCCUAUCUUUCUUGAAUUGCAACAAUGGGAUUGAUCUGAUCACAGCCUCAUCAAGCCCUCGAGUCUCUAACCCGGGAGAGUAGGCCAUUAGCUGCUCUUCAUCGCGCCUAUUUCGCGAUAAUGAGAAUCGUCUGAGAAGAUCAACACGGUGCCAAUUAAGGCAGCAUUUGAUCACAAAGAUGUAGUAGCUCACAAGCAAGAAAGCUGUGGCUAUAAUUCCUAUUAUGGCAAUGGCUAUAAUGGGGAAACUUGUGUCUGAAUGAUGAACAGGAGCCCCAAAGAUUGUCCUUCCUGGACUUGUUGUUGGAGGAAGAGCUUGUGACAAAUGGAUCAAGUAGCUUUUGCUUACAAGAUCCAUGAAAAUGGAGGCUCCUAUGACCAAUAAAAACUACUUGGGUUUUCUUAGAUCUUGAAACUUGUACAACAAAAAUAUGCAGACAGAGAGAAAAUACACAGAACCAUGAAACUCGCAAGAAGUGAGAUGAAUUAAUGCUUGAUUAGCAAAGAUCUAUACUAGAGAGAAAACCCAGUUUGGGGACUGAGUUGGAGAAGGUAGAUUUGGAAAGGUGGAUAUGAAAUCAAAUGGAAGAAUGAGCUAGAAGCAUUGAGAAGAGAGGAAAAAGAAGGAAAACCCAGGUGGGAAUUAAUGAAAGUGAUGUUGAGAAGACAUGAAUGGGGCUUGAAAUUCAAUGAAAAUGUGCUCUGCUCAACUUUUUCUUUUUAUGGUCUGAGUCUUUGGCUCAGAAUGCUUACGUAGUUGGUGAAUUUAGAAAAUUGCUUAAGUGUCAAGUGUCUCUCGAUAAUUGUACAUUUUGUUAUUAAAUUUUGUACAUUUUUUUAUUUAAUUAAUAUUACAGAAACGUAUGGCAGUAUGGUUAUUAUAUAUAUAUAUAUAUAUAUAUAUAUAUAUAUAAAGGAGGUUGUAUAGAAUGGACAGCUCCCCACCAUGACUCAUAUAGGGGUAUUGCAUGUUUCUUUUUUCUUUGAUAUAAGCGACAUUAAGUGGGGUGAGUCGAAAACUGAACUUUCAUGAUAUUUUAGUUGUUUGUGUGUGUAUGAGAAACUUUCUCUUCUAUAGUUUAAACUGUCGCUUACAAUAAAUAAAAAAUUGAGUUUGACGAUAAAAAAUUACUUAUUAAAUAAAAACCAAAGAGAAAAAGAAAGAAAAGAAGGGCAAAACCUUGACUUUCAACAUUGUCAUCCAUAAUCAAUCAUAAUCAAUCAUAAAACAAAAAGUCUCAUACCCACAUGCAACCCACCAUUGAAUUUGUUGACCAGAGGCCUAGGCCGUUUGAUUAAAGGGCAAUCAAGUAGAUUCCAUGCAUGUCUGAGUUUGCUUCCACACUGUAUAUGUUUCACCCCGCUAUACCAAUUUGAAAAAGCUUUCUCCAAAAGUAGUAUAGGCUAAAAAAGCUUUUUUUUUUUCUUUAAAUAAAGAUCUUUUAUCUUCUUCUUUACAUGGAGAAGUCAAAUCCAUGUACAGUAACAGUAGAGACCGACAAGAAAAAAAAAAAAAACAGAACCGACACCUUCCAUGCUUGCAGUGUUGACAAAACUGUAGCCUCUAGGCAAGAAAGAGGGAAGCAAGAGGCACUCUUUUUUCAAAAAGUGCUUCUUCAUAGUCAAAUGUUGAGGCAUCUGCCAAAGAAACUUAGCCCAACUGUUUUCCCCAAAAUUUCCAAACAAUGCCAACCUUUUGUUCACAUCAAGAUCACGAUCACCUAACGUUUUAAUUAGAAUGUAAAAGCCAAAAGCUACAAGCCUCUAUAUUUCAUAGUAACGGCCAAAUCUAUGUACAUUUUGUCAACCAAUCGUUCAAACAAGUUGAUGGGCCAAUGGUUCAUUGGUGAAUGUGUUGUAUUUCAUUGGCUGUUAUUUUUAGAAGAUUUUGCACAUAAUUUUGCAGCUUUUUUUUUUGAUGAAGUCCAAACAGCAUUUAUUGCAUUUGACGAAUUGAUUGGAAAUAUACCAACUUCCAACUUUCAAGCCCUAGAGAUGCAAAAGACCAGGGUGCACUCAACUCAUCAUGUACCUCGACAUCACAAAUCUGGAAGGGAGUGUUUUCGUAUUUUGUAGGAAAAUUAAAUGCUGGUUACCAAUGCAUCAAACUUGUAUUUGUGUAGGGGGACAUACAUAGAUUCCAAAUGAUUCUUUUCAACUCAUAAUAUCACACCGUAUUUAAUCAUUUCAAAAAUAUUGUAUUUAGUAUUUUCAUGAUUUUUCAAACAAAAAUGCAAUUAUAUUGUCAAUAAUAAUUUUAUUUAUUUCAGCGUUUAAGAUUAUUUGUUCUUAACAUUAUAAUGUACUUAUAGCUCACACGAAAUAUAUUAAUAGUAAAAGUUGAACAUAAGAAGAGCAGUAAAUUGAUUACAUGUUUUCAUCUACACAAUGAAAAGUGGGUGGUAAGUUUUCGUCGAUGUGGAAAACAAAAAUUCACUAUACGUAUACGUUUGUUUCUCAUAUCAUCCAAUUGUGAACCAGUAAUAUCACUUGUUAUUUCUUACGAUGAUGUUGUGCACUAUUCUAGUUUCCUUUCAUUUAACGAUGUCAACUUGGAAGUUCUAGCUUGGUCUCCAAGUUUGCUGGCCUAGAUUUGACCAUCAAACAGUGUUGCACAACGUACGAAUUAAACAUAUUACAAAUACACAGUUGAACAGUUCAUUUCCUACCUAAAAGCCUUAUUAAGCGAUCAAAUGGUUGGCAUAAGCAUACAUGGUAGUUGCCAGUUGGCAAUUGUUGGACCGUUGAUGAAGCAUACCUAAAUUAUAUUCUACAAUUCAACUAAAUAAAAAUAAAAGUGCCCCCAAGAUAUUGUGAUAUUUCAAUAAAUGUACAUUGUACGAAUUAAAAAAUAAAAUAAAACUGGGAAAAAUAAUUGAAAUGAGUCACACAUCAGUUAAAAGCACAUGGAACUUGGGAGAUGGCAACAGCUGUUGAUAAAAGCAGUUUUUCUUGGAGAAUGAGUAACAGACGUCAGGAGCAGGAGCAGUCAGGAGAUGUGAAAAAUCCUUAAUGUUUUCAGCCAGAGGUGUACCUGCUUGUCUGUUGACUCGGCCUCAGUGUCUUCUCUUCUGUUCAAAUCAAAUGGUUUCAUAUAUUUAUUUGUCACAAUUUGUUUCAUCCAGUAGGGUAUGAAUUAUGCAAAUAAUUUAUCGUUUAAUUCGCAUACAUUUUUAGCAAUUUUUUUUUUUAAAAAAACAAUGGCUUAAGGUGUUUUAAUACUACUUGUUCAAGUAAAUAGGCAUGUCAUCAUAUGAUCAAAUGGAUGUCCCUCUGUCCAGUUGUAUUAAACUUAUUUUAAUAGUUCUAGAAGGAUCGAUUAUUUUGUUAUCUUCUCUUUGUUAUUAGAAACUACAUGUAGGAUGUAGGAAUUGUUCGCAUCCUAUUUCUCAUAGAUUAGAUUAAUUUAGAGAUAAUCGCUCGUAUAAAAAACAAAAACUAUAUAUAUAGGAGCUUAAUUCUUAUUUGUACAAGAAUUAGGAAGAAGCUAAAAACCGUUUUUUAGUCGUAAAAAGUUAAAAAAUUAGAGAUAGAAAAACGUAAGUAAAACGUUGAAAUUUGGUGAUACAUUUUUCUUCUUUAUUACUUUGUUCGGCUUUGACUUCUACUCUUGUCCUACACAAAGAAGAAGAAAAAGAAACAUUGUCAUGUGGGUUUUGUUAGGGGGAAAAAAAGAAAAGGAAGAAGAAGAAGAAGAAAAUUGGUAAAUUAACUUGGUGUAUGAUUCUAUCACAUGGGUGCAAUCACGUGACUGCAUGAGGCUCUGUAGUUUUUUCUUACAUUUCCACCCAAAAGAUUAUACAAUGGCAUUUACUCAAAAACAAAAACAAAAACAAAACAAAACAAAAUAUUAAACCCUAUGUUGUGCACGUGUCAACACGUGCCUUGGAACCGUCCAAUCAAAAAAUAGACAAAAUUAAGCAUCUUCGUUCUGGUGUGAAAAUCUUGGUGUAGUUUAAUUUGAAUAUUUAUUUAUUUUGGAUAAAGUUGAACUGCAGAUAUAAGCAGGCGUAAAUUAAUUAUUGAAAUAGAUUGACUGACUUUGUUAAUUACAAUCGUACAUCUCUCAUCAGCACAAUCCUGGUCAAAUGUUGACAAGAUUCAUUCAGCAUGUUCCUUCUCCAGUGAAAACUUAUAUUUAUAGGUUUACUUUUUUUUAAUUAUUUUUUUGGGAUGAAUUGCGUAGACUUGAAUUGUUGAACUGAUUGACUAACUUUGUUAAUUACAAUAUCUAGGAGAUUCUUCUUGGUUAUUUGUAAUUAACUAACAAUCAUCAAGUGUACAUAAGAGGGGCUUUGAUUAAUCAUAGUCUAGAGUUCUGAUUUUGGUGAACAAAUUUGUUGAGUCGGGGUCAGGUGUGUUGUCCCCUCAUUGUAAUUCUUCGUUUUAUCAAUAAAAUUUCUCUCGUUCCAUCGAAGUUCUCUAAAAAAAUAAUAAUAAGAGGGGCUUUGACUAAUCAUAGUUUAGAAUUCUGGUUUUGGUGAGCAAAUUUGCAUAUGAAUUACCAAAACAACAACUUUUAUGGUAUAAUUAGUAUGCAUUGAGAUAAUAAUUGGAGUUUUCAAAAAUGAACUCAUAUGAUUAACAGAAUAUGGUUCAUUAAUUACUCACAAGCUUAUUCUACAAAACCCAAUUAUUGAGAGGGAAAGGGGUAUGCAAAAAGAUAGAUAACUGUGACAUUGUUUUGUUCGUUUUCUGUUGGUAGUAGGUACCGCACUUCCUUUGUCUUUGUAUAAUUUUUGUGGGUCAAUGAAUGUUGUAUUAGUAUCCUAAGUCUUUGGAUAGAUCUGAGCUCAGCCCAAUUUUAACACUUGGGCAUCUGGAAACGAAGCCCAAAAUAAAACCCAGAUCCACAACUAUAGAAAAUCACAAUGGACUUUAGCUUCCAAUGUUGGGGUAAUAAGCUGGAGAUUCCAUAGUGUGGGGCAAAAUAGUAACAGUGAAACUUACAUACAUCGGGUUGAUAUAAUAGUUGUGUUUACAACAUUUGUCUAGUGAUUAGGUUAAGUGUUGUGUACUCUUGUUACAAGAUCUAGCACAAUGAAAAAGAGUCUUGACUUGCAGACCAAUGAUCUCAGGUUUUAAAUCCUGAACUGCCAAUUUUUCGUUCUAAAUGCCUAAGUGAAGGGAAAAUUGGGUGUAGAGAUUUCUAAAAUCCCAUAAAGCUAUGAAGGAACAAAUCAUAUAGCCUAUGCAUAUCAUAUAUGAAAUCAAAUAAAGCGGAAACAAGAAAAUAGCUAGAGAUUCAUACUAGUCUCUACUUAGGUCCCAAUUUUUAUAGGUCUAUGACAGUUUGCACCAUUGACACCAAUAUCCCAUAUUAAAGAGAAAGUAGAAAGUGAGGUUACCUUUGGAGCAUAUCUUGAAUCUCAAAAUGAUAUUCAAGUAGAGGGAGUUGUCCCUUAAUUGUUGAUUCUCCACCUUGGUCUCGAAAUAGGCACAAAAGAGGUUAUGCUUCCCCAAAGUAUCUUCACCAAGGUAGAAUGAGAAUGAGAGAAUAAGGAACCAAGAGAAGAAAAUGGGUGCUAGUCUUUUAUUCCCUAUGGUGGCCGGCCAAGUGAGACUAGGGAGGAUGCUUGAUGUCUUCCUCUCUUCCUAAAUGCCUAACUUGAAACCCUAAGGAGGUUUGAUGUUAUGUGUAUGAAUUUAUAGAGACAUUUUGUCACACAUAUGUCCCCGAAAACCCCCAUGUACCGCAUCCUCCCUCUUCUUGGUCUUUUUGGGCUACUUUGGUCCACCACAUUAAUCCCUUAGAGCACUUCCACCCCUAUGGGCAAGGGCAAGGUAAGGGCUCUCACUAUUCACGUGAAUAGUGGCAGCCCUUGCAAUUUUGUUUUCACCCCAAUGAGUAAGGGCAAUUACUAUUCACUUUAAUUUAUUUUCUAUUUUUUAUACUUAAACUUUAAAAAUUAAUUUUAUUAUUUAAAAUUUAUAGAAAAAAAAAAUAUAGAAUUUUUUGGUAUUUUUUUUUCAAUUUUUAUUACAUAAAAAAUGGCAGUCAUUGGAUUGUAGUGAAAAAUUUGAUAGGACGCCCCGGGUGCUGCCACGUGUCUUGUGGCAGUGGCAAACAAAUUUGAAAAGCGUGCUAACGCCACGACGUCAGCAAACCUAAGCAACCACACGGGCUGGAUCUACCUUUGGGCUUGCCCAGGUUGGUGGCCCCACGUCUUACUCGGGAUGCUUUGUGCGCGCCAGAGUCAUCUCACAGGCCUAGGGCCCCUCCUGCUCGGGCCAAACUGUUGCGGUGAACUUGCUCUUAAUAUGUCAUAUUUUGCCUAAGUCCAUAAGGUCCAUUCUUAUAAAUAUUUAAGUUAUAUAGGACUAAAAUUAAGUUCCAUAACUUUAAUUAAUUCAUUUAAGCUAAUCUAAUUUGUUUAAUUGAUUUGAUGACUUAAUCAAUUAAAUCAUUGUCUUGUCUAACAAACAUUGGUCCUUGUCAAGCAUUGGUCCUAGACUGCUUUCCGUUCUUAUCUUUAUUCAUUGACUUGAAACACAAAGACCGGAUUAGGUCGACCAAUUCGAUCCAAUUAACUGUUGAAAUUCAAAAAAAUAAAAUAAAAAAUUGAACUAAACUACUUAAACCGGUCUUAUUCGGUCGAUUUGGUUAGGUUUUCGUUAUAAAUGUCAUCCUAAUAAAAGGUGUACACUCCUAAAUAUACAAAAAAAGAAGUGUACGGACCAUAAUUAUUAUGUCUACUAGACUGGAUUUUGUCAUUUGCCUAUUGGGCCCUCGUAAGUUAUGAUUGAUUUCGCCAUCCAAUUACCCCAACCCUAAAUGUCCCAAACAUUCUAUUCUCUAGUACUAUAUAUGUAGCACUUUAAUAACAUAAUUUCUCUCUCUCUUUUCCUAACAGUGCACACUCACUCAGUACCAUAUACAUUGUCCAAGUGCUGAUCAUAAUCUGAGUGGAAACAACAGUAAAUCUAGAUGAAGAAUUCGUCAAAAGCAAACACACCUAGAGAUAUUCUACAAAUGCUUUUUUCUUUCGAGUAAUAAAAUUUCUCCGGUGAGCUGCGGUUCACAAAAAGAAAUAUGAAAAAGAUGCAAAGGGAUUUGCAUAAUUUUCCUGUUGCAAAGUCACAUUUUAAUUAAACCUCUGUUUUUCUUUCUUCUGGUCAUAAGUGUAGGAUAUCAAAUACACAGAAAAUUUGGCAGGCGAAUAGCCACACAAACAGACAAACAAAAAGCCACAAGCGAAAUCAGAAACAUCAUGAUUGAAAUCUAAAAUUGAAUGCUGAUGAAAUGAAAACGAAGGGCGGAUGGCUUGGCUUCUGUCCUUUUGUGCCAACGUGUGCAGUCACAAGCAUUGUAUCUUCAGUGUUGCUUCGAGAUCACGACAUAAUAUUUAAAUGGCCAUCGGAUCGAUAAGAUGCUUUUCUUUGCAUGGCUAACUAACCUAUUUGGUCCUCUUCUUCUCGCUAGCCUUAAUGGAAUUUGGACAGAAAUUCUGAUGCUACACUGAGAAAGAAUCAAAUCCAAAACGCAAAAAUAGGAAUUUGGAGAACUUUGCAUUGAAUUCAAUGUUUGGCAAAGCACAGCGCCAAUAUUUAAUAUGAAUGGCAAAUCUAAUCCCGGCCAACAAAUCUAAACCCCCAAAAAUCAAAUAUUGACUCAAUCCUUUUUAACUAAUGAAACUAUACCAAAAGAAUUUAGAAAAUUAAAAUUAUGACUUAUUUGGAAAUGCAUAAGCACUCCUAUUCAUAAGUACUUUUUUAAAGGCGCUUCUAUUAGAAGAACGUCAAAAAUUUUAUUUAAACUACAAAUGAGCAAUUGUAAGUGAUAUGGAGAAGUAUCGAGAAGUGAUUCCUAAAGAAUCACAUGCCUCUUCAAAAAAUGCUUUGUGGUCCAUAAGCACUUAUAAGUUUUUCUAUCAAACUCUAUUAGAAGUCAAAGAAUUUCCAAACAGACCCUUAAUUUAGAUAAUGUACAUCGUUUCUUUAUAGGGAUAUUGUUGUUUGCACAACAAAAAAAAAAGCCACUUGCAUUGCUAAAAUGCACGGAGAAGUACAUCAAACUAUCAUAUCCUUGCUUGAAUUCUUUUUUUUAGUACCUUUACUGGACAUUUCUAAAUAAUAAGCUCUAGUUGUGGUGGAACAUGACAAAAUGAUACUCAAGUUGGACCUAAGUCAAAUACCUCACCAUUACAUCACCAUACUCAUUUACAAAGUGUUUCAUACGUGUGAUAUUGAAGCACCAAUGAGGCGGUUCUGGGGUGGUGUAAGUAGUGCCAUCGUACAGAGCUCCCAAUUUUUAAGGGCCCUCGAAAUUUUGUUUUCUUUAUAUUAUACAUUAUUAAUAUUAUAACAAUCGUAUGUAUAUACUCUAACGUGCUACAUAUUGACAGAAAAGCAUUUGUAGUGGAGCUGGCUUUCCAGCGAAAAAAGGGAAAUAUCAAACUUUAACUAACCAGCAACAAUAUAUAUCCCCCAAAAUGAUUCCUCCUCCCUCCGAGCAUGCUAAUUCAUCAUAAAUUAGCACGAUAGAGUAUAUAUAUGAUAGUUAUAAUUAUUAUAUAUGAUCGUUUUGGGGUUAUACAACAAUCAUAUAUUUUUUUUUAAAUUUGAUUUCUAAUUUUCAUUACAUGCUAAUUUAUGAUGAAUUUUAGUUAUAAAAAAAUUAUUUUAUAACAUUAGGUUAUGAAUAUUUUUAAAAAAUAAUUUCCUAUUUAAGUUUCGCACACGACUCUUUUUACUUUUCCUUUGAGAUGUAAAUAUAUGUACCGACCUAUAUUUCCCCUUUGCCCUUUCUUGUCCUAAUCGCAUUAUUAAGCCUUUGAUGAAUGAAACAACCACAAACAAAACCAAAAGUUUGAGAAUACGAAAAAGGACUCCUUGACCCUAAAGCCAUCACCUUGACCAUCCGGAUACAUUGGAUUCAUGGCUAAUAUAUGCAUGGUCAUUAUGGAAGCUUCCGUCAACACGUGGGAACAAUUUCUCAGCCAGACUUUUUGACACGUGGCUAUUUGUGGCCCCUCCUUAAAUUUCAUAAUAAUAGCCUACAUGUGCUUUUUGAACCCAUAUAAAAUGCUGUUGCCCAACACUUAGUUUGGCCAUGCAAAACUACAUCAUAUAUGGACUCCAGAGGAAAGGUCAUGGAAGAGAAGGAAGGCGGAGAGGUUCGAUACCGGGGCGUGCGGAAGCGGCCGUGGGGCAAGUAUGCCGCUGAGAUUCGCGACUCAAACAGGCACGGUGCACGGGUUUGGCUUGGGACUUUUAACACGGCUGAAGAGGCAGCUAGAGCUUAUGAUCAAGCUGCUUAUGCCAUGAGGGGUGGCUUGGCCAUUUUGAAUUUUCCUACUGAGUACCCAGCAAGUGGUGGCUCUUCCUCUUCAUCGUCUUCGGCUAAUUUUUCAUCAUCAGUGGCUGGGACUAGCCAGGGGAGAGGUCGUGGGGAGCAUGGAAAUGAAGUUCUUGAGUUAGAGUACUUGGAUGAUAAGUUGCUAGAGGAACUGCUUGAUUGUGAUCACCAAAAGAAGAACAAAAAAUAGUGAGGUUGGUAUCCCUUUUUGGCUUAAUAAGCAGCUAUCCACCGUCUAUUUCUGCAAGGCACAUCGCAAGGUCAAUGAUGCUCUUAUCUUUCUUUGUUGAUAUGUAACUAGAUUCUGAUAAUCACCUUUUGCCUGCGUGUGUUUUUUCAAUGAAGAAUCUAGCAAAAGUGUUGUGUGUUGUUAAGCUUUUUAAGAUAUGGUGAUUUUCCUUCUACAAAAGUAUGAUCUGCGCACAACGCAGAAAAUACAUUGUGAGUAGUAGUUGUAUGUAUGCACCUUUAAUUUUCAGGGGUUGGUAAUUUUUGACACUGACUCCAAUUUAAUAAGAAGAAGAGGAUGAUUACUGGAUCUGACACAAUUCACUAACACGAAUAACUCUGCUUAACUUGUUUUGUGUGAUGAAAAGUAAUGAUUUUCUCAUUUGCUUUUAUAAGCCUCAUAAAUUAGGAUUACUUUCAUGGUUUUUUCUAGAUUGACUUUAUGAAUUGUUUAGCUUUAGACUUUUAGUCCACAAUUUACGAAAUUCAACUUGAAUAUGACACAUAAAUGAGUUAAGUUACGUACUAUCGAACCAUUUACAAUGAUAAUUACAUAAAUCAUGAAAAGGUUGACAACUAUCCGACAUGAGUUUUUGAAGAAUGUUGAAGUUUCACUCAUAGACGGAACUACACUAUGGCUAGAGUAGGCUCUAGCCUUUAAAGGUUUGGAAAAAUGAAAUUUAAUACUAUUUUUUACGCACUACACCUCAUUUUACAAACAAAUCUCUAGUUAGCUUCAAGUUUUCCCCUAUGAUAAAAUAAAUGGAAUUUUAUUUAGAUCUUUACCCAUAUAAGAAAUAAUAGCCCACCCCUAUAAAAAUUUCUAGUUCCGUCACCUAGGGGUGCAAUUUGGAUUGGAAAAUCCGAUUCCAAUCAAUUAUGUUAUGACAAUUUCCGAUUUUGGCAAGUCCAAAUCAAUUUCGACUUCUGAAAAUUCCGAUAAAAAAUUGGAUUGGAAUUGGAAUGUAUCAAGAGAUUUGCAAAAAAUUCCUAUCUAAUCCGUCCAAAAAUCAGCCCCACUCCCAAAAAUUUGAGAUUCCACCACAAAAUCAAUAUAGUUAGAGUAAUAUUCUCUUACCAAAUUUGUAAUAUAUGCACUCAUUUUAACUAGGGUAGUACCUACAAAUAUGAAGGCACCUACCUAUUAUAUCUUUCAAGUAGUAUAUGUAUGUAAUUAAGUGUCUAAAAUCAAAAUUUACAGUUUAAUAUCCUCAACUUUUGCCCCACAUAAAAAGGGUCCUUCAAUUUCGAUUUUUCGCCUCUUUGAUUGGGGGUAAUGUUCUCGAAUUUUCACCGCUUUUUCUAAACACUAGGGACUCUUUGCAUCUGUUUGGCUCUCUUGUUGUUCUUACUCUUAAUUGUGGUUUAUUUUUGUACCACUCCCCUGUACUUUGGUUAGGCUCUUUUGCCUCCAAUCUUUAGAUAAUAAUAUUUACAUUUAAAAAAUAAAAAAACAAAAAAAAAACUUUGUCCCACACCUCUGAACAAAUUGACAGGAUAGACUGUUUUUUGAAUUUGUGGCUGAAAUGGAUGUUAUAUAAGUUAUAACAACGUUCAACAAUUGUUAAUUAUAUAAUAGUCCACUAUAGUGAUCUCCAGGCGCACCACAAAUAUACAAAUUUUUAUAUAAAAAAACCCAAAAAACGUAGCCGCCAGUCCUUUCAUUUGGAAUGUGGCCAACUUUAUUUUUCACUGUGUAAUGUCAUUUUAUUUUGUCGCAAUCAAGCGAAAAAAUACAAUUAAUUAAGAAAAAAGUAACAAAAAUACAAAAAGAAAAGGCAAAGUUGAUAGAUUCCAAGCAAAGAAAUGUAAGGUGUGGUCAAAAGCUAGACACUAAUUCUUGGGUUUUACCACUACAGAUUGGCGCUUACAAAGCAGUCUGCUGUUUCUGUUAGGCGUUUUUUUGGGUUGCAAAAUUCGAUGUUAGGCCCAAGGUUUAAAAUAUCGAGAGUUUCGAAAAUAUCGGUUGUUCAAAAACACGGAAAUAUUGAUGGAAAUAUCGAGAAAAUAUUGAUAUCGAUAAAAAUUGAAUAAAAAUCAAGAAAAUUAUGAGAAAAACUUGGAAAUUUUUAUUGAAACUUUAGAUGAUGUUUAUUUAGUCAAUUGUCUAUUAUUUUAUCACAAAAAAUUGGAAUAAAAUGCAUGGCAUGGUGGGUUAGAGUGAUUUAAGUUGAUUAUGCGCAACGACCUAACAAACACCGUGUCUUUAGAAAAUAUGUAGUAAUUAGUGAAAGAAAAUUAAACGCACCAUAAUUUUUUAGUUAUAAUAAUUUACUACAAUAUAUUGCAUAUGAUAAGAUAUAUGAGCUUGACAAAAAAACAAAAACAAAAUAUAUGAGUAACUUAGUACCACAUAAAAAAAAUUCCUAUUAAAGUUAAAACUUAGUAUCACAUAUAAUGAACAAUAUUAAAACUCAAUAGUGAAUAAUAAUACAAUUCCAUAAUAUAUAACCAAAAAAAAAAAUCCAUAAUAAAAUAAUAAAUAAAAUUAAACAUAUGCCUAAAUUUAUCAUUAGGGAUUGUUUUUUUAAAUGGAAAUUUAUCCUAGAUAAUAUUAGCUUGCAGAAAUUUUUAAGACCAUAUAAAUAUUACACGUUGUAACAUUAUUAAUAAACUCAUUCGCAGCGUGUUGGAUAAGGCCUAGUAGAUGGAUGGGAAAGAGAGUGGUUAAUCCCCUAGUUGGCAAAAGCGCCAUUUCUCAACAAAUUUCAUUUAUUUUUCAGUUUCAAUUGCGAUAUUAUUGAUAAUAUCGCGAUAUAUUGCCCAAAUAAAGGACGAACGAGUAUGAAAUUAUCACCUCUGACAUUAUCGCGAUAAUAUCGAUAUAUUGACGAUAAUUAAGUGAAUAUGGCCUAAAAUAUCGAUCAUUUAAAAAAACGAUAUUAUCAACGAAAUAUCGCCAAUAAUUUCGAUAUUUAAGACUGUGGUUAGGCCUCACCAAGUUUUGGAGGCCGUGACUUGUGCUGGGGUUUAAGAGCACUUGUGAAUUGAACUGGCUGCAAGCUAGUAUUGGGCUCAGUUAUGAAUACAUAAAGACCUCAACUGAGGCCUGCUACCUACAUACAGUCUCUGUUUUGUUGAAAAAGUUGUGAGUUCAAAUGUCAUGAACGGCAGUUGUUUUUUAUUUUUUAUUUUUAAUACAAGCUUUAGUCUUAAACUACAAGGCGAGAAGAGUUUCUCUCACACACGCAUUUGCGUUGUUGAAUGAAAAAUAAUAAUAAUAAUUUGCUCGAGUCAUUCUGAAGACGAGUUUGGUUAAAGGUGGACUUCAAAGGCUACAAAUCUAAUAACAGAGAUAUGGAAAACGAAAUUUAUUUCCUCCUUUGCAAUUGUUCCUCUCAUGUUAAACACAAAACAUGCAUGCUCAUUCAUUCUCUCUCCAAUCUUGACCAUUUUUCAUUUGUUGGGCUUUUAUUUGUGGUGGUGGUGUUAUUCGAAUUUGUUCUCUCCUGCUUGCCUGGACUUGUUUGUGUCAUUUGUCAACUACUAGUACUACGAAUCCCAGCGUUACUUUGACAAGUAAAGUACUUGUGUUUGGGACAAAUUUGUCUGUCGUCAGCAGUGGUAUGUAUAUAUAUUCUUAACCUUUAUAUCCUUGUCCAAAUUGCUCUUCUAAAUUAAUCAUUUCUUUCUUGGGUUGGGACUAAUCCUGGCUUCAUCUUAAAUUCUUAAUGGAUGAGAAAAGAAUUUCAUGAAACAAAGAUUCUCUGUUUGUGUUUGGAAACAAGGUUCUCUAUUUUCCUGUUGCGUGAUUCUAAAGUUUGUCAGUGGACUAAGCAAGUCCUGUAUUGUCUCUUCUUCAAUCUUUAUUAUGCCUUUCACCAAGGAGACCAAAAUAUAAUCUAGAUAGUGAUCCAACUUUCUCCUUUUUUCAGGAUUUGCAAAAAUCAGGAGAUUGUUUUUUGUACUUUUCAAGCACCUCUUGCACUUUUCUAGCCAAGUCUAAAUAACAAUUUUUAAAUUUAUUUUAUCAAAGAUCUGAGCCAAUCAAACUAACACUCCAUUGGUAGUAUUAUAAUUUUUGAAAGGAUUCAUUUUCCACAACAACAAAAUAAAAUAAAAUAAUAAAAAUUAUGAGUAUUCUCUAUUGAGAAUGCCCUCAAUAUAAGAAAAGUAAGAAUUUCAGUAUUGUCAUAGCCCAUAUUGCAAUAGUGGUAUUUAUAUUUCUAGUAUGAAAAGAUAUCUCAAAUUAUUUUUUAUAUUAGAAGCCGUCUCAAGUUCGAAUCUCUUUUUUACGUUGAUAAUAACAACAUAUUAUUAGAGAUACCAUACACAUACAUGUGCAUAUGUGUAUAUCAUACCACGUCAUGACUAAAACAAAUUAUGACAUGAAAAAAUGUGCUUGCUAAACCAUGGUUGAACAACAUAUAUUAUUUUAUAGAAGGGAAAUGUGUUCAACUCACUAAACAACAAGGGAAGAAAAAGGUUACACAAACACAACUCAAUUUCACUUCCGUUUGUUUUUCUCCUCUUGAGAAUCAAGAAGGUCCUCCAACACAUGGUCAUCCAAAUACUCAAUCUCAAAGACUUGCCUUCCUUGUCCAGUAGAUGAACUUCCACCAGGAGCAGCAGCAGCAGCAGCAGCAGAAGAAGAAGAAGAAGAAGAAGAUGAAGAAGAAGAAGAAGAAGAAAAUGAUGAUGAGAAUCUAGGAGGAUGAGGAGGAGAGCCCAUAACUUGAGAAUAAUACUCAUUUGGAAAGUUGAGUAUGGCAAGAUGACCCCUUAAAUUAAAAGCAGCUCUGUCAUAAGCCCUUGCAGCUUCUUCAGCCGUAUCAAAUGUGCCAAGCCACAGACGAGCACCUUGCCUUGAAGGGUCUCUUAUCUCAGAAGCAAACUUCCCCCAUGGCCUCCUUCGGACUCCCCGAUAACGCACUUCUUCGCUUCCCUUCUCUUCCAUUCCUUGCUUCUGUAGAUCCUUUCCUCUACGAGGGUCUUCCAUAAUUUCUAGCUUGAUUCUUUGAAUAAUUUCUGGUGGUCGUUAAUUUUGACAAGCCUUUCUGUUUUUGGUUUAAAAUAUGGUGGCAUAUAAUGUAUCUCAUUGAUAUAUUUAUAGGUGUUUGAUUUUGGGACAAAUGGGGUCAUAUCACAUAUGACUUAGAUGUACUGUGAUUGUGAGAGUCCACAUGAACGUGGAUUGACCAAGCGUAAAUGGAUGUUUCUUGGAAGGUUCUUCAUCUUCAUGUAUAUUAAUUAUUAUCAUCUAGGGCUAUAAUAGAGGUGCAAAAAUUCGAUUCUUCGACUCUUUCUAUGAUCAAAUUCAAAAAGGGUUUGUAAAUCUCUUUUCUUGAUAGGCAUUUUCUUUCAAAUGGGCUUCGAAUUCUAUCUUUUUAUGUUCAUAUUAUGUGAGAAUAAUAGAUUGUGUUGGUUGGUAAUAGUUUUUUUCUUUCUUUCACUGAACCAUUGAACUGUAUUGUCACUUUACACAGAAUAUGUAGAGAUUGAUUCCCAUAUCACAAAGAUUGGAGGAAUUAGACCCACAGAAUAUGAAUGCGUAAGUGAUUCCAUCCUAAUAACUAAGAAUAUUACAAGCAUGCACUAGCCAUACAAUUUUGGUUGAAGGCAAAAAUAGGAAACUCAGGAAAAGCAAGAUAAGGUCUCAAGGGGUAUAAUUUUCCUAUUUGGUGGAAAAGUGGACUGCUAUAUAUUGUCCCCUUGCACUACUCCCUCGUAAUAUGCUUUGAUCAUUGUAGGGAUUUCAGAUAUGAGAUUUUUCAAAUCAUAUCAAAUUAUUCAAAUUUUAUUUUAUUUGAUAUGAAGCAUAUAGAAUAUGAAAAUAUUUUUGCUCACUACUUUAACCUAAUGUGUACUCUCACCAUCAUUCUCAACACUUGACACAUGUUCAUAGGCAUAACUAUAGUUAACUCUUUGUUUUGUAUUUGUGGAACCAUAGUUAUGCCCAUGUACACAUGUCAAGUGUUGAGAAAAGUGGUGAUGGUACACAUUGGGUUAAAAUAGUGAGCAAGAAUGCUUCGUAUAGAAUAGCAUUCAAACAUUAACGACUCAUUUUGGCUCACUCCACACUAUAAUUCUUUGAUCAAAGUCAUUCAUUCUGCAUUCCAUGAUCAUGGUUGCAAAUAUACACUCAAAUUGAAAAAAAUAUAUAAAUUUCGACACAACGAUAUUUUAAAUUACUCUAAUGUAUAUGGAGGGGAACAAACUUAGAUACAAGUGGGUGAGUACACUGCCUUGGCCAAUGGCCAUAACCCACACCUGCUCAAGUUGAAAAUCUUUGAGUAUUUGUGAAUAUUUUCAUUAUGUCUCAUAAUGUGUUCAUCUAUUUAUUUUAUCACAAUUAAAAUAACUAAAUGAUUUUUCAUUUUGAAUAUUUUUUUAUUUAUAGAAAUGAUCUUUCAAUGAGUACCUAAAAUUGAAUGAUUCAAAUCAUAUAAUAUAUUAUGGAGCGGACCUGGUGAUUAAUUAACGUAAUGUUGUCAAUCAAUAUGGUCAUAAAAUGUGAUCCCUUUACCUUUAUUUGUAAAAAGUGCUACUAUUUCCACUCUAUGUCCUAUUUUCGCACCCACAUAACCUUUCCAACUACCAUGUAAAUUUGAAAAAACACAAUCCUAUCUUUUCACACAUCAUUAUUCCUAAAAUACCCUUAAUUAUUAAUUCAAGCAAAUUCUCUUUGCUAAUCAUUAGUAGUUGAGAUAUUGAGAGGAUGAAGUUGUGUUUGAUGGACUGGAUAAAUGCUUUAGCAACUGAGGAGUCGUACACUUUCUUCUUCUUUAUUUUUUCUUUUUGUCAAACGAUGGAAUAGGUGGGUUACAUGAGUUGAGGUUUCUUUUCCCCAAGUCCUUAGAAAUCAUUUUACAAAGGGAAAAAUUUGUCUUUAAAAUUUUAAAAAUAAAAUAGGCAAAAAAAUAGAACAUGGGGUGGAAAUAACAAUACUCUUUAUAAAACAAAACAUAAAAAGAGAAUAUAUAAGAAUAACCAAAUGAUCUUGAGUACAUCAUAUAUUCUUCUGUCCAAACAAUCGAAAAAUUCCUAAAGUAUUAAAAAGUGGCAUAGGAUUAAAGUAAAAUUCAGACCCUCCCUCUUCCAGAAAUAAAACCAAGACACUCUCGUCGUUUAAAAAAACAUGUUCUCAAAUACCACUAUAGUAAUACUGAUAUUCAAGAGCAUUUCUCUUGCAAGAUGGCAAAUCAAAUAACCUUUUUUUCUUCUUUUCCAAAUGGGAUAAAAUAUAAGUUUUGGUAAACCUUGAAGACAAAUUAUAUGUCAUUAACUACCAAACCAAUAACUCGUCCGUAAAAAAGAAAGUGAAAACCUAAGGGCCGUUUGAUAAUCAUUUCAAUUUUAGUUUUUCAUUUUAAUUUUUCAUUUUUUGUGCUAGAGCAUAGAGGAAAAAGAGGGAGAGGGGAAGUGAGAAUGAGAAUGAAGAUGAGAUUGAGAGGGAAUAUGAGAGAGGAGGAUGGGAGGAAUGAGUAACAAAAGUGAAAACAAAAACUAAAAACUGAAAUCUAUUUGAAAUUGUUUUCACAUUCAAGUUUUCGUUUUCACUUUUGUUACUACUCCCUCCCAUCCUCCCCUCUUAUCCUCUCUCUCAAUCUCAUCCUUACUCUCAUUCUCACUCUCAUUUUCCUCUAUACUCUAGCACAAAAAUAAAAUAAAAAAAAAUAAAAACUAAAAAUAAAAUGGUUAUCAAAUGAGGCCUAAGUUACCUAACCUAAUAUUAUUAUUUUUUCCUUCCAAAACCUAACCUAAUAAAUUUCUUGGAGGUAAAAAAAUUAGGCGCUAUAUCUAUCAAUUGGAAAACAAGAAGAGUGCGGACUCAUGCCCCAAGCAUUUUGUGAUCACUGAUUACGUCGUUAAAAACAGUGUGACAUACAUAACCAAUGGGCUGUGCCCGCUCGGAAAGUGAAUCCCAAAAAGAUUUUGUUAUUUGUCUUUAAAUAUUUGUUUUGGUUACAAAGAAGGCUUGCUUUUUUAUUUAUUUAUUAUUUAUUUUAUCUUGCUCUCGAAAUAUGGGCAAAAGAAGAAGAAUUGAGGGUUUCUUUUGUUUCAUGAUUAGAGAAACGUCAAUCUAUACUAAUGGGAAUUGUCAAAGCUUGCAUACGUUAGGCCAUACGCACAAGGAAACAUGAUGAGCUCCAGCAGAUUAGUUUUUUUCAUAGGUUCAUCCAGGACAGAAUCUUUAUAGGAUCAGAAGCUAUAGAAAAUGGUCCAAUUCGUGUAAACGAAAGCUUUGACAUUGCCAAGAUAUUCAAAAGGAGCUCCUCACUAACUCCAAUUUAGUAUUAAUUUAAAAAACAAAAAGGUAAGCAAGGAACUAAGAAACAAAACCAAAAAAUAAUAAUAAUUAAAGCAAAGAAAACUGAGAGAAUUUGGUUUGAAUGUCCUAGAACAUGGAGACCAGAUCAUCCCUAGCUACUUUAAACUGUUAAUGAAGCUUUGUAUUGAGGCAGAUUUAGUCUUGGAUCAAUUUAAAAAGAUGAAGGAAUUGCAUUCUUAUUUGCCAACACCUUUCCGAUUUUAUUAAUUACAACUCCUUAAUCAUGGUUGUUUGACCCUCUAAAUUCUAAUCCUUUGAAUAUUGUAGCAUGCACUUUUUUCAAAUGUUAGAUAUAUGUGGUUGUUGUUUGAAAAUGAAAACAUGAUCAAGCGAAAACUUAGCACAAAGAGCCAAAAUUUGUAAGCAUCUUGAAUGGAAAAUAAUAUUGAAAAGAUGCAUAGCUUUAUGGGCAUCUAUGCCUUUUUAACAAAGAGUGGAGAAACCGUGUGAACCUAAUUCUCAUCGAGGAAAAGCAGUUUCAGAAUCUAAAUCUCUCAAAUGAAAAUUGGGGAUAGCGGGGAUAGCGGUGUUUUGUCGAGGUAUCAUAGAAUGUCAAAAACUUUUGACAAUGUCAAGAUAUAAACCUUGUGAACGUAAGAGAUUUAUAAACCUUUUAACAAUGCCAAGGUAUCAUAGAAUGCAAAAAAACUUACUUGUAACGGGGAUAGCGGUGUUUUGCUAUCCCCAGCUAAUUAUACAAUGACAUGUAGAAAAAUUAUCCUACGUGUCAUUGCAUUAUUGAUCGGGAAUAGCAAAAUAAGAGUUUUUUCCCAUAAAAUGAAGCUACGAGUUGAGCAUGAAUUGGGUGCUCUAAAAUACAUUUUAUGCUCGCAUUGGCCCAUCAAUAAUGCAUGAGUUGCUGGGUUUAUCAUUUGAAAGUUAUACAAUUUGUUACACAAGUGGAACUCUAGAUAACACAAUUUGAAGCCCAUUCCAAAUUGCAACAGUGUUUUUAGUUGUAUCCAAAUUUGUUCUUUAAAAAAAGCUCCUCAUUUUGGGAGAAAAAUCCCCUCCUAAGGCCUUAACUUGGUUUGCAAAUGCUAAGGAGAGAUUUCAGGCCCAUUUUAGUUGACCCAGGUAGAUAUCUUCAGAUUUAAAGAAUCAUAAUGAGAUGGAACAAAAUAUAAAUAUAUGUUCGAAUCUUCCCGUUCUUAAUAUCGUUUGUAUAAAUAAAACAACAUAAUAUAUAAAUAAUAUCCUUUAAUGAAUCGAAAUAUUGUAGCCAAAAACCUAUAGUGGUGUUACUACACCUGGAGGCGGCUAUAAGAUCCUUAAUUCACAGUCUAAUUGAUAAUUAUGAACUAAUUUAGGUUGAUUUUUUUAGUAAUCAACUAUACAACAAAUUUUCAUAUAUUUUGUUACUGAUGAAUCAAAUCGUGCUCGAGUAUAGCCAGUGAGCAUUUGUCUCUUACAAGGAUGAUAAAGACGUACUAAUUUGGAUGAGAUCCACAUAGAAAGAAGAAAAAGCUCUGCCGGUCAAAUUCAAUCACCAAAAUGCAGAUGCAUUGAGCCUAGCCAUAAAAAUCCAAUGCUACCAACCAAAAAUAUAUAUUUUUUGGAGGCUGAUUAAUGAAAUGAAGCCCCUUUUGCAGUCCUAGGGUUGCAUGUUUAUAAUGUGAACUGGGGUUGAGGUCGUAAAAUGAUGAGUGAGAGUUUGCUGUGGGAGUGAAAAACUCAUGGGGACCCAGAUGACCUAACAACUCAUUACCUGAGCACCUAGAUUUGACUACAUUAAGGUUUAUAUUUUACCUGGGAAAUAUUCUGCAAUCAAUUACUUUGUCAUCUUUUCACAACAUCUGUACUAAUAUUAUAAUCCUUAGUUUCAUAAUGUAUGUACAGAUUCAUGUACCAUUUACAUCUUUUUAAACAGAAAUGGUUCAUCCCUUUAUCCAGCUUUCAUGUUUGAUGAUGAUAUCAAACUUAUCUUUUGGUUCGUUUCUUCUUAAUUUCAAAGAGUUUGGCAUAUCAGAUUUUGGAUCAGAAUUGUUAAUUAGAUAACAUUAUAUAUGCGCACGCGCUUGUAAUUAUAAUGCAUCAUAUUAUGACAACAUAACAUGCUAGAUAUAUAUAUAUAUAUAUCUAGCAGUCCCGAUCUCUUGGACCACAGGAAUCCAAGAGAUUUGUGGUCACUCACCGUUGGAUGUAAAUUUAACGGUUCACUCAAUCUUGAACUCCUUUUAAGAAACUUUUUUGAAUCAUUAGAUUAAUAUCCAACGGUGAGUGACCACAAUCUCUUGGACUCCUGUGGUCCAAGAGAUCAGGACUGAUAUAUCUAGUAAGUGAUCGUUCCUAUUUUUAAUUGUGACUAUUUCCACAUUAUUACUUAAGAAAAUCCUGAUUUAAGGAUGAUUUUAAUAUCCUUUUAUUCCUUUACACAACCUAUACGGCUAUACCUAUGGAUAGGAUGUCCUACAAUAUAAUAAUGUUAAAUUUUUUGCGAAAGUAUAAUAUAUUAAUGUUGGGAAUCAUAAGGAUGAAGGGAACAGAUGUAACACAUAAUAAUAAAAAUUACAAAAGAUGUUGGGACAUUGGUUUGAUAUGAUUAUUGGGGGAUCGUAUCAACUUUUUAACUUUUUUAGCAGUGAGAAAGAAAAAAAGUGAUGAUUUGUAACUCAAGCAAUUAAAAAUGAUUAUUUUUACUCACGAGAUUUUGUGUUUGAAUUCUCUCUUUCUCAAUAUCACUUAUAAUAGUAAUCAAAGUUUCUUUAAAUUUUUAUUAACUAAUAGUGAUUUAUAACAAGGAUUACUAAUCCUUAAAUUUUUUAGGAAUCAUUCAUCAAUAUUUGUGAAUGACUAAUUUUUCUCAAUCUUUUUUUACCUUGGUUCAUUUUUUCAAUUUUCCAAAAUUACUCUCAUAGAAAAAUAAACACUAAAAGUUUUUAAAGACAAAAAGUUUAGUCCUUGUGUUUUUUGUUUUAGAUGUAGGUCCUUUGACAUUUAUUUUUUUUUUGUUGUGUCAAUUUUACCCUUUGAGGUAAAUAAGGAAAACACACUGAAAAUCUAAAAUUAAUGCAUUAUUUCCUUGUAAUUGAAUUCCAUAAUUUAAUUUUUGAAUUAUUUCCUUGAUAAUAUUCCUAAUAUAUCGAUAAAAUACAAUUUUACCAAUAAAAAGUAAAGACCCACAUAUUAUACCAAACAAACACCCACAUUAAAUUAUAUACCUAACUUACAGGUAAAUAGUGUUAGGAACAUAAAUUAAAAGACUACCUUUAAGUCAGAUACAAAAAUAGACAAAAUAAAAUUGUAUGUUACCUAUUUAAAAAAAGUACAUAAAAUACUAUUACACAUUGUUAAAAAUAUGAAAAAACAUAUAUAUAUACACACACACACACACACACAUAUAUAUAUACCUAUGCAAUAUGACAUAAAUGACUAUUACCUGAUUCAAGUCAUAAAGGGCAACAUUGGAACAAAAAAUAAUUUUAAAAAUAAAAUAAUAAAAAGAUUACAUCAUAAAAUAUUAAAAAGAGAAUGUAAUUCUAUGUGGCACAAAAGUCAAAAGACUUAGAUCAAAGUCACCAAAUUCGAGGAUUAAAUCCAACUCCUUAAUAUGAAUUUGAAUCUAUAUCAACUUUUCUAUAGUUUUAAUUUAUGAUGUGGGUUAUUUGGUAAUAAAAUGUGCCAUAAAUGCAUUCCUAAGUCAUUGAAAAGCAUACCAAUAUGUGGAUUUGAUCGGUGCCAGUCCUUGAACUUUAGAUAUGCUUACUUUUAGUCGUAUCACAAAGCCAAUAAAUUUAGGGAACCGGCGGAGCUCCAGGUUUCACUUUCACUCCUUCAUAAGAAAGACAACAUGUAUGAGAUUUCACAUUCCAAAAAAGGUGCUCACCAAACAUAAGAGACUAUUCCUGCCUCAAGAUAAUGGUUAGUGUCAAUAUCCUUAAAUACAUGUUCAUUUUUAAUGCAGAAGCUCGUGGUCCAAUUUUUAAUAUAUAUAUAUAUAUAUAUUGCCACUCGGCAUUACUACGUGGCAUCGAAGGAAUUUUUCUUAUAGAUCCUAAGACCUAUUUUCAUUUGGCACUGAUAAUAACAGUAUAACUAAAAAGAUUGUACUAAAAGGAAAUCAUUGCCAUGUACAUGGUAAUCAAACGAAAAUGAAAAGAAUUACUUGUUAUUGUAGUAACUAAGGGGCGCAGUCUUGGCCUUGAAGAUUUUUGGAAAUAUUAAGAUGGUCCUAAGUGCACGGGAGGGUGGGGCAUAUGAAAGUGGCAAGUUAAAUGUGAAAAAUAUAUGAAUGGACCAUAUACCAUGAAUCUGUAGGCAUCAUUGCUGGCCUAACUGGUUAGUCAAAUUAAUAGUGAUGAAUUUGGCUUUUUGGAAUCUUCCUCAAAUUUGUUUUAAUUUCUGUAGAAGAAAAAAAAAAGGUUUAAUUUUAAAUUUAUAUAAACCCUUGGAUGGUGGUGGUGAUAGGGAGUGGUGAGCAAGACUAUCUCAUCAGACCAUUUGAGCACAUGUGAUAUAUAGAUGCAGGUAAUUAGUUUUUUUAUUUUUUUUAAUUUAUAAAUUCCAAAAUUUCCUCUUAAAUAUCUAUUUUUCUAGAAAAGAAGAAAGAAAGUAGUUGUUUGACAAAAGAAAAAAAGAGGAAAGAAAGUAGUUCAAGUUGGAACAGAAAUUACCCUGCAGUUUCCUUAUGUUUUUUUUUUUCCGUUUAUUCUCUUACUUUUCAAUAUCCAUUUCCUUUAAUUAUUUUUGUGGAUAUGUUUAUGAUAAAUAAAUAAAUAAGCAAUCGAAGUUGGAUUAGUCUUACCUGAUCGACUGGUGACAUGAGCACUAAUUGCAAUCUGCACCCUUGUCCCCCUUUCACGAGAUCGGUUGAAAUGGCAGCAAAAGUCCUUCAAGACCAAAUUUGCAUCAAACAAUUUGGACCAUAAGUUUCCCACCACAUCCCCAUAUAUAUGGUAAAAAAUAAAAAUAAAAAUAAAAAACCAAAUUUGGUAUUUUGGUUUGAAGGUUACAAUAGUGGUAUAAAAUCGUGGGAGCAUUUUGCUCAUUACUUUAAUUCAAAGUUUAUGCUCAUUACGUUUUUCAAUACUUGACACGUGUUUAUAAGCAUAACUUUAGUUAUAAAAAUCAAAGUAAAAAGUUAACUAUGAUUAUACAUAUGGAUACGUGUCAAGUAUUAAAAAGGGUGGUGCAUAUACCUUAAGUUAAAAUAGUGAACAAAAAUAUUUCCCUAAAAUUGUGGGUUGGUGGAAAAUGGAAAAUAUUUACCUUGUUUCAUUUCAUGACGGAGACCUAAAAAAGGAAUGAUCCCAAAAGGGAAUUUUCCUAGAAGCUCCAUCCAUGUACAUGAAAACAUUUCAAAGAUGCUUAACUGGGGCUACCUCAAAUAUUAUCUUUUACUGCAGCUGACUUGUCUCUUUCCUUUUCUUGUAUCCAUUCUUUCCGGAGGACUUUCAAAGUUGAACCAAAAAAAAAGUAUCCUAGUUUUGAUGACUUUGAAACAUGACAACAGGGAUGAGGUUUCAAGGGGGCGUGCAUCUAGACCUUUCAAACAUCAAUUUCCUAAUGCCGACUGAUGAGAUAAAAGUUUUGUGCAUUUGGGAUAAUAAUUUUUUAUUUAUUUUUGUAUAUAUAUAUAUAUCACAAUCACCAAACAAGUCCCAAGGAGAAAAUUUAACCCAACUUGUUGCUUCAUACAAAAAAGGUCAUUCUCAUUCGGGUGCUGAUGAGCUUGGGCAGAGUGAGCACGUCCAGAUAGCAGCAAAAUAGGAUUUUGGCUAAUCAUUUCACAUGAAUCCUGAUGUUUUAUACAAAUAGGAGAGACGUGAAGAAAACCUACCUAGGCUACCUAAGCUAGCUACCUAAACCACAGUCAAACAAUUAGUCCCCUAUUUCUUACUUUCUUUCUGUGUGUUCAUAAAAUGUAUGUGUUCAAUCUUGUCCCAUCCUUUGGUUUUUUCCGAAAACUUUGUUAAAUAAAAUAAAAAAAAAUAUAAAAAAAAUCUGACUAAGUGCUUUCAAAAAGUUGCCAAAGAAAAUUGACCACCGCUUUUUUUGUUUUUCUUUUUUUUUUUGUUUUAAAAGUUAUGAUUCAGAAUUUUAGUGGUUGUGUCAAAUCAGCUUAAAAUUUAGCUUACGUGUGUGAGCCUCUCGUAUAUAUUUAAGAGUAUCAAACACAACAAAUCAAGGCGAAUAAAGUCUGAACACAAUUAUACAUAUGCAAUGCAAAAUAAAGAUAAAAUGAAACAUAUAUCUUAAAAUGUAAUCUAGUUUAGAAAUGAAAUAUGCAAUGCAAAAUGAAGAUAAAAUAAAACAUACGUCUUAAAAUGUAAUCUAGUCUGAAAAUGAAGAGUAGAAUCUCACUUAAUUAACAUCUAUAGCUCACCAUUGAGCAAUGAGUACUAAGGCUACAACUAUUUUUCCACAUCCAUGAGUCCAUGACCUUGUGAGUCUAGUUUCUAGGGGUCAUUUUCUUUGACAUGGAAAAUCGAAGUCCACUUACACCAAAUGGGUCAAGUUUUAAGUUAGUGAUGGAUUGGUAUGAGUGGAAACCGUAGCCAAGUGAACCACGGGUGAUUUGCUCUUGUUAUUGCAAUUUAGUGAUCUAAUCUUCUUCUUCCCUAAUAAGUGAAAUUGAUGAUAAAGUGACAAGUAAUAAUAUAAAACGUAUUGCUCAAGUUUUAUUUGUAAAUCCAAAGCCAUAAGACCCUUGACUUCUUUUUUCCACCCUCAUUUCCUCGAACAUUCACAAAACCAUGACCUCUUUCUUCCCAAAUAAAUUUUUUGGGCUCCAAGCCAUCCAAGCAAUGUCAAAUAUUUUUUUUAUUUCUUUAAAAUCCUAGUUGACAGCUUUGAAAGCGAAAAUACGUGGGAAAUCCAACGGUGGUCCUUGAAGUGGUAAAAAAUUGAACUCACUAUCUCCAACGGCCAUUCAACUACCACGCAGUCUGUGAAUUGUGCCAUUCAGAGGAAUCCACAUGCUGACACGCGGGCAAGCUCCUAUGCGACAAAUGGACACUGAUAUCAUAAGCUGCUGAGGUCACCACAAGUUUCUCUCUGACCUGGCCGCCAUGCUUCAAUUGACCCAUGUGUUAAAAUUCAUCCCAACUUGCGUAGGAUCCCACAAUAAAUACAAUAAUACACCAAAACAAAUAAAAUAUAGCCAACCACAUCUUAUAUUUUAAUAUGAUUCACCUGGCUACUUUUACCUUUUCACCCUCAUAAUUUUUACCCACUCUCUUUCGUUGGGUCAUUUUUAACUUGGGGGCCCAAUUGGCCCCUACUGGUCCACAUUGGUCCUGUGGGACCCAUUGGAAUUGGGUAUAAAAAUGGGAGGAGGCCCCGAGUCUUAGCUUAACCACAACGUGUAGCCACACUUGCACAAACACAAUAUUCCAAGAAGAAAACAGAGACACCACCUCAAUUCUUCAAAUGAAUUACUCAAUCUUCCACUCCCCAAUUUCCGAUUUGUCACCUGAAUCUUCAUUCGGAUCAUCAUUUUCUUGGGAUGAUCACAAAUUUGGCAACAACUCACUUCCCUUCAACGAAAACGACUCCGAAGAAAUGCUUCUCUAUGGCCUAAUUUCCAACGCCACCCAGGAAAUAACAUCAAGAGAAACAGAGACACUCUCUGUUUCUGCAAACCCAAUCAAGGAAGAGGAAGUGAGCUCCACGUCCGACUCGGAGAACCCGAAAAGGGAAAAGUCGUACAGAGGGGUGAGGAGGCGGCCAUGGGGCAAGUUUGCUGCUGAAAUUAGAGACUCCACCAGGCACGGCAUAAGGGUGUGGCUAGGCACAUUUGACAGUGCCGAAGCUGCAGCCUUGGCCUAUGAUCAGGCCGCCUUUUCGAUGCGUGGCUCCGCGGCGAUUCUCAACUUUCCGGUGGAGAGAGUCCGAGAAUCGCUUAAAGAAAUCAACUAUGUCGCUUCGGAUUUGAACGGGGGCUCGCCGGUUGUGGCGCUCAAAAGAAAGCACUCCAUGAGAAGGAAAAUCGGGAACAAGAAGAGCAAAGUGGAGAGAGACGUGAGGAUAGAAAAUGUGGUGGUGUUUGAAGAUUUAGGCGCAGAUUACUUGGAAGAAUUGUUAAAUUCAUCUGAGAGCACAUGUGCCACUGCCACACCUAAUCGUUGAUUCAAAAACAUUAAUUCAACUUUCUUGUGUUCUUCUUUUUUUUUUUUUGGUGGUAAUUAUAUGAACCAUCAUCACUUUGAAAUCUUUGAUCUGUCUCUUCUCCAAUAUUUUCUUUUUUCUGUGAAGUUGCAAAAAAAGGAUAAGGAGUUACGUAUUUAUGUAUCCUGGUGUCUCAUUUGUGGCGCUCAAUUAAUUGAUCCUUAAGGUGAUUAGAUUUAAUAUUCUACUAGUCAACUAAUAUAGCUGGUCACUCUUAUCAUACACAAAAUGACAUUGCCACAUGCACGCGUGCUGUACGAACUCCAAGUUAAAUCACACUUAAUAGUAGUACUUCAAUCCUCACAUCUUUUUGCGUUUGGCUGGUUUUCCAUGAUCGGGAGAUUCUUAUAGUUGUCGUCAUGCAUUGCGUUAGACUCUUAUACAUAACGUAUAAUAUUUAAAUUAUGUGUGCAUUCUGUGUGCGCGUAUAAUGCAUUAGUUAGACUUUUACGUAUCGUGCGUGAAACUUGAAUACAUACCACUCACAUAAACAAGAAGUUUUCUUUCUUCGACGAGGCUACAAAAUUAAUAUUUUCCUUAAUAGAAUAUCAUAUACAUUGGUUGAUGAGCAAGGAGUGUGAAUAUUGUUAUUAUUAUCCUCCAAUGCCAAAGGGGCCAGGCUAUCAAAAUAUCAAGGAUGUAUACAUAUGAUAUGGCCCACGAGCCAUGACCAAAGAGCUGCAACUUGCUUGGUUAGUCCUCAGUUUCAAUCGAAUUAUUUUUGGUUUUUAAUGGCAGUUUUGUCUUUAAGCACUAAGCACUAGUAAGUGUGGACACCUGUAUAAACCUAAUCAAGCAAUUAGCUCGAGCAUUAUGCAAAUCAUAUCAACUAAUUAAAGCUUAAUUAUAUCUCCAAGUAAGUAGUUGUGUGGAGAAGGAGAAGAAGAAGACAAAACUGCCAUUAAAAACCCAAACUUGAACCACUUUGAACACUGUUUUGGUCCAAUUUCAAAGCAAAGAAGCUUCUGCGAGCAAUUCAGUCUUAGUAAUUUGGGUGGACAAUAUCUGCUACUUGCGACUUAUCUAAUUCAUUCAUCCUCGCAUAUAAUAAUACACAGAUUUAAUUCAUUUGAAUAUAUAUUAUCUUCACGUGGGAUCUAAUUUGGUUCUAUAAAACUAUCAUAAAUUGUGACCCUCCUUCCUCCGCUUCUUUUUAAAAUAUUUUUCUGUGGACCACAUGAUUUGUUUUCAAUAUCACGUAUAAACUUUAUUUUUAUCAUUAUAUCAAUAUUUAAAAAAGGUUACAAAUUCGAAUUCUCUUUUCUUUUCAAUAGAAACGAAUACCGCUAUCAUAUUGUUAGCCACAUACUAUGGUAAUUGGUGCGAUAAAAUAUGUAUCACUAUAAUUACAUGAUCAUGCAACGGCUUAAGCGGUUUAGUAUUCUGUCUAUGUCCACAGAGAGUACUUAAUAUUUAAACACAACUAACUAAUGAUAAUCCAUGGGCUGGCAGUACAUGAAUAUUAAUCUUUAAUUAAUUUUUAUUUGACAUUAUCCAUUCACAAAAGACGCUAGUAGCAAUAUUGUAAUUCGCAUGAAUGUUGAUAACCAUAAAUUUUGUCACGUGAUUCUCAAUUGCAACCGGUAAAAUUGAGGGUCAAAGUCCUGGCAGUCAAAAUCCAACCAAGUCAUUCAAGCCGCUUCCACGUCCUCUAGGAAACCUAAUUAAGCAUAAUAUUCAAUGGAAAAUCAUGAUUAGAAUUUGAUUAAGUGAGUUGUUUUAGUACGUAUGAUAUGGUUAGCUCAACUUGGCCACCUUUCAAGAACAGAGGUAAUGGGAAUAUUAGAAAUUCGAUCAGAUUCUCAUUUAACUAGACUUUUUUCAAGAAGGACUUGAAUUAUUUUUUUGGGUUAUCAUGAUCAUUGAAAUUUUACUAGUUCCUGCAAGUGUUGCACUGAUCAUGGAAAAGAUAUUGGGAUGACAUCGAAGGGUUUCCACCCUUAGGUCUAAUCUAACGGAGUUAGGAUUUGUGAAAUUAUGCUUUCUUGACUACAAGAGAAAAGAUAGAUAGAUUCAUCCAACACACUGCAUUUCAGACAUCCAUCUAAUCUGAUGACAAAAAGAUAGAUUCUUAAUUAAAGACGUCAAUGAGAAUAACUCAUGAUUAAAAGGUCGGGUACCACUAACAUACAUAAAUAUAAUGUGGACGGGGCUGGUACCAAAAUGACCGGGGCAUCGUCCUCUUCCUACCCCAGCCACCUCCCGCCGCCAGCCGCCGCGGAUUCGCCGGAAUUUGGAGAUGAAGCGGCCGAUGUCGUCCAAACUUCAAAGCCGCCGAUCUCCCUCCUCCGGCCACCAAUUCCGUCGACCCAGGUAUGGAUUUUGAACCUCUCGAGCUGCUCUAGCUGAUGGUUGGGUAGGAUUAGAUCGAUUCUUAGCGUAGCCAACUCGAUUUUCGAAUUGAAAAUCGGCCGAAACUUCGGCCGCUGUGAUCGGCCAUUUCCGGUCAGUUUUUGGGGUAGGUCCAAGAACAAAAGUGGCUCCAAAUAGGGUGUUCUACCUAGGGUAGGAGUUUGGAGCCGUGAUUUUGAGAUUUUCUGGUGAAGCGUUAUCGCUUUGGGCACCACGCGCUGCCGACGCGUGCGGCGGCGCGUGGGCAAGGUGGAAAAAGUAGCACUGUGUUCCGAUGAGAUCCUUAGGUUGUCACGAGUGUGUAGGAUUUCGCGGAUCUCAAUUCGGACGUCGUUUGACUAUCGAACGGAUAAUCGCAUAUUGUGCGUUAUCCGGGUUCGACAGGUUGGGACCGUUGGAUGGUCCUAAAUUUAAUAUAUGUUAAUCUAGGUAAUUCUAGGAUCGUGUAGGAAUUCACGGAUUGUGAAUCGGAGCCCCGGAUGUUCCGAAUAGUAAUUUUAAAGUUUAUAUUUUAUAUUAAUUGUCAGAUCGUGCGAUCGUGAACAAUCCGACCGUCCGAUCUGAACCAAACUCGCAGGACAAGUGUCCUAUACCUGGUAGAACCCAUAGGGACUUCCGGAUCGGAAAUUGGAGGUCGUGGGUUCCGCAGGCCCGUUUGACCAGGGUUAGAGUAGUUUGACCCUUGGUUGACCGUGAGCCACCCGGAGUAAUCUCACCUCUCCAGGGGAGAUUAUUGGGUGCUAGACUAUUGUGGAGGGUUACACAAUAUUAGAAUUAAUUUAUAUAAUUAUAAACAUAUAUUGUUGCACAAGGGUACAACAGAGUCUAGAAUGUCAGUUUGGAGUGCUAUACGCACUACUUUAGGUACCUCAUCGGAUUUUGGAUUCGCUACAAACACCAUCAAGUGAAGGUUAGGUCCCGCGUGGCGUAGGUUAUCCGGCGUUGGGACAGACCCCAUACGUGGCGUUGGUUGUACCGGCGUAUGGGGAGAUUUGCAAUAUGAUGUUCAGGUCUCACGUGGCGUAGGUUAUCCGACGUUGAGACAUGCCCCGUACGUGGCGUUGGUUGUACCGGCGUACGGGGAGAUUAUGUGAUAUGAUGUUGAGGUCCCGCGUGGCGUAGGUUAUCCGGCGUUGGGACAGGCCCCAUACGUGGCGUUGGUUGUACCGGCGUAUGGGGAGUUAUGUGAUAUGAUGUGCAGGUCUCACGUGGCGUAGGUUAUCCGGCGUUGAGACAGACCCCAUACGUGGCGUUGGUUGUACCGGCGUAUGAGGAGAUAUAAUGAUAGUAUGGCAUGGUCGCACGUGGCGUAGGUUAUCCGGCGUGUUGACAGGCCCCAUACGUGGCGUUGGUUGUACCGGCGUAUGAGGAGAAUAUGUGAAAUACAGAGAAAGGAAAUAAGGUAUCACCGAUGUGUGGAAUUAGAUUUUAGGGAAGAACUACGUGUGGCUUGAUCCCUCAAGGAGGGUACGUAGGCAGCCUAAGGUUAUUAGGUGCAGCCGCAGACUAAAUGUUAGUCAUAAUUUGUAUUUGAAUGGUUUGGUAGUUGGUUAAGAAUUAUUGGAAGGCCGAAGGCCAUUUGUGUGAAUUGCAUGAAAUUAUAUUGUGCAUGCUGCCAGUUGGGAAUAUUAAAUGCGUUUUUAUGCAGGUUGGAAUUUUGAAAAAUGUCCAAUUUAUAGGGGAGACUCUGCCGAAAUUUCGGCAGGACGUCUCGGUUUUUAGUAAGUGGGCCUGGCAUCGGGGUGAUGUCAGGAAUUGCAAAGGGUUCGUCUCGGGUUUUGAGAAAAUUCGGGGCGGGUCCUUAAAGCCGGAAUUGGUUUUUGGCUCCAAAAUCGUGCGACCAGUGGACAUUUCAUCGCGUAAAAUUAGAUGUCGGCUGCAUGUUGCUCGACGGGAUGUUCAAUUUGUGCGAUGCGAUUUGGCGUUUGCGCGACGAAAACUGAUGCAACGAAAAAAUAUUCAUCGUCGCCCUAAAGUUGGAUGUCGACGUGUACUUGCGCGACGAAAAGUUAGACUUGCGCGACGAAAGUGGGAGUUUUGCGCAACAAAAUAUGUUCUUUGCGCAACGAAGUAUCUAUUCGUCGCGCAAAAGUUAGUCUUCUUCAAAUCUGAGUUACGCCAUGGUAGAGGCAGAAAGCUGAGAAUUUCUGCCUCUGCUGCUGCUGCUUAUGCUAGGAAUUCACUACAUUUAGUAGGUGAGUAUAUUUUGUCAUUAGUUUGAGUGUAUUCAUGUAAAUUCAUACUAAUGCUAUUAAUUUCGUUCUUUGUAGAGAUAUUUUGUGUGAUUAGCGGUUGGUGGCACUACUACAAAAAAGAAAAAAGACGACGGUAAAUCACCGUCGUUGUUAAAAUAUACAACGUCAUCAACAAAUACAAAACGACGUCUUUGUACUGCAAAAAGAUUUAAAAAGCCAGUCGAGGAUGAGAAUAGACGACCAACUCUCUAAAAAAACCGUCGUUAAAAAGGAAAAAUUUGACACAUAUUAACAGAACAAGGCCGCAAGAUAGACAUACAACGACGAAAAUUAAAACAAGACGCCGUUAAAUAUCAUUUUCACGACAAUAAAAAAUAUGACGUCUUUAAAUACAUUAGAAGACGACGUUAUUGAUACCUACUACGUCGCCUAUAUAAAAACAACCGUCGUAAAAUAAAUUUUUCACUUCGAUUUUUCUAUAAAAGAUGACAUGGAAAUAGUUGUCAGUGUCAUUAUUUACGACGUAUGUAUUUAUAGAGUAGACGUUGAACAACGAAACAACGUCGGUUACAAAUAUAUGAGAGUCGUAUUACAAAAUUUAUACGUCCUAUUUUCAGAAACAAACAACGACGAUAAAUAUUAGACGUUGUUAAGUAAAACAACGUCGAAAACAAAUAAAAACAGACGUGUUUAGUCUGCUAAAGUUCUAAAAAAUAGUCGAGGAUGAGAAUAGACGACCAACUCAAACAAAUCAUCGUCGUUAAAAGGGAAAAAUAUGACACAUAUUAAAAGAACAAGGCCGCAAGAUAGACAUACAACGACGACAACUAAAACACUACGCCGUUAAAUACAAUUUUUACGACAAGAAAAAAUAUGACGUCUUUAAAUACAUGAGAAGACGACGUUAUUGAAAUCUACUACGUCUCUUAUUUACAAACAACCGUCGUGAAAUAAAUUUUUCACUUCGAUUUUUCUAAAAAAGAUGACGUGGAAAUAGUUGUCAGUGUCAUUAUUUACGACGUAUGUAUUUAUAUAGUUGACGUUGAAAUUCGAAACAACGUCGGUGGUAUUUAUAUAGUCGACGUUGUAUUUAUAUGUAUUCAUUACUCACGACGCACUUAUUAAUAUAGACGACGUUGAACUUCUAAACAACGUCGGUUCCAAAUAAAUGAGAGCCGUAUUACAGAACAUAUAGACGGCAUUGAUUAUGAUGAGAGCCGUAUUACAAAUAACGUCGUUUAAUUGAUAUUAGACGGCGGUUAUAAUGAAUUACCGUCGGAAUUCAUUUCGUUCCUCUUCGUUUAUAAAAGAACUUGCGACGUGGAAAAUGUAUGAUGACGUCGUAUUUUUUAACGUUCAGAUUAUAUAUCUCGUUUUUUAGACGUCGGUAUUAUGGGAUUGGAGUCGUGUUAUUUUGAAUUACAUGGCGGUUCUUAAUCCUUCCCCGACGUGAUAUCCUGAAUAAUUGCUUCACAAUAGCGUCGUGGUUCUUCAUUGUUACGUUGCUUUAAGACGUCGGUAAAUAUGCUGAAUAACUGGUUCACAAUAACGUCGUGUUUUAUUUGAACGUAGAAAGUGAAGAAAUCACAUUACAAUAUAUUACAAAAUUAAUGUCAUACACUGCCAAUUACAUAAGCAUCAUUCAAUCCAUAUAUCUUCACACCCAUCUCGAAUAUUUUGACCACCUAACUCACCCACCAGUUUAUCAAAUGUGUCAACAUUUGGCAUCCCUCUAGUAAAUGGCUCACACUCAAUUAUCACAUCACCUAAGACUUCAUCACCAAUAACAUCAUUAUAUUCUCUAUUAGGCAUUGAUAACACUACCGACCAACCACGAUGCAUCGGGUCGUCAACAAAAAAUAUUUGUUUGACUUGAGAAGCCAAAACAAAUUGGUCAUUCCUAUGUCCAAUUUUACUCAAAUCUACAAGGGUAAAUCCAAGUUCGUCGACUACAAGACCAGAACUAUCUAUCCAAUCACACCUAAAGACUGGGAUUGUAAACUUUUGGUAGUCAAGGUCCCAAAUUUCUUAAAUGACACCAUAGAAACCCAUAUUUGAGAGAAUUGAGUUUUUAUCCUUGGCACUAGCAACUUGCAUGGUAUGUGCAAGUAAAUAAACUCCACUAUUUUGAGUUGUCCGGACAUCAUCUUGUGCCUUGAUAUUGAAUUUAAUACCUUUAAUAAGAUAGCUCCUAUAUAAUGGCACUGCCAUGUUUGGACCAGCUGCUAGCCACCUAAAUUUUCUGAUACGCCAUGAUUGUCUUCCUCAAGUUCACUUUGAACCUGCAAUUAAUCAUAUCUUAUUUCAUCUAACAUAGAAAUAGAGAAAUUAAAGAGAAAUAUGUUAUUCAACACAUUUACCUUGAAGCAUAGCCAUUGAUGAAAGUGCUAUUGUGCUUCNNNNNNNNNNNNNNNNNNNNNNNNNNNNNNNNNNNNNNNNNNNNNNNNNNNNNNNNNNNNNNNNNNNNNNNNNNNNNNNNNNNNNNNNNNNNNNNNNNNNUUUUGCAACUAGAAUUCGAUGUCCGUGCAGGAGGUAUAACAACACGUUGUGGGAGACAAUUGAAAAUGUUCGAUUUCAUUUAGUAAGAAGUGGAAUGAUUGAGACAUAUAGCACUUGAAACUAUCAUGGGGAACAAUUAGACAAAGCUUCCUCUUCAAGGGCCACAAGAGUGGACAAUGUUGAACCUAUUUUGGAUUCUAAUGAACAAGUCAUGGAUAUUAUAAAUGAUGCUUUUCCAUUUGCAUUGACCAACAUCAAUCAAGAAGAGGAAGAUGACAUGUCUACACCAAUGGACAGUGCGGAGUUCGAACAGUAUGAAAAACUGUUAAAAAAUGCAAAUCAAGAGUUAUACUCGGCGUGCGAGAGUUUUUUCGUUCUUAUGGCCAUUGUGGAGCUAAUGCAAGGAAAAAUAAAGUAUCAUAUGUCGAACCAAUGUUUCGAUUACUUUUUGGGCCUUUUCAAGAGAAUGCUUCCGACGGACAAUUGUUUGCCGAAAAACCAUAGACACCCGCAGAAGGUCUUGAAUGGCCUUGGAUUGAGUUAUGAAAAAAUGUACGCAUGCAAAAAUAAUUGCAUGUUAUUCUACAAAGAGCAUGAAACAUUGGAUAUAUGCCCUAUAUGCAAUGAGUCGAGGUUCAAAAUGACUUCUCAUAAUAGAAUGACUAAGAUCCCACAAAAAGUUAUGCGUUAUCUGUCCCUAAAACCAAGGUUGCAACGAUUGUAUAUGUCAACGCAUACUGCCACAGAUAUGAGAUGGCAUAAGGAAAAACGGGUAGACAACGAUGUGAUGCGACAUCCUGCAGAUGGGGAGGUAUGGAAAGAGUUUGAUCGAACGUUCCUCGAGUUUGCUGCUGAUUCCCGAAAUGUUAGAUUGGGACUUGCCACUGACGGAUUCAAUCUGUACGGGGUUCUAAACCAACACCACAGCACUUGACCGAUUUUCGUAUUCCCAUAUAAUUUGCUGCCUUGAAAAUAUAUUAAAAAAGAAUACAUGAUGAUGACUGUUUUGAUAACUGAGGAUCCUGGCAGGUCAAUCGAUAUGUACUUAAGGCCGUUGGUUGAUGAGCUGAAGGAUUUAUGGACAAACGGUGUGCGCACGUUCGAUAAAUCGACUGGGAAGAUGUUCACUUUAUGGGCAAUAGUUAUGUGGACUGUGAAUGAUUUUCCCGCAUAUGCAAUGGUUUCUGGAUGGAGCACAAAGGGUUAUAUGGCAUUCUCUGUAUGCAAGGAAGAUGUAUGCCCAGCUGUCCUCUCGUCCCUCCAACUCCUUCGGAUGGUGGUGCAGGUCGCUCUUCCAUUGCUUGUACCUCUCAGCAAAGGGUCUGUUGACGUACGCUAUCGACUUAUCAUCGAGGUCCUCUACAUUGUAGUUCGUCUGCAAUUUAUUAAUUACAUACAUUAAGUAAUAGAAAUAUAGAAAGUUUGAACUUACAAAACAUUUAAAAGGUAGGAUACAUACCGACAACUGUCCGAGCACCUCCGUCCGCAUCUCCUCAGACAUGAACUUCCAAGACUUCCAUUGCAUAGGGCAAUAGGUCCGAACGACGUGCCCAACGUCGUGGGCCAAAGAUCUAUGCAAUUCAGCCGUUGGUGCAACUGAUGCCGCACGUCGUAUCCGAUGCUAAUACGACUGUUGGUCACUAGGGUGACCUUCGCCGUCUUCAACUGCCGACAAGGUCCACGGGUGUUCUUCUUGGCUGUAAAGAAAUAGAAAGUAUACUGUUAAUAGUAAUCAUACAAAAAUGUUGGACAACAACAGAUGGAGUCAAGGCAAUCUUUACCUGGCUGUGAUCUGACGCACAAGUACGUCUAUCGAUGCUGUGUCACUCAUGCUGGGGGGCGGUGACGACGUUUGGCACGAAGAGGUUGCGCCACAGAUGAUGCAGAUGACGCCGAGGGAUCACGAGGCAACUGCUCCAUCUGUGAUGGAGCAGUGAUAGCAGCAGGCUGAGCCGGAGGAGGCGAACUUUGUCCAGUGGUCACCGCCUUACUGCUUCGAAUAAGGUUUGACAUCUUGGCCAAGGAAAAACAUGUAACAUUUAAUAAUGUUUUAGGCAAAGCAUGUAACGUAGUUAAUCUAAUUGGGUUAACAUGUAACGAAAUAAAAAUAAAUAUUGAAACAACUAAUAAAACAAAAACAUAUCAUAAUUAUUAACAAACAUAAUUUUUUUUUUUUCCAAUUUAACAAUCUUAACUAAUUUUAAUUAAAGCAUAUCUUGUCUGGGGGUUAGCAAUUCCGGAGUAUCCGGGAUUCCGAUCGAAAAUCAAUCGAAUCCAAUACGAUCCUAGAAAUACAUGGAACAACAUGCGUGAUUUUUAGUUUGAUCCAACGGUCCGAACACAUCAAACCCGAAAAUUGCAUAAUAGGCGAAAUCUACUCUACACUGAAACGGUAACCAAAUUGAAAUCCUAACACACCUACGCGCUCGUGACAACUAGGGGAUCGCAGUGGGACACAAUGUCCCUCUGCUACAGUACCCACGCCCCGCCACAUGCGUCGGCAACGCAUGGAGUCCAAAGCGAUAAGGAUCGCAGGAAAUUUCACAAAAUUACAGACCAAGCUUCCUACCCUAGGUUCAAAACAACAAUUGGAGCCACUCUGGUUCUUGGGCCUACCCCGAAAAAUGGCCGGAAGUGGCCGGAAAUUCAAAUAAAAAAUUGGCUGAUUUAUUUUCUACAAAUUCACAUACCAAAACCAAAAAUUCAUAAAACCCUAUCCAACCAUCAGCUAGAGCACAAAAUUUAGUCGAGAAUGCAUACCUCAAUCGUCUAGUUUCGUGGCCAGAGGAGAGAGAAAUUGCCCAACGAAAAUCUGCCCAAUUCCGACGGUGUUGCGGCGGCGGAAGCGGUGUGCUUCGAAGGGGUGGUCGGCGGAAGGGCUAUGUGUGGGUUGAGGAGGCAGGACGUGGCGGUUAUGGUGGGAGGGCUAUCGGGAGAAAGAGGGAGGCGAAGGAAGGAGAUAGACCAAACCAGGGGUCAGUCGUGUUUUUCAGAAAAUUUACAAGCCUUUGAGCGACGAAGACUUAAACCGUCGUGCAACAUAUAUUUUUCUAACCCUUACGCGACAAUAAAGCUAAAACCGUUGCGCAAAAACGUCGUGCCACUCAAAAUUUUGGACCCUUGCGUGAUGAGAAAGGUGAAACUGUCGCGCAAGGCCGUCACCCUGCCCAAAAUUUCACACCUUUGCGUGACAAAAAACACAAACCGUCGCGCAAGGACGUCUGGCCGCCCAAAAUUUCAGCCCCUUGCGCGACAAAAAAAACCCAAAUCGUCGCUCAAGGACCCAAAACCCAAAAAAUUUCAGCCCCUUGCACGACAAAAAAACCCAAACCGUCGUGCAAGGACCCUAAACCCUAAAAAUUUCAGCCCCUUGCGCGACGGUUAAGCAUGAACUGUCGCGCAAGGACGUCAUGACGUUCCAAAUUUCAGACCCUUGCGCGACGACAAUUUAUCCGUCACGCAAAACGGAAACCCUGAUCCGUGAACCCUAAACCCUAAAGCCACAGUUAUACCAGAUAGCGACGAAGCUUCCGUCGUCGCAUAAAGAUAUGCGCAACGAAUAAAUUCUUUCGUCCCGCAAAACAAAUAUGCGCGACAGUUUUCUCCAUUCCACUAACGUGUGCGCGACAAUUUGCCCCGUUCGUCACGCAAAAUUUUUUUAAAAUCAUAUUACUGAAUUCCCUUUUAAAUGGAAAAAAAGUGGAUGUUCCUUGCCAUUAUUUUGAAAAAAUGAUUAGAAUGUGGAUCAUAAGGUCUGAAUUGAAUUAGGAUUGACCAUUUUCAAUUUAACAAAGACUUAAUUACUCAUCCACAACAUAGCCGGUAUAUUAUGUAUACGUAUCAAGUUAGAGUACAUUAACUUGUACAAACUCACCACAAUGUCAAUGAGGCAUAUUGUUUAUAUAAGUAUUGCUAUAUACGUAUAUUUCCUCCAUGUACACACAUACAUUAUAUAGAUGGCAUGCACAUAUAUAUAUUUAUAUAAAAAAAACCUUCAUACUUAUAUAUACAUUAUAUAUUUAUAUUUAUAUAAUUGUAUAACAUAUAAAUUUUAUAAAAUCGUAUUAAUAAAUUCCCAUAAAUAUUUAUAUAUUCUUAUAUUUCUAUACACACGAAAUAUAUAUAUAUAUAUACACACACAUAUACAGUGUAUAUUAUAACUUAGUAUAAUGUAUUAUAUACUUUGUCUAUAUUUAUAUAUAUAUAUAUAUUUGUGCGACGACACAUGUAUUGGUCACGUUAACAUCUCUUGCGCGACGAAAUAAUCCUAUUUGUCGUGUGAAGGUUCCUUGAGCGACAAUACAAAUUUAUUAUACAUUCUCGAUGAGGGUCUUGCACAUCAUAAAACUAACCAAUAUAUUACUUAGUUGGGAUUUGAUAUUACAUAAGCAUGGAUGCGAGAGAAUUUUGAACAUGCUCAAUCACCUAUAAGAGACGGAACAACUACUUGUCCAUACAUAUUGACAUGAGCAGUAAUUUCUUACUAAUAUUGUAGUAUGAUAUACUAUAAGUAAUUGGUCAGACAAGUGCAGUGAAAUGAGUUGCCAACAACUCUUAUUUAUAGCAACUAGCCCAUACUAAACAAGUUUAUACGAAUAGUUUAUUAUGGUCGUGUGAUGGUGGUCGACUUCUUGGAGGGGAUUGUGGAUAAAUUCUUCGAUGGGGUGGUGGCAUACUUCUUGGAGGCGGACUUCUUGGAGGGGGAGGUGGGGGACUUCUUAGAGAUGAUGGUGGCGGANNNNNNNNNNNNNNNNNNNNNNNNNNNNNNNNNNNNNNNNNNNNNNNNNNNNNNNNNNNNNNNNNNNNNNNNNNNNNNNNNNNNNNNNNNNNNNNNNNNNNNNNNNNNNNNNNNNNNNNNNNNNNNNNNNNNNNNNNNNNNNNNNNNNNNNNNNNNNNNNNNNNNNNNNNNNNNNNNNNNNNNNNNNNNNNNNNNNNNNNNNNNNNNNNNNNNNNNNNNNNNNNNNNNNNNNNNNNNNNNNNNNNNNNNNNNNNNNNNNNNNNNNNNNNNNNNNNNNNNNNNNNNNNNNNNNNNNNNNNNNNNNNNNNNNNNNNNNNNNNNNNNNNNNNNNNNNNNNNNNNNNNNNNNNNNNNNNNNNNNNNNNNNNNNNNNNNNNNNNNNNNNNNNNNNNNNNNNNNNNNNNNNNNNNNNNNNNNNNNNNNNNNNNNNNNNNNNNNNNNNNNNACGAUUGUUGGGUGGUGGUGGUGGUGGUGGAUUACUUGGAGGGGGUGGAGGCGAUUUGUUGGGUGGUGGCGGAUUGUUUGGUGGUGGUGGUGGUCUUAGAAAAAUAGGGGGUAGUAUCAAUGUAAUAGCACUAUUAGGUAUAGUACUAGUAGGUGGCUUGAGUUGCUCAUGAUGUUCUUCAGCAAGACAUGAAGUGAUGAGAACCACCACUCCCAGCAAUAGCACAAGAAAUUUUAAGUAACUCAUCUUUGAGCUUAUGAAGUUACAAAGAUCAUAUGGAGCAUCCUUUUAUAGUGGUAUGGGUGAUUGGUAAUUGUAUUUAUAAUUUUGCUAAAUAGGGUGGUUGGUGAUUGUUAUAGAUUAGAGGUCCAUGCAACAUUAAUUGAGAUCAUAAGUUGGAGAAUUUGGGCAGUUGCUUGUUUGAUAUAUGCUAGAGAACGUUCAAAAUGUAAUGCAUAUUGGUUUUUUAUUUAUUUAUUUAUUUAUUUAUAGUAUAAGUGAUAUUAUAAACUACAGGAGAAUGAGAUUUCUCUUAUAUACACACAACUACGAUGUAGGAUUUAAAUAGAAAAACUCAUACUCUUAUCAUUGAGCUAUGAACUAGCAGAUAUUAAAUCUUACUCGUGUCAAAAGAGUUUAGGCUAAUUGCCCACUCUGAAAUGAAUGAGAAUGAGGGAGAUAAAAUUGUCAUAAAAGGACAGAACAAAAUAAUACAUAAGUUUUCUAAAAAUAAUAAUACAUAAUUUUUUAACAAAAAUAGCAACGGGCAUCCUUUUUUCUUCUUCUUUGGUUUGGUCCUCCCGUUCUAUUCACGGCAAUACCACUGAGGUGAUUGAGAAAUAGGCAUUGACAAUAAUACAUAAAUUUAAAGUCUAAACUCCAAGCUUAGCUUAGGGUUAAGUAUCCAAUAUUAAAGUUUAUGUCUUCCCUUGUGCUGCUGGUAGUAUUCAUCCACUCUUCAAAAUAUAGGAAGUAGAGUUGGGGGUUUGGCAUGAUGAGGUGGUGGUGGUGGUCUCACUAUAGGGGUUGUGUGGUCAUCAAAACCCUUUUAAUUUCCACCAAAACCCUGAGAUUGACUUUGUUGGAAAAUUUAAUAUUAACUAAUAUUGAUUUUCCUAUUUGAAUGGAAAUUAAUAAAAUUUAUUGGGUUAAAGACAUGACUCUUGGGUUAAAGACAUGACUCUUGGGUUAAAGACAUCUUCACAUGGGAGGUGACAACUUUUCAGACCAAGGGAUGCAUUGUUUGCCUUUUCAGAUUGAGAUACCUUUUUAGAAAGGGUAUUUCAUCAUCUAUAAAUAGAGCAAUCCUCCUGCAGUUUUAUUCAUUCAUGUUAAUUCUCUACAUACAGACUUUCACAUAUAGAAAGCAUUAGAGUUUUCAUAAAGAGAGGUUCCUGCAUAAUUUGGUUCAAAGUUCCUUGUGAAUUGCAGUGCUUCUUUCACAAGGAGGGGAGUCGUUGUAUCCUGAGAGGUGAACGCUAGUGAACCAUAAGCACCGUUGUGGGGCGUAAUUCGUCUUAAGGUCAAAGUGUCCAACACUUGCUUCGACUCAAUCAAGGUUCUUCUAAUUCAAUUCUCCUUUUGUAAAAAUCUAUUUUAUGUGCAGUAUUUAUUUUGUUUAUUUAUAGCAAUUUAGCACUCAUAUUUCCAACAGACUUGAUUGCCCUUCAAAAAGAAGAUUUCUCUGUAAUCCAUGUGAUAUUUGUGUGAUGAACUAACUCUUAGUCGAGUAGUAUUUAUUUUCCUAAUACAAAAAGAUGCGUCGAAUUGAAACCCUGUUCCUCUUAAUUUCCCCCUCAAACAGUUUGAGGGUAAAGUUAGUCUUAUGAUAUUAUGACUGUAGAGAGCUAGAACCAAGCAAAACAUUUUGUAUAUCUUUUCCUGUUUCUGGGUUUUAGGUUUAGCCCUUCCUUUUUUGGUUCGUUAGGCUCUUGGUUUCCUUUUAUUUUUUGGGCCGACGGAUUGAAUGUCAAAACCCAAAAUAUGUAAGUUCCAUAUACAUUUUCCAAACGAAUCUUAUGAUCUAAAUUGAAGAAUUUUAUGAUCUAAAAUUGUUGGUCGUAGGUAUUUUAUGGUUGGAGCCCUUCUGUUGUUCUUUGGGCUCAAGUUUAUUUACUUAUUUUGGGCUAUUUAUGACUUUUUGGGUCCCUUUCAAUUGAAGGGUCACUCUCAAAUAGAACAUAUUAUUGCUGGAAAUAGUUUUGCUCGUGAAAAAUAAAGAAAUUCGGUUUGCUGGAAAUAGCCAUUGACAAUAAUACAUUUUAAAGUCUUAAACUCUAAACUUAGCUUCGGUUAAAUAUUCCAUUAAUGGCAGAAUGUUAAGGCUAAAAGUGUAGGAAUGCCAGCCAAAGGGUAUUAUUAACUAGGGCUGGCAAUGGGUCGUGUCGUGUCGGGUUCGUGUCGUGUCGGGAUAAUAAACGUGUCAAGAAUGCUCAACCCGAACCCAACCCAUUUAAUAAACGUGUCGUGUCGGGUUCGGGUCGUCUUUUAUCGUGCGGGUUUCGAGUCGUGUAACGGGUUCAUAAAGAAUAACAUGCAUGUUACAAAACUCACAACCGAAAAAAUUUUAAUUAAAAAAAACAGAGAGAGUGGAGAAAAUAUAAGGAAAAGAAAGAAAGAAAAAAGAUAGAGAGAGGAGAGAAGAGAGAAGGAAAAGAAAGAAAAAAAAAUAGAGAGAGAGAGGGGGAGAGAGAGAGAGAGAGGAGAGAAGAGAGAAGGAAAAGAAAGAAAAAAAAAUAGAGAGAGAGAGGGGGAGAGAGAGAGAGAGAGGAGAGAAGAUUGAAGGAAAGAAAGAAAGAAAAAAGAGAGAUGAGAGAAAACUAAAGAGAAGGAAAAAAAAAGAAAAAAAAAAGGAGAGAAGAGGAAAGGAAAAGAGAAGAAAAAAAAAAGAGAGAGGAGAAGAAAGAAGGAAAAAAAAGAAAAAAAAAAUGGAGAAGAGAGACGGAAAAGAAAGGAAAACUCAAAAGAAAAAGAAACAUUAUAAAUAUCAAAAGGCAUACCAUAAAAUCACAAAGUUAGUUGUAGCAUGGUGGAUAAGUUGUUUGAGAAAAUGAGGAUGGGAGGGGUUCGAAACCCCUUGUGUGUGUGUUGAAGUCUCCAUUUGUCUUUAUUUUUUAGCGGGUUAGAGGGUUGUACACGGGUUGACACGACCCGUGACACGACCCGUUUAAUAAACGGGUUAGAUAGGUAUUAUAGCGGGUUAGCGGGUUGACUCGAAACCCACCCGUUUAUUAAACGGGUCAGAACGGGUUGACCCGAAAUUGACCUGUUUUUUUAUUGUGCGGGUUGAACCCGCUAAUUUCUCGUGCGGGUUUCGAGUCGUGUAUCGGGUCGUAUCCGAAAUUGCCACCCCUAUUAUUAACUGCGUCCAAGAAGCAUACUAAUAUCUUCUUUAUACGUCUGUGAGUCAUUAGUGAAUCUUAAUUGGUAUCAUGCUUUAUGCAUGGUUACUUACUUUGAUAUUCAAGGAGUAGAAGAAAUAAAUUUAUUGUGGUGUGGUAAUUUAAAUCAUGAAUAUAUAUAUAUAUAUAUAUGCAUGGAGCUUCCGUUAAGCGAUUCCUUAAAUAAGUUUAUUUGAGAUACACUCUUGUAGGGCCCACCAUACAUUGUAAUUCAUUAAUCCCAAUCAUCUUUGAAAAAAAUCACUUGAAUCCGAUAUCAUUUGAUCACUCAAUUAAAUUAUUGAAAUUUUAAUAAUUUCUUGACGCACCGUGUUCAUUGAUUUUGUAGGACACAAUUAGAUGUCUAAAUGGUUUCUGAUUUAUGUAAUUUUUUGCAAAGAUGAUUUAUAAAUGAAGAUUUCAAAAAUAGAUGGUUUGGAUUGUUAGAAAAAUAUUCGUAGGAUACCCUAAAGGUUCUACUUGAAAUAAAAUUAUUUGAGGGAUCUCUCAAUAGAAGGAUUGAAACACCUGAUUUGCACUAUCUCUGGAGCAAGACUAUUACAACUUGUUAAUUCAAAUUCAACAGAUUUACGCUAUAUACAUAAUUGUAAUCGUAAUCAUAUGAUUCAAACUUGAAACCCCAUUCAACUAAGUGAAUACAGCUACCCAUAAAAUCAUAAACUAGUUGAUACCAUAAUUAUUUAAUAUAAACAAAUUUUGAAUCCGUAUUUUCUGUUUAGUACCGUGCCUUUAUGCUGCUUUGUUCAUAUACUUGUAGUCUGCUAGUGAUGAAAAUGUUUGAGAUUAAAUUUAUUGAAGAUUUCCUGAUUUUGCUAGUUCUGUUUGCCAACCGAUUAUAAUUCUUUGUAUGUUCUGAAACCUUUGUUCAACAUGGUGGGUUUUAUAAUUUAGAAUAGAAGCUUAAAUUUUAUGAAUAAAACUUACUCACUUGGGAAAUAAUUGUUUUUUAAACAAAGAGAAUCUGAACAUAUGCUCCCUCGGAUACAAAGCAAAUUAGAACACCAACUUGUCCAAACAUAAUGAUGAUGACAUGAGCAUUGGUUACAAACACUAAUAAUUAGUUUAUGGUCAUUAAUUUGGAUGAAUAUGUGGUGUUGAGUUUGGGGUGUGGGGUUGUCUUGUAGUAUGGGGGCAGCUUCUAAUUAUAUAUGGAGCUGGAGUGAAUUUAAUAUAUAUCUUUCCCUGUGCUGGUAGGAUUCAGGACUCUUCAGUAUAGGAGGUAGAGUUGGGGGUUUGGCAUGAUGAGGUUGUGGUCUCACAAUGGGAGGUGAAGAACUUGGUGCUUUUUUUAAUAUAAUAUAAUUAUAAAUUAAUUUAAUUUACGGAGAAGGGAAUUUGAGCUUCAGUGCAGGAGGGGCCGGCUUACUAUCCUAGCCAAUUGGCUUACAUCUGUAAAGAACUUAUUGAUUUGACAGGUGGCUCUACUAUGAGAAAAACUUAUAUGAAACAGGGAUAUCACGGUUUUGCUAUCCCUAACCAAUUAUGCUAUGCCAAGUGGAAAAGUUAUCACGUGUGGCAUAGCAUGAUUGAUAGAGGAUAGCAAACCAGUGCUAUACCCAUUGCACAUAAGCAAGGUCUAAAAUAUCGAGAAAAUAUUGGACUCGUUCAAGGUUAAAGAAAACUUAAAAAACAUUAGCCUCUCUCUCUCUCUCUCUCUCUCUCUCUCUCUCUCUCUCUCUCUCUCUCUCCUUGCCGACAACCAACCUUUCUUAAGCUAGGGGAGGUGUCCACUGCCGCUCCUCCCCUCUGCCCAUCUUCUCCAUUCCUAUCCUCUCUCCCAUCUUUUUCCAUUCCUCUCAUCUUUUUUCUCCCUCUUUCCACUUUCCUUAGGGCUCUUGCUGGCCCUUAUCUCCCAUUCCUCUUCUCCUCUCUAGAUAUACUUAGAUCUUGGGCUUUUAGCCUUGAUUUAUUUGGAUCUAGGUAUGUUUGUGUGUUUUUUUUGUUUGGCUAUUUUUGCACUGUUCUAGGUGGCUGGUGUUGUCUUCAUCUCGGUGGCUACAUGUAACAUCCCACAUCGACUUACGAAGAGGGGAUGAUGUGACUUAUAUGUACAUGCUCACCUCCAUCUAGCACGAGGCCUUUUGGGAGCUCACUGGCUUCGGAGUCAUGAGAACUUCGAAGUUAAGCGAGUUUGGGCUAGAGUAAUCUCAGGAUGGGUGACCCAUUGGGAAGUUGCUCAUAAGUUCCCAGAAACAAAAAUCGUAAAGGCAGGGGGCCCAAAGCGGACAAUAUCGUGCUACGACCGAGCCGAUCAGGAAUGUGACACUGCAACAGUAGUGACGCUGGAUUGGGUCUCUCUCUUUAGGAGAGUUGGGAUACUUGGUGACUAAUAUUUUGUCUUUGUUUCAACGAUCGCGGCAGCAUCGACGCUGGUUGUAGUUGUUGGCAUGUGGUGGUGUGCCCUCUGAGGGGUUUCGUCUUCUGUUUUAGCAUAUGUUUUGUUGUCAUUUUCCAUUGUUUUGUUGCUCAUUUGCAGCUUGUCUCUACUCUGUGCAGCCCAAAGACCUAUGUUUGGUCAUAUGAGUUCCUUUGUCAUGUUCUAAGUUGAGUUGGAGUGCUUUUAAGAGGCCUCUCUUAUUAUUAUUUCAUGCUCUUCAACUGUGUGCUUUCUUGGGUUUCUGUCAUUUGUGUGUUUUUGUAGUUCGUAGGCAGUUAAAUGACUAUGAGUUUAUCUCAUAAAAGGCUUCUUUUGACAAUUGGGAUGCGAUGCGGUUCUCUUUAUGGGUCUAUUGUGUUAGUGUUUAAUUGAUUUUUUUUUUUCUGUUCUUGUAAUGGUCUUUUGUGGUUCAGGUCUUAGUCCUUGGCAUGUGUAGUACUCUUUCCUAUCCUAGGGUUUGUCUAAAGUGGUUUUCCUAAUAAGGUUUUAAUUAGGCUAUUGUAUUCAUACUAGUCUUUGUAUGCCGUUUUGGCUUAUUAAUGAAAUCUUCUUCUAUAAAAAAAGGUCUAAAAUAUCAAGGGUUUAGGAAAUAUCGGAGGUCCAAAAAUACGGAAAUAUUGGGAAAUUAUCGAUAUCGAGAAAAAUUGAAUAAAAACCACUGAAACUGUAAGAAAAUUUUGAUUCAAACUUUAGAGGUUGUUUAUUUUGUCAAUUAUCUAUUAUUUUGAUUUAUUUAAGUUGAUUAUAUAGCGAGCUAACAAACAAUAUGAGUGCAGAAAAUAUGUAGUAAUUAAUGAAAAAAAUUAAAUGCCCAUAAUCAUUUAUUCAUAAUGAUUUACUAUAAUAUUUUACACUUUAUAUAUUGCAUGGUAAGAUGCACAAGUGACUUAGUACCACAUAGAGUUCCUAUGAGGUUCAAAAUUUUCAUUGUCUUCAUCGUCUCUAUGUGUAGAGUACGUGUACUAUGAAGAGUAGUCAUCAAAUGGUAAAUUCCCAAAAUAGCUUUGCAUGUAAUUGUUAACAUGUCACCCAUAAAGAUCCAAGAUUGGUUGACGUUGCCCAUAAGCAAAAUCAUUUGAAGAUUGGGCAUCAGAUUCUUUUCAUGAGCCGCUUGAUUCUAUCCCAAAAGGCAUGGGAUACGAAGCAUAAGGAAAGAGUUGGUUUUGCAUAUAAUAAAGUCAUUAGCAGUGUGGAGGAUAAGGCAUUGGAGGAAGAAUUGAAGUGGCACGGGUUCGAAUCCCCAUGCUUACACGCGUACAAGCCUUUUCAAUUUUUUUUUUUCUAUUCCAUGUCCAUAUUGCAUUAUUAUCACUAUUAUCACGAUAUUUUGAGCAAAUGUUGAUGUUAAUUGAAGGAUAUUAUUAGUGUCGAAAUUUUCCCAAAAUUUUCACGAUAUUAUCUAUAUAUAUAAAGCAAAAGGCAGAGAAUGGUGAAACAUUCAAAAUACCAGAAAAUGCCCUUGGUUAAUACAAACAUUAAGAAUUGAAAUUAUUAAUUAAAUGAGGAUAAUAUGGUAAAUUCAUAAUUUUUCGUAUUAAAAAAAUUAAAAUUAAAAGAAAAUUCAGAUAAUAGGUCCUAUUUUUAUGGAACACAAAUAUCCAUUAUCUUUUUUAAUUCUAAAAUAAAUUUAAAUUUUUUUUAAAAAAAACCUCUCGCAUGCGCGGAAGCGCGUGUAGAGAGGCUAGUCUAUAUUUAUAUGAUAAGUACACAGAUCUGUUCCAAAAUAUCCCCUUGCCGAAAAACGAUAAUAUCCUCAAUAUUUCAGCGAUAUUAUCGAUAUUUCAGUCCUUGCACACAAUUAAGUUUCUCCUCUACUAUAGCACAAUCUCCAAACAAUAGCACACGCAACUUUGAGAAACUUUUGAAAGCAAUUUUCCAUCAAAAUCCUGAUAUUGAUUUGAUUGCCCUCCACAAGAAAACAUUCUAUGUAAUCAAUUUGACACGUGUGAUCAUAUUGCCCUUAAUAUAUUAGUACUUUUUUUCUUCUUCUGAAAACAAGAAGAGGUUUCAAAUUUAAAUCCCUUUUCCGUUAAUUUUUUUUUAAAAAUGAUGUUGGUGUAGUGCCUAUUAAAGAUGGCUUGGCGGUAAAGUUAGUCUAAUGAGAUUCUAAGAUAUAGAUGGAUUGUUUAGUUCAAGAUUUAGGAGCUUAGUAAUUGGUAUGAAAUUGCAUUCCCAUAUUUGGUAAAUGCAUUUUUUAGAAUGCAAUACCUAACUCAUUAGUAUGAAAUUCUCAUGUAGAGAGAAUUUCAUACCUUUAGUGCUCCUUGGGAAACUCUUCGUCUAUUGACCCUUAAAAUAGGGUCUAGUCUAGUGGAAAAGAGCAUUGACUUGCAGGUCAGUUGUCUCAUGUUUGAAUCUAGAUGGCACUUUGGAUGUGAGAAACCCUUUUGUAGGACUUAGACUAUCAAUAAUAUUAAAAUAAUACUAAUAAUAACUCAAGGGUGUUACUGAAAAACUGAAAAACUGAAAACUGAAAAACUUUUCAUUUAUAAUACUACACGAACCACACAUAGGAAUGCGAGAAAAUGGCUUUUCCUAAUUCUCACUUCCCAGCGUUCCCAAUCAUGGGAAUGAACAUCCGUCAUUCCCAUAUCGUAGGAUUAGACAUGGAAAUUUCAUUCCCAUGAAAUUUGCAAACCAAACGGGACAGAGAGUUGGAACAAUGCAAAGAUUUUGUUUAUCUUUUGGUUGGGCCAAUAAGUUUCUGGGCCUCCAUUUAUUGUAUCUGGGCCGUUAGAUUUCGGCCUCCCUGUUCUGUUUGUAACCCAGCGGAGGUUGGAGCGCUUUUCUUGUUCUUUGGGCUUAGUUAUAUUUCCUUGUUCUUUGGGCUAUUUCUAAAUUAUUUGGGUUGUGCCUUUUUCUGCGUUUGACGUCGUUUAAUGUUUAAUUUGUUUGAUUUUUGAGUUGGAGCUGGUUGGGUCCUUCUCAUUUGAAGGUAGGGUCAGUCUCAAAUGGAAAAUAUUAUUGCUUGAUGUGAAAAAUAAAGAAAUUCGGUUUUGUGGGCUUAUGGCCUAAAUUAAUUGAGGAAUAAUGCCAUUCAAAAGACUGAAUUAACAUGACCCACAUUUUUCCAUCCUGGAAAACUUGUUCCUUAAGCAGAUCAUGGCUACUGAUGAAGUAAAGAAGAAAGGGAUGCUUAAAAAGAGAUAUAUAUAUAUAUAUAUCAAAUGAGCCAAGAAUUAAUGAAAUUUUGUAAAACUGAGAUUACUGAAUUACUUGAAAAAGGAAUAAUCUGUAAGAUUAGUCACCCUGGUCUUGUCCUGCUUUCUAUGUCCAGAAAAAUGCUGAAUUAGAACGCGGAGUCCUAAGAUUAGUCAACCCAAGUGGCUGGUUUAGAUUUUCUGAGUCAAAAGAGUCUUUGAGCACAGCUUCAAGAAAGUCACUCCAGUUGAAUUAUGAGAUUCCUAAAGCCCAUGUCUGUCAAAAUAAAAUCUGUUUUAAGACUUCUUUUGUCUUAGUUAAGAACAUUACUGAUGAAGUCAUCCUAGGUUUAUCCUUUAUUGCCCUUUUAUAUCCUUUCCAGGUAGAACACGAUGGAGUCAUUUCCACCUGUUUAGGAGAAAAGGUUAAGUUUGAAUUCCUUAGUAAACCAGAGUUACAUAAUUUAAAAGAAUUACAAAAGAAUGCAGUCACUAAAACAAUCAGAGUCAUUCAAAAUAAAGAUAAGCAACUAAAAUUCCUCCAGGACGAAGUUAAAUAAAAAAGAAUUGAGCAACAGCUUAGUCAUGAGUCUUUACAGUCACAAAUUCGACAGUUUGAAGAAAAAUUAAAACAAGAAGUUUGUUCUGAGUUGCCCAACGCCUUUUGGCAUAGGAAACAGCAUGUAGUCAGCCUUCCUUAUGUCAAAUCCUUUAGUGAGAAAAAUAUCCCCACUAAAGCCAGACCAAUUCAAAUGAGCCAAAAAUUAAUGGAAUUUUGUAAAACUGAGAUUACUGAAUUACUUGAAAAAGGAAUAAUCCGUAAGAGUAAGUCACCUUGGUCUUGUCCUGCUUUCUAUGUCCAGAAAAAUGCUGAAUUAGAACACAGAGUCCCAAGAUUAGCCAUUAAUUACAAACUGCUUAAUACUGUUUUAGAAUGGAUUAGAUAUCCAAUCCCCAAUAAAAGAGAUUUAAUUAAUCGUUUAGAGAAGUCAGUCAUCUUUUCUAAAUUUGAUAUGAAGAGUGGAUUUUGGCAAAUCCAAAUUUGUGAGUCUGAUAGAUAUAAAACUGCUUUCGUUACCCCAUUUGGUUAUUAUGAGUGGAAUGUUAUGUCAUUUGGUCUUAAAAAUGCACCCAGUGAGUUUCAAAAUAGAAUGAAUGAGAUUUUUAUUCCAUUUAAUCACUUUUCCAUAGUCUAUAUUGAUGAUGUACUUAUAUUUUCUGAGUCAAUAGAACAGCACUGGAAAAAUUUGCAUAAGUUCUUACAAAUAGUCAAACAAAAUGGAUUAGUCGUAUCUGCUAAGAAAAUUAAGUUAUUCCAAACUAAUGUGAGAUUUCUUGGGUUUAAUAUCUGUCAGUCACAGAUUAGCCCCAUAGAUCGAGUUAUCCAAUUUGUUGAUAAAUUUCCUAAUCAAAUCCUAGACAAAAGUCAACUCCAGAGAUUUCUAGGAUCUCUAAAUUAUGUUUCUAAUUUCUAUAAGAAUUUGAGAAAACAAUGUAAGCCUUUAUUUGAUCAUGUAUGGAGACGUCUAAUGAUAAGAGGCAACUGGAAGAUUAGACGGAGCAAUAUCUUGGAAGGGAUCAUGACUGGAUAUUAGGGCAGACUGAAAACUGGGGCGAACCUGGCCGACUGUGGCUCCUAGGUUGGCAAAUCUGUUACUAAUUUGGAUGGGAGAAAAUCCCUGAAAGGGGAGGAUCUGAGCAGGUGACUCUUGUUUGGCUUGACUCAUUGAUGGAGGGAGGACUCGGAGUGACUGGGGUUGACUAGACUGACCAACUUGACUCUUUUGCUUGUCUUUUUCUUUUCUUCUUUAUGCCAUUGUUUUCCCUGCAGGAAUUCUCUAGUAAGAAAAUCAGGGACAAAAUAUAUAUAUGGAGUUUGAGUUGAGGGAUCUCUCAAAUAAGCUUAUUUGAGAGACAACUUGUAGGGUACACUCUUUGUUGUAUUUCACUAAUCCUAACCGUCUAUUUUUUAGAUAUUCAUUCAAAGAUCAUCUCUACAAAAAAUCACUUGAAUCCAAUAUCAUUUGACAAUUCAAUUGAAAUAUUGAAAUUUUAGUAUUUUCUUGAAGCACUGUGUUAAUUAAUUUUGUAUGACACAAUUGAAUAUUGAAAUAGUUUCCGAUUUGUCCAAUUUUUUUUCAAGGAUGAUCUAUAAUUGUAGGCUUAAGAAAUAGAUGGUUUGGAUCGUUGAGGGAUCCCUCAAAUAAUCUUAUUUAAAAGACACCUUUGUAGAGCUCACUCCACAUUGUAUUUCACUAAUCUAAACCGUUUAUUUUUUAGAUAAUCAUUCAAAGAUCACCUCUACAAAAAAUCACUUGAAUCCGAUAUCAUUUGACAAUUCAAUUGAGUUAUUGAAAUUUUAGUACUUUCUUAAACUACCGUGUUCAUUGAUUUUGAAGGACAUAAUUGGAUUUCGGUUUCUAUUUGUCAAAAUAUAUAUAUAUUGAACUACUUUUUGUUGCCAUUGUCUGCUGCUAGAUUCACACACACAUAUAUAUGCUCUUCCAUUGAUGAAGCUGGCAUUAUAUUUAUAGUGAAUUUCGUGAUGUGGAUUAUUGUGUUUGCGGACCAAUCAUUCUCUGUAUGUUGUGAAAGCUUUGUUUAUCAUGGUGGGUUUUGUCAUUUAAAAACAUAUACAAUGUCAACCAACCAAUUUUACAAUAUCAUAAAACACAAGUAAUAGUAUUACUGCAGUUGGAAAUUGAUAUUGCAUACAUAUAUAAAGCAAGAAACAACAUGCUCAAUCAGCCACAAGUGAAGAAACAACUUGCUGAUACAUAACCACAUGACAUGAAAAUUUCAUGCAAAUAACUAGUAAUUAUAAUGGAGUCACACUAGAAGCUGCUGCAAAAUGAGUUGGUGUCCAGAACUCUUAUUUCUAGCAAGCAACUGGCUCUCUCUCAUUUAUUCUAACUCACUAGUUGAGAUGGACAGGUGGAGUUCAGGGCUUCUGGGGUGGAUUGUAGUAUGGGGGAGGCUUCUUCUUAUAUGGAGUUGGAGGAGGAGGAGGUUUCUUCCCUUCUGGCUUUUGUGGGGGUAGAGGAGCCUUGAUUGGAGGAGGGUGUUUAGGGUAACUAGGUGUGAUUGGUUUCACAACAGGAGGUAGAGUUGGUGUCUUAGGAUAAGGUGGUGGAAGUGGCUUGGUCACCGGCGUAGGUGGCGGUGAAUGUACAAUAGGAGGCUGAGUGCUUGGUGGUUUGCCAUAAGGUGAGGAUGGUGGUGGCCUCACCACUCUAGGAGGCAGAGUUGGUGGUUUGGGUUUGGGCACUAUUGGUGGUGAUGGCUUGUUAUAAACUGGGGGUGAUGGCUUCUUGAUGGGAGCUGGGGGCUUGUAAAUAGGAGAAGGAGUUGGUGGUUUGGGUUUGGGCACUAUUGGUGGUGAUGGCUUCUUGAUGGGAGCUGGGGGCUUGUAAAUAGGAGAAGGAGUGGGUGGCUUGGGUUUUUCAUUGUACUCAGCUAGAGAUGAAGUGAUGAGAACCACCAGGCCAAACAAUAGCACAAGCAACUUUGAGUAACUCAUGGUGUUUGUGUUUUUGUGAUGGUAUAAGAUCUAGACGGCAUCGUUUGCUAUUUAUAGUGCUCUCAGGCCUGUGUCGGCAAUACGUGUCAAAAGAUCUUGGUCAUUUUGUUUCAUAGUUAACAGUCAAGGAUUUUCAAAUUCAUGAGAAGAAAAGUACGAUUUUUUUGGCUGAAUAAAAGUUUAGAAGAGGGGAGGCUACACCAUCUUAGAGUUAGGACAUAUCAAAGUUUUCUUGAGGAUUUACAGAGGGGGUUUUAGUCUUUUUUUUUUGUUUUUACAGAUUAUCCCCCAAAAAGAAUUUUCGGCAACAGAACCCGAAUCUAAGUCUUGAUAGCAAAGAGAAUGAUCCUUAUCAACUCAACCAACCCUCGUUGACAGAGAAGUAAGAUUUUCAAUUGGUACGGAUGAUUGUUGAUAUAAGUGUUGUUGAUAGAGAAUCCCAAGUAUAAAUGGUAAAUUCUCUUAAUCAUUUGAGCAACAAAUUCUUUAUAAGUAAUUUGACUGAUUGAUUAUUGAUUGCAAUAAUGGUAAGUGUAAAUAAAAAUUGAGUAGUAUUUAAUGGAAAAUGACAUGACAGUAUUUUACUAGUUGAAAAUAGAACCAAGUUGUCGGUGUAGAUAAAAACAAAUGAUUCAGUCUUCCAAAAUGUGGAGAUUUGAAUUUGUGUUCGUCUAGCAUUAAUCUUUUAAAAAGAUUUUGGAUUUUUAUGUGAAUUUAAGUUAAUUUGAGUCUACAUUAUGCGUUCCAUGGUCUAUAUAAUUUAGACUGGUUUAAUUUUCCACAUUGAAUGACUUUUGUAUGUGGACUUUUCCCCCCAUCUUUCUUUAUUAUUGUCCUCUCCUCCGUUGUCGUUAGUUUUGUCACUUAUCAUCCUUGUGGUGUGAUGAUAAUUGGAAACGAGUGUUUCUAUUCUCGUUUCCCAAGCUAUGUUAUUAAAAUCUAACAUGAUUUGCAAAGGAUUCAUUAGGGUAGUAAUUUGGAGUAUUUAUUUCCUCAGGUAAGUUCUGGGUUCGAGUCGUAGUAUCUGUGUAGUGUGUGAGAGUUUAGCAUGCUAUUGCCCCUCUCAAUAGGAAAGGUCCUAAAAAAAAUCUAACAUGGUUUAUAUUGGUAUCAGGACUCUUCCAAUGGGACUACUGAGGGAACUGAGGCCAAGCCAUUGAUAUGUCAGCUUAGCGUUAAUGAAGAAAUAAAUAUAUUUGCUAACCAAGGUGGUAUGGGACUAGUGUGUAAGUAAAUGCCUUCUUCAUUGGGCUAGACUCUGUUAGCAUUAGGCAUUAAAACUUAAUAUCUCUUCCAACGGUGAAAAAAGAUGUAUCACUGAAUCACUAUAGGUACGGUAUUAUUUCACUUUCAUCUUUUACUAUCUAUUUUCAACGUACUAUAUCACUAUUGGAACAAUGCAAAAUUUCUGGAAUCAAUUAGGGAACAAAGGUGUGAAUAUUAUAUCUCCGUUCCCUUUUGUAAUAAAAUAUGUAUAGAGUUGAGCAAUGGUCACAAAAUUCGUUGCUUUCCAAUAGAUUGCUAUUUCAUUUCUGGUUAAAUCGUCUUGUAGUGGAAAAAACUGAGUCUUCAGCAGCCGCGUUUCUUGAUUUCUCUCAUGGAUUUGGUGAAUUUGAUGGCUGCUUGCGGACCAAUUAGCCGAAGGACAUGUGCUCUCUAUCUAACCCCGUCAUAGUCUGUAUAGCUCUACCUAAAAGGUAAAAAUCAGAGAAAGGAGAGAUCGGACUUGCGACCAAAUAUAUAGUGAGACACAUUACAAGAUUCUUGAAAGAUCUUGAGCCUCUCGAUCUAAAUUGGUUUUGAUUUGGAUGUUCAUAUUUUAUAUUCUAUAUAUAUAUAAUAACGUAAUAUAUUUACUAAUCUUGUUUUUACAGAAAAUUGUUAAGGAUUAUUGCAAAACGAAAGUGUAUUUGUUUAUUUGUUUGGGUUAUUCCCACAAUGUUCAUCCCACCGCCGCGUAUUUUGCUUUCUCUAUAGUGGUUAGGUCCAUUCACGUCAAUAUUAUAUUCAAUCUAAUUUUAGCUUUCAAUUACCAGUGUCCACUCGGUUUUCUUGACGUUUUGAUGUCAUGUAUUGGACCCGAAUAUCGGAUAUCAUCUGUCUCUUCCGCUGAUGAAGGGAUAAAUGCCAUCGAAUCAGAAGAUCUUACUUUUCCAAGGGGGCUUUUCUCUUGUCUCCUCCCAAUCUUCGUCGACUAAGAUCUUACUUUUCUUUUUCUUCUUUUAUAUUUCUACCUUCUUAAUCACUGUACGAAGGGAGAAUUUAUCAAAAAUAGCUAAAAUUUGACUCUUAAUUUCAAAAAUGUUAAUUUUUGUAAAAAUUUCAAUAUAACAGAAAACUCACUUAAAUAGAUACAAAUGUCCUUAAAUUUAAAACUUACAUAAACCUAAAAAAGAAACCUUAUUAAAUAAAACUUUGAAAUAUUUCCUCCAAACACUUUUCCAAUCACCUCUAUUUCUUUUUCUCUUUUUUUUUCCUUCUUCCGUUUGUCUCCAGCAUCACUCCCUCUCUUUUCCUUUUUUUUUUUCUUUCUUCUUCUCUCCACAUAUAUAUAUAUAUAUAUAUAUAUAUAUCUAUCUAUCUAUCUCUCUCUCUCUAUCUCUCUCUCUCUCUCUCUCUCUCUCUCUCUGUGCAUAUCUCUAUUCUUCUUCUCUCCCAUUUUCUCCAAAUAAAAUGUAUGUAUUUAUUUGGCAAAAAAAAAAGUAUUUAGAACCAAAAAUUCAGAAAAUGAUUGAAUCAAUGCACAAGUAUAAUUUCCUCCUCUCACCCAAAAAAAAAUAUUUAUUUCACAUAACUUUAAUUCUUCAAAAACUGUCACAAAUUUAGAGGUAGUCUGUAGAACAAAAAAUUCAAUAAAACGAUCUACAUUAAAAAAAUAUAUAAUUAAAUAUUCAUUCAUUACAAUUCAUAAAGUUAAAGAGAAAAAUAUUACACCAGUCCGUCUAUGAGGUAGGAUGAAGUGCAAUUGAAUUCUUGGAAGUUUGUCAAUAAUGGCCAAUUGAACCACAUCUUGAACACUUACGAGUUGAUGGUUCUUCUCCUCGUGAUGGGAUUCUCUUUUCCUCAAGCCUGCCGUGCCUUCUUCGUGUAAUUGGUGGUAGCACAAUUCUAUCUCGUACAUCAUCAAGCACCACCCAAUCUGUUUGAUCCCCAACUAGCCAUAUAGAUUCUGCAUCCGCAAUUACCAAUGAGUUUGUAGUAUAAUAUUUUGAACACAUUGGGUAGCACGAAAUUUGUCAAUGCGUACAUGCAGCACAAGCAUCUUCUGCUACACAUAUGUCAGAAUCAUCAUAUUACUAGACUCAAUAAUUUUCCAAGCCUAUCAGCACUAACCUUUGAUGCAGGCUCAAAGUGAAUUGACGAUAUUAAAUCAUAGCACUUUGAAUAGGGCUCAAGAGUCCAUUAACAGAAAUGUCGCAACUAUGGACAUUAAGUUAGCAAAACCAGAAUUGAAAUUUUAUAAAUAUAGUAUGAAGAAUAAACGAAGAAACGAAGUAACGAAGAAGAAAUUGAACGAAGAACCAAAGAAGAACAGCACUCUACGUACAAAGAUUCUCAAUCUAAUAGGGUUUUGUUUUUUAGGUUUAUGUUGGUUUUAAAUUUAAGGGUAUUUGUGUCUAUUUAGGUGAGUUUUCUUCUAUAUUUGAAAUUUUUUAUAAAAACUAACAUUUUUGAAAUUAGGGGUCAAGUUUUGGCUAUUUUUGAUAAAUUCUCAUACGAAGGAUUAUCUUUUAGGUGUGAACCUUAAAACACCAUUGGAUGAGAUUUAUGAUUCGUGUAGGAAAAAAAAAUCAAAGGAAGAAUGAGGAGAGCGAUGUUGAAGAAUAUUGAAGUCCCACAUCAGAAACUUAACAAAAUAAUCAAAUACUCCAUAUAAUGAAUGAUUCCACUAUUAAUAAUAUCGAGACUUUUUGUAUAAAAUUUCACAACUGCUAAACAAAUGGUUAAAUUAAAGACAAUAUUGAUAUUAUUAGUAGUGGGUCAUGAGUCCCGAAUAAUUCAAGGGUCAUGAGUCCCGAAUAAUUCAAGGGGAUGGUUUGAAAAAUUCAAUCUAAUUCUGGCUUUCAAUUACUAGUAUCCACUCGUUUUUCCUGAUGUUUUGAUGUCAUGUACUGUUUGAUUUUCAAACUAAUUAUGGGAUGGUUUGAAAAAUCAAACUAAUUAUGGGAUGGUUUGAAAAAUCAAACUUAGAGAAAGCAACCCUUACUGCCUAGAAAAAGAAAAAGGUUAGCCGGCCCUAACUUCUCGUUAAGGAUAAAAAUUUGAACCGGCAAAUCAGUGAACCGGAACCGAAUCUGCAUGAACUGGCUAUAUUUAUAUCUAGUUUUUAAUUUAUUUUUACAGAUGUCUUGUUCUCAUUGUUUUUUUUUUUUGACCUUUCCUAUUGAAAGGGGCGAUAACAUAUUAAACUCACACACACAACACGGAUGUCUUGUUAUCAUUGUUGAUUCUAUACAAUUAGUACAAAGUAAUUUAACAAACAAAGCAAUUUUCUAAAACGGUCCUCCUUUUUUCUCCUUCUAUGGUUUGGUCCUCCUAAUCUAUUCACGGCAAUACUUUGGGCACUGAGGUGAUUGAGCAUAGCCAUUGACAAUAAUACAAUUUAAAGUCUUAAACUCUAUACUUAGCUUAGGGUUAAGUAUUCCAUUAGUGGCAGAAUGUUAAGGCUAAAUAUACGCUAUCUUAAAAAGUCAACCACAAUUAUAUAUGUAACGCACUAUAAAUAUAAAAUGGGGUUAAUGACCUAAAUGGUCUUUCAACUAUUGCUCCAUUAUCAUUUUGGUCCACCAACUAAAAUUUUCAAUUCAAACGUCCUCAAACUUUUUAUUUUGUACCAAGAUGGUCCAUCCGUGACAGAUUCUGUUACUUCUGAUCACGCGAUGGCCACGUGACUGAGUUUUGAAGGGUAUAUGCAACUUUUUGAGAAGCUUUAUCGAAGGGUAUCACUAAAAUGGUCCAUCAACUGUUGCUUCAGUAUCAUUUUGGUCCACCAACUAAAAUUUUCAUUUGAACUGUCCUUCUACUUCUUUUUUUUUUCUUUUUUUUUUGUUAUCAAGAUGGUCCUACUAUCAAAGUCCAUCAAUUUUAUUGUUAUUUAAUUUUGUAUUUAUCUUAUUUUAAAAUUUUUAAUUAAUUUAAACAAUAGAGAAAUAAAUAUUACUUUUUAAGUCCAUGUCAUAAAAUAAAAAAAGCCAUGUUGGUGGUGAGAUUCAAUUUUUUCAAUUUUAAAAUUAGGUACAAGUUCCUAUAAUAGUUUCCUUUAAUUUUAAUUAUUAUUUUCUCUUUUAAAAAAUUUGUUAUUAUAUAUAUGUGAUUUUAAUUAAUUUAAACAAUAGAGAUUUUAUUAUUAAUUGUUAGGUCAGUGUCAUAAAAAAAAAAAAGCCAUGUGGCUAGUGAGAUUCAAAUUUUUAAAAUUUUUUAAGUUUUAUAAUAGUUUCCUUGAUACCAAAAAAAAAAAAAAGAGUUGAAGGAUGGUUCAAAUGAAAAUUUUAGUUGGUGGACUAAAAUGAUACUAGAGCAAUAGUUGGGGGACCAUUGUGAUCAAUAACCCUUUUAGAAGAGGAUACUCACCUAAAAAUACGGUUUUGUCCCUCGAUUUCACGGAAUAAUACACAGACUUUGACAGAUGGACCAUCUUGGUACAAAAUAAAAAGUUUAAGGACGUUUGAAUUGAAAAUUUUAGUUGGUGGACCAAAAUGAUAAUGGGAGCAAUAGUUGGGGGGACCAUUUAGGGUCAUUAACCCAUAUAAAAUCGUUAAGGGUAAUGUUAUACUAGAUCCCGAGUCUAUGCAUUUAGAGUCCACGCAUUUACCCGUAUUUGACUUCAUAUCAACCAUUACAAAGAUCCAACGACUUAAAAUAUGAUAGAUCAUUAUUACAUCAUAAAGUUUUAUUUUUCUAACUGACGUUACUGUUACCAUUUCCUCAAAGCCUUUCUCCCUUGCUUGUUCUCUUCCCUCUCUAAUCUCUCUCAAUUUUUGCUUCUCAUGAAUAUCUACUACCCAGCAUCAUAAAUUGAAUUUCCUAUUUUUAGUACAAUUUCAAUCAAUUCCCCCAUUGCCAAUUGGUUUUGGAGUGUAACCUCAACUUCCUUCACUUAUGUCCUCAGGCUCUCUCCAGUUUGUAUUGUUUGCUUUUUGGGUUUUGUGUAGGUGAAGGAAGUUGAUAAUUGAGUCUGAGAGCGUUUAUGGUGGCGAGAAAGCUUUGUUUCAAUGGAUGUUCUUUUUUUGCAAUGUCUGUUGAUUUGGCUUCCUCGUUUUUAGAGAGACAGAGUUAAUGGAAGGACUAAUGUUAGUUUAGGGAAGAAAAAAAAAACUAAAUUUCAUAACCGACACGUGGUAUAAAAUGUAGAGAUGCCAUAUUAUGUGAUAUAAAAAUGUGGUAAGACUAAUAUUAUUGUAACCGUAAUCAUAUGAUUCAAACUUGAAACCUCAUUCAACUAAGUGAAGACAACUACCCAAAAAAUCAUAAACUAAUUGACAUAAAAACUAUUUAUUAUAAACAAAUUUUGAAUCCAUAUUUUCUGUUAAAUAUAGAUGUAGGACUAGGGUUAAGUAUUAAGUUGGAUGAUAUUUUUGUCUUUUUACUAUAAUUAUUCUCUCUGCUGCUACGGGAUGGGUUAAGGCCUCCCUUGCUGCUGUGAUUAAGGUGGAUAAGGUGCAUUCUUUUAUCUAUUGGAAACCUCCUCGCCCUGCUCAGUUUAAACUUAAUGUUGAUGGGUCUAGAUGCACUUCCUCUGGAUGUAUUGGGGCUGGGGUUGUGAUUCGUGAUGCUUAUGGGGGCGGAUUGGUGGUUUUUCAGUGCACCUUGGCCACAGACAUAUCUUGGAUGCUGAAAUUUGGGGGUUAUAUUUUGGCCUUAAGCUUGCUGUGACUAAGGGUAUAAGCUGCCUUAUUAUUGAAAUGGAUGCUGCUGUGGUUGCCCAACUAGUCAAGAAUAUUGAUGGUCUGGCUCACCACCCCUUUGCUUUACUGAUUAAUGUUUGCUGUGCUCUCAUGCAACAAUUUGCAAAUAGUUGCACUCUCCUUCAUAUUUACAGAGAAGGAAAUUGUGUGGCUGACGGUUUGGCAAAUUGGAGUUACAACUUAGACCUGGGUAUCCUUUAUUUUAAUGAAGCUCCAAAUGUGUCAUAUCUUAAUUCAUUAGAUUAUUAGAACGAUGGGUAAAUGCACACUAUCUAAAUGCAGAGGCUCAGAAUCCGCCUAGUUUAAACUUUUAAGCUAUUUAUAUAUAUAUAUAUAUUUUAUAGAGAUGGACCAAUCAUAUUGAAUUAAAAAAUAACUAUAGUAUUUAUGAUUCCCUAAACUAUGGAGUAUGAUUAGAGUUCAAAUUUGGUAGAGAACUCCUAAAAUAACUUUUAUGUGUUUUUAGCUAAAUUUUAGACACACAAAACUGACCACAUUAGCCGACCACCUUAUGUGGCAGCUGAUGUGGUCAUGCCAUAUUUUUAUCUCACAUUUCCAUACCACAUAAUGUGGCAUGUCCAUAUCAUAUGCCACAUCAAUUAAAUCAAUAGAGUGUAUUUUAAUUAAGACAAUUAGAAAAAAAAAUACUGGAAUAAAUCAUAAAAGAAAAGAAAAUAUUAAAUACUUUUAAUUGAUGUGGUUAUCCACCUCAGCUGCCACAUAAGAUGGUAUAAGGAUGUAGUAUACAAAUAUAGUAAGAGUAGCAUUAUUCUUUCAAUAUAGUAAUCAUCGUUUAGAGAAAGAGUAAGGCUACACUUACUAUAUUUUUAUACCACAAUCCUAUACUAUAUGAUGUGGCAAUCCACAUAAUUAAGCUGACACGUUAAUAAAUUGUGAUAAAAGGUAUUUAAUAUAUUAUUAAUAAUAAUAAUUAAUAUAAUAUAUUAUUAAUUCAACAAACAAUUUAGGGUUAAGUCUUUAUUUAUUUAUUUAGUUCGCAUAAUAGGGUUAAGCCUUUUAUUGAUGUUCUAUUAUGUUCGUCUCUUUCUCUUGCCAGUUUUUUGGUCGGCUUGUUAAUAAAUCACCUACUGUUUUUUUUUUUUUUUAAAAGAAAAAGAUUUCAUUCAUAAGCCAAAACGGCAUACAAAGACUGACAUUAAUUCAUUAGCCUCAUUAAUACCUUCAUAGGAAAACCACUUAGGAUAAACCCCAAGGUAGGAAAGAGUACCACCUAUGUCAAUGACUAACAAGAGAGUUUGACCCAGACCACAAAAGACAGUUACAAGAACAGAAAAAAAAAUCCAACUAAACACCAACAGAGUGGACUCAACUGUCAAAAGAAGCCUUCUAUGAAAAAAACUCUUAGUCCUUUGACUGCCCAUGAACUGCAAAAACACACCAAGGAUAGAAACCCAAGAGAGCAUACGGAGGAAGAGCACAAAAAAAUAACAAGAGAGGCCCUGAAAAGCACCCCAACUCAACUUAGAACCUGACAAAGAAACUUCUAUGACCAAACAUAGGUCUUCGGGCAGCGCAGAGCAGAGACGAGCUGCAAAGGAGCAACAUAACAAUGGAAAAUGACAGCAAAACAGAACACAUCCCAACAACUACCAUCAGUGUCUGUCGCUGCCAUCAAAACAUAGACAAAACAUUAGCCACCAGGUAUCACAACGCUCCCGAAAAAAGAUCAAAUCCAGCGUCACUACUGCUGCCGUCAUCGAGACAGAGACAACACCAGCCACUUACACCACUGCAAAAACAACUAAAUAAAACAAACAGACCUAGAUCCAAACAUAUCAAGGCUAAAAACCCAAGAUCUAAUUAGAUUUGGGAGGAGAAGAGGAAGGGGAUAGAAGGGCCAGCAAGAGCCCCUAGGAAAGUGGGAAGAGAGGGAGAGAGGAGGAAAUGGAGGGAAAAAGAUGGGAAAAGAGGAGAUGAAGGGAGAUGAUGGGCAGUGGCCACCUCCCAUAGCUUAGGAAAGGGUGGUUGUCGGCAAGGAGAAAGAGGGAGGGUUUUGGCUAGGGUUUACUUUGCUAUCUCUUUUGCGUAGCAAUAAAUCACCUACCGUAGGAGUUGCAUAAAAUCCGAUUGCAAAUCCUAGAACUCCCAAAAUCAGAUCGAAUCGUGGCUUAAUUAGCAUCUAUAUGGUCAUAAACAGAUGAAAUCAUGGGUAUUGAAAAAUGAUAAUGAUAUAUCAAAUCUCCUAAAAUCAUCCUUGUCGGUAGAGAAGUUUCAGCGUUGUUCAACAAUUGAAGAUGAGGGUAACACAUUUAAUUCAUUAAUGAUAAGAGCAUUUUAAUACAUAUAACUUGUCUUCCCUAAAAUUACUCUUGCUAGCAUUUUAUUUAGCUUACUUUGCAUUAAUUAUGUUGUUUUUGUCAAUUGGGGUGUUUUGGAAGAUUUCAAUAAAAAAAUAAGGAUAUUUUAGUGCUUAUUAUUCUUGAAUUUGCACAUGGCAGCAACUUUGGGGAGCCAGCAGCUAGAGGAAAUCAUUCAUGUGUGCAGCGAAUGAAAGGCAAUAGGAAUUAAAAAAGAUGGCAAGACUUGCUACACCUUCUGACCAAGGAAGAAAACCCACGUGCGCGAGCAGCCAAAGCCAAAGUAAUGUGUGCAGCAACAAAUGAAAAAGAAAAGGAAAAAGUAUAAAGAAUGAUGUUGGCUGACAAAAGAUAUGAAAUUCAAAUGCCAAUAUGCCUACACGUGAUGAGCAGAGAAAGAUGAAGAAAAGAAAGAGGAAUGGCAGCAGCAAGUUGAAGACCAAUUGGAAGACAUAUGAUGUACAGCAGCCAAAAGAAGAAUGAAAAUGAAAAUAAUGAGAAAGAAUGUUGAGCUGCAGCUUACACGUGAAGAAAGCAAAGGAAAGCAUGGGUAUUUGUGUUCAGCCAAAAGAAGAAGGAAUAAAGCGAUGUUGAUGUAAUAUAACCCACGUUGGUGAUGGGUUAAUGGCAGCUGCAAGAGGAUCUCAUUCCUCUAUAAAUACAGAGCAAUGCAAUGGAAGAGGUGUGCAGAAUUUGGGCACCAAAUAGAGAUAGUGUAGUCCAGUGGAGAAAAGACCCUGGGGAGCAGAGAGGCAAGAAACCAGGGGCAUCUGCCAUUUUAGUUUUUCUUUUUUAAGUUUUCAGCUAGUUUAUAGGGAUAAGGAAAAUGCCAAUAUAAUUGGAGAGAACCUUGGGGAGUCGUGAGGCAACGAUCCAAGGGAUUGAUGAUGCAGUUUCUCCUUCUCUUCCAUGUUUUAGUUUUAUUUCUUCUUUGAGUUUUCAUAUUGUUUUUAUUUUCACUUAUAUCUAGCUAAACUCCUUUAUUAAGGUUGAGGGGGAAACACCAUUAUGAAAUAAAGUUUUAGUUUUUAUUUUUCAAUUCCCAACUAUUAUAUUCUUCAAUGUUUAUAAUUUCACUUCACAUGAUUAAUAAAUUAAUUUUCUUUUCACCACUUCGAUCGUGUAUUUGUGGUAGUUCAGAAUUUAAGUUAAUCUAUUAAUGCAUCCUUGAUUUUGUAUUACUAGUAUACACAUAUCUUCGAUCAUUUGUAGUUAAAUAAUAUUUUUCACAUAGGAUGUUCAGAAUUUGUACUUAUGAAGGGAAGGGGAAUUUAUAUAAGAGAAUUUAUAUAAGAUUCAUUAAAAUGCAUGUUUAAUUGAUAUAUCUUGAGAAAGCAGUAAAUUGAUUCCUAGAUUGCUACUCCAGAGAAUUGUUAGAUAGAUAAUUAGAGUUUUAUAGAAUAAUGGCGUGUAAUCUAAAACCUUAGUUAUUUUUCUCAUUCAUUUAAUCCAUUCUAGUUAUUAUUUGCAUUUUUAAUUUUUAUGCUUUAUUUAAUUUUCUUUUCAACCAACAAAUCAACUUUGAAUCAACUAGGUUAGCGAUUGAAUUAAAUUGGGUUGGAUUAGUUUCCAUCAUUUUCACACAAGUAUUAUAAAUUUAAAACAACACAUUUGGGUGGACAACAAGUUUAAAGUAUUUAUAAAAUAAAGCAACAUUAUUUAUAGAGAACCAAUAUGAGUUCUUUCUCUUUUCUUGGAUUUAGGAGCUCCUAAAAGUCUCUCUAUUUUAGAAGGUGGAUAGGGAGCAUGAUUGAAGUUGUAUUUUUCAUAUUCCUCUUUAAAAUUUGUCUAAAGAUAAGGGGAACAAGAUUUGUUAUCCCCAAUUUUCAUGUCCCAUUGUGUUCCUUUUUUAAAAUUUUAACACCUGUCUAAAUAAUUGACAAAACUUUAACACUGUCAAGUUUUAUUCAAAAACCCUAAUAAAUAUAAACAUCGUAAUAGCUCUUCUUCUUCACUUUUAAUCUUCUCUUCACAGCCAAACAUAUCCAAAUUAUCUCAAGGAAGAACCACCACAUAGCUACCAAUGCGAAUCCCUUGUAACCAACCAAAAUCGUUCAUCUUUCCCAUAUGGGAUGAGAUUCAGAAGGUUCUUCAUAGCUUUGAAGUUGAUGACGGCGGAAGAAGACGUAAGCACCUUUGAAAUUGCAACAAAAGCAUACUGCAGAUUUUUCUUGCUAGAAGAUUUGAAAUUAAUGUUUUGUUUUUUGUUUUUUUUGUUUUUUUUUUCACAAAAGAUGGUAUUUCAUUCAACCGAAUUAUGGAAAUAUAUAGAAAAAGAAAAAUACAUUAAAUGUUCGGUAUUUUUUUGCUCAAUUAGUGAUUUUGAUUAAGAUUGAAAAGUAUUAUUUAGACAGGUGUCAAAAUUUUAGAGAAUAAGGAGCUCGCAUUUUCCUUACUUCAAGGCCCAACCUCACUAUUUCAUCUUUGAUCGACGAGUAAUUAUCUAUAUAUAUAUAAAGCAAAAGGUAGAGAAUGGUGAAACAUUUAAAUUACCAGAAAAUGUCCAUAGUUAAUGCAAAUAUUAAGAAUUGAAAUUAUUAAUUAAAUGAGAAUAAUAUGGUAAAUUCACAUUUUUCAUAUUAAAAAAAUUAAAAUUAAAAGAAAAAUCAGAUAAUGGAUCCUAUUUUUAUGAAACACAACUACCCAUUAUUUUUUUUAAUUCUAAAAUAAAUUUAAAUUUAUUGAAAAAAAACCUCUUGCAGGCGCGGAAGCGCUUGUGGAGAGGCUAGUAUUACAAUUAUUAACAUAAUCUAUACCACGUUCCACUAACUUUAUACCACGUCUUUUAAUUUGAUUUUUUCCUCUACUGAUUCAGUGUUACUGUAUAUUACAUAGACACAGUAUCAUUAAUAAUUUGACAAUAUUGUACCGAUAUUUGAUAUAUCGAUCAAAUGUCAAUAAUGUGGUACAAAAUAUUGUAAAUUGUUACCAAUUGGUACGAGUACACCAAUUUACAACACUUGAUACAAUGUUAUUGAUAUAAUUAACAUUGUACUAUGUCAACAAUAUUGUACAAAGUAUUUGCAUGGCGUAAUGUUAUUUGCUAAAGAUAUUUCAAAGAAGCUAACAAGGGCAUUGCUUUGUAAAUCAGUGAUCUCAAGUUCGAACCUUAUGGCACAUUUGUAGUAUGUGCGUGAGAACAGAACAUUUGUAGUAUAGUUGGUCAUCCAAAUAAAAUGAAACCAUAGUUAGCCCAGAUAACAAAACUAUUGUUAAGCACUAACAAAAAGCACCUCCAAACUCAAAUCUUUUCACAAAAGGCAAAAUGAGAACAAAAUCUACAUCAAAUAUUUCAAAAUCAACUUCUCAAACCAAAACAUAACUACAAAAGUGAAAAAAGAAUCUAAUCUAGAAAACACAUACCUCACCAGAUGAAAAACAGAGCUUUGCGUGAGAAGAAGGAAUAUGAGAGAGAGAGGGUGUCAUCAUAGAUGAAGCAAAUAAGGAAUAGGAGAGAGAGAUGGCAUCGUUAUGUCGUCGAUGGAGCGAAGAAGGAAGAUGAGAGAGAGGGCGUCGUCGUCGAUGAAGUUAAUAAGAAAAAUGAGAGAGAGAGAGAGAGAGAGAGAGAGAGAGAGAGAGAGGCUGAGAUCUGGUUUUAAACAAAAGGGUAAAAUUAUAUUCCACCUUUAUAAUUUAGACAGGUCCAAUGAAUAUGGGCCUCUUAUUUAGGCAUAUCCAAAACAAAAUUUGAUUCAUAGGUAUUAAAACCCAAACAAAAAUUUCUCAAAUCCUAAUUAGUAAAGAUUGUAAUGCCUAAUACCUAAUUUUUCUUAACUUUUAGGAUAAUGCUAUAUGGCACAUUUUUAAUACCAUCUCACCUGGCAGUUGAGGUCGACAUUCAACUCAUUUAAAUUAUAUGUAUAUAUUUUUUAAGAUAUCAGUUUCUUAUAAUUUUCAUUAAUUCAAAAACUUAACCCUGGAGACUUUUCAAUUUCAUGUUAUCUGUUGGCCUCCCUAAAUUCACUCUCUUCCUUUGCCGUCGAUUCGCCACAUCUUCUGUCACAUUCCGGGAUCGGCUCCGCCGUAGCAUGAUAUUGUCCUCUUUGGGCCCCCCUCUCUGCCCUAACGGUUUUGUUUCUGGCCCCAACUCGCUUAACUUCAGAGUUCCCAUGACUUCGAAGCCAGUGAGCUCCCAAAAGGCCUCGUGCUAGAUGAAGGUGGGCAUGUACAUAUAAGGCACAUCACCCCCUCUCCAUUGGUCGAUGUGGGAUGUUAUAAUCCACCCCCCUUAGAGGCCCGAUGUCCUCGUCGGCACACUAGCACCACACAGCAGAGUGACUCUGAUACCAAAUUGUCACAUCCCGGGAUCGACUCCAUCGUAUCACGAUAUCGUCCGCUUUGGGCCCCCCUCUCUGCCCUCACUGUUUUGUUUCUGGGAACUCACGAGCAACUUCCCAGUGGGUCACCCAUCCUGGGAUUGCUUUAGCCCCAACUCGCUUAACUUCGGAGUUCCCAUGAUUCCAAAGCCAGUGAGCUCCCAAAAGGCCUUGUGCUAGAUGGAGGUGGGCAUGUACAUAUAAGGCACAUCACCCCCUCUCCGUUGGUCAAUAUGGGAUGUUACAGCUCCACUCCCUCCACCUUUAAUUUUUUGUUAGUCCACCUUUGAGCUGAUGUCUAUAGUCUAUGGUCAAUGGUCAGUCCCGGCCCUGCCCAGGGGCAGUUAAUGCGACUGCCCAGGGCCCAUUAUUCAAGGGGGCCCCAAAUUUUUUUAAUUAUGAUAAGUGUUAUAUUAUAUUAUUAUAAAUUGAUUUAAUAUUUUUCCAUAAUUUUUAGGAAUAAGAUAUUGAGAUGAAUCUGAAAUUUUGGAACAAAGGAUCCAUGACGAGAGUUUUAAAAGAAAUUCUUUGAUAUUGGCUUGACUUGCAUUCUUGAAAUUCUUUGACUCACUGGUAUGGUAUCCAUAGUUGGACAUUUGUUUUCAUUAUUUAGGAAUAUGGAAGACAUUGCUCAAAGUCUAAAAGUAUUUUCAAAUAAAUACUUUCUCAAAAAACCCAAUGCUUAGUUGAUAAAACAAGAAGUAUACUAGUAUUAGUGAUUAAUGUGUAUAUGGCACACUUUAGAUUUUCGCCUUAGGCCUUUGAAAACUCAGGACCGGCCCUAUCAAUGGUAGGGUCAUAACACUGCUCCUUGCAUCACCAGCUCCGACCACCUCUAUUACCUCUCAUAGAAAGAUGGAUGAUGUUGAUCAUGAUAUGGGUCUUGAUCAAGCAGAUUUGUAGUUGUGAUAACAUGUGUACUGACCAAAAAGCCAAGGAGGAGAAAGCCUUGCAACGGCGAAGAGGCAAUGGAUCGGCUACAUAGGUCUGGCAGAGUGUCGCCGAUGGAGAGGAGAGGAAGUAGGGAGAGAUGGAAUUGGGGGAGGUCGACAAACAACGUGAAAACUAAAGAGUCUCUAAUCCAGUAGGGUUAGUUUUUUUAAUUAAUGAAAAUAAUAAGAAAUUGAUAUGUCAAAAAAAAAAAACUAAUAUAAUUUUAAUGAGACUACUACAAAAAUUGAAAUAGACGACGGUGUCUUUGAAAACCGUUUUUAAUUCGACCACAAUCUUUUGGAAUGUCAAACUACGACGGUGAUUAACCGUCGUCUAUUAUUUGUAAAGACGACAUUUUUACUCAAAACUGUCGUCUAUUAAAGACAACGGUUUGUCUAAUAGAACCGUUGUUUAUUAUAUCGAAAGACGUCGGAUUUACUGUCGUCUAUUAAUUGAAAAGACGACAAUUUCUUUAAAUAUUGUCAUCUAUUAACUCUAAGACGACUGUUAUUAAUUGUAAAACUGACGUAGUAAUUUUAAAUUUUAGCUUCUUUUUUUCUUGUUUCCAAUGGUAUCAGAAAUCUAUACUCAAAUAUGCUAUUACCACACCAGACAUAUAUAUAUAUAUAUACUCAAAAAUUGUUUCUUUCAUAAAUAGUAUAUCAAGAGAACAAUAGAACAAAAUAAAAUCUAAAAAAUGAAAGCACUCUAGGGUCGCUAGUUGCUAGCUGCAAGCUACAAGCCUAAUUACAAUAAUACACAAAAAUUCAUAUACCUAAUUAUCCUUUAAGUCAAGUUCUCCAUGUGUAUAUAGAGCAAUACACUCAUCAUCACCAAUUUUCCUCUGCAUUCUAUCUGAACUUCAUCACUUUGUUCUUGGGUGUGUGAGUUAUCUACCUUCUUGCACAUUUUUUCAUAGGCACAAUAAGACACAAGCUUGUACAAAAAAUUAGUGAUUUUACAGCAAGAAAAUAGUUAGGUCUUCGCUCGAAGUGAAAGCCAAUAAAAACAAAACAUUACACCAAUAAAUAAAUGAGGGCCUAUAUAGCAUAAAACAUGGUUAACAUAACUAAUUUAUUAUUAUUAUUAUUAUUUUGAAAAAGAUGCUUUGUUUAAAAAUAAUAAGCACCACAAAAGUGUACAAAAGAUAGUAUUGAAAUAAUUAAUAUUAUCUAAAAUUUAAGCAUGAGAAAAAAGAAUAAAGGGAAACAACAAGAAAAAAAAAAGAAAAAAAAGAAAGAAGAGAAAGCCUGAACACCCCCCUUAGUUCUGCCCAUCAAAGAAAAGAAAACUAUAUAUUCAUUAUUCAUACCUUGUUUACCGACUACAAUUUCUUUUUGUUGGAUCAUAUGUUUACCGACUAUAUUGUAGACCGCUUUUGUAAUAGUACGAGAUGGUAUCAAAAGUAAGCAUGCAUGCAUAUGUCCUGAUUAUUUUAUGUUGUCCAACAUGUAGCACUGGAUGACGGCAAGAAAUCAUAAACAUUAAAUUAACCUACUCUUGGCAAAAGCUAUAACAGUAUAAACGAAAGUAUAUUUGUAUCAGAUUCUUUUCAGCGUACACAACACAGAUUUUGUGUUCGUCAGUCCACAGCUCUUGCUUGAUUCUAGUGUCUAGUGUGCUGAGUGGAAAGAUGCACAGCUAGUUUAACUUGUUGUCCACCCAAAUGUGUUGUUUUAAAUUUAUAAUACUCGCAAGCAUACAAAUCGACUGUAGAAUAGGCGUGUAUAAGUGUGACAGGAAGUGUGUGAAAAUGAUGGAAAACUAAUCCAACCCAAGUUAAUUCAAUUACUAACCUAGUUGAUUCAAAGUUGAUUUGUUGGUUGAAAAGAAAAUUAAAUAAAGCACAAAAAUUGAAAAUACAAAUAAACUAGAAUAGGGAUUAGAUGAAUGAGAAAAAUAACUAAGGUUUUAGAUUUCACACCAUUAUUUCAUAAAACUCUAAUUAUUUAUCUAACAAUUCCCAUGGAGUAACAAUCUAGAAAUCAUGUUAUUGAUAUAAUUGAAAAUUUUACUCUAUCAAUAAUAUUGUACAAAGUAUUUGCGCGGUGUCAUGUUAUUUGCUAAAGAUAUUUCGAAGAAGCUAAUAAGGGCAUUGCUUUGUAAAUCAGUGAUCUCAAGUUCGAAUCUCAUGGCACAUUUGUAGUAUGUGCGUGAGAAAUCCUGUCUUUCUUGUAAUUUAGACUAUCGCUUAAUUGUAUUUGAAAAACUUAGAUAUUUUGAAGAAAAUAGAACAUAAAUUAAAAGGGGAAGAAAAGCGUAGUUUAUAUAUAAUAACAACACAAAUGACACCGGAUGCUUUACAUGAGAAGAGCACAUUACUACUGCUAUAGUCGAAACCGAUCCGUACAUCACAGUGACAUUACAAGAAAUUAAACACACAUAACACAUCUCUUAUUCUACGUAAUGACAUGAACUUAGCAAGCUAGUCAUUCAUGCAUGCAUGAUCAGAGCUAGUCAUUCAUGCAUGCAUGAUCAGUUUCAGUUGGGAAAUGGAAGUUUGUGAGGUGGCUUGACAGGGCCAGUUGGGGGCUUUAGUUUCCUCGGUGGCUUUGAUGGGUCUCUUCCACCCUCCACCACAUUCUGUUCAAGAUGGCGAUCGUGAUGAGGUGGCUUGUCUCCCUUGCCCUUAGGAGGCUGAUCAACUGGCUUGGGCUCUGGCUUGGGCUCUGGGAAUGGCUUGUGCUCAUCAAGUGGGGUUGGUGGCUUGGGUUUUGUGGGUGGCUUCGGCUUCUUUCCCUGAGGAGGCAAUUUCCCAUCCAAUGGCUCCUCUAGCAAACGAGUUCUGGUUUCUUGUUUGUGAUGAGGCGGUUUCUCACCCUUUGGAGGCUGAUCAACUGGCUUUGGUUCUGGCUUGGGCUCUGGCUUGGGCUCUGGGAAUGGCUUGUGCUCAUCAAGUGGGGUUGGUGGCUUGGGUUUUGUGGGUGGCUCCGGCUUCUUUCCCUGAGGAGGCAAUUUCCCAUCCAAUGGCUCCUCUAGCAAACGAGUUCUGGUUUCUUGUAUGUGAUGAGGCGGCUUCUCACCCUUUGGAGGCUGAUCAACUGGCUUUGGUUCUGGCUUGGGCUCGGGCUUGGGCUCUGGCUUGGGCUCUGGGAAUGGCUUGUGCUCAUCAAGUGGGGUUGGUGGCUUGGGUUUUGUGGGUGGCUUCGGCUUCUUUCCCUGAGGAGGCAAUUUCCCAUCCAAUGGCUCCUCUAGCAAACGAGUUCUGGUUUCUUGUUUGUGAUGAGGCGGCUUCUCACCCUUUGGAGGCUCGUCGUUGCCCGGGUUUCCUUUGUGCUCUGGUGGUGGCUUCUCUCCUUUUCUUGGUGGCUCAUCUCUUGGGUGUCCUGGUUCAUGCUCAGGUGGUGGUUUCUCUCCUUUUCUCGGUGGCUCAUCUCCCGGGUGCUCAGGUGGUGGCUUCUCAUCCUUGUGAGGCUCAUCACCUGGUUUCUCCUUUGGUGGUGGCUUUUGUCCCUUAGGAGGCUCAUUGUUCUCUGGUGGAGGCUUUUUUCCCUUUGGAGGCUCAUUGUUCUCUGGUGGAGGCUUCUUUCCCUUUGGAGGCUGGUCAUUGCGCUCUGGUGGUGGCUUUUGUACCUGGGGAGGCUGGUCAUUGCGCUCUGGAGGUGGCUUUUCUCCCUUGGGAAAUUGGCCCUCCACCUCUAACAAAUGGUGUUCGUUGUGGGGUGGCUUGUCAACUGGUGGAGGCUUGUAAAUUGGGGGUACGGAAAUUGGAGGCUUGUAGAUUUGUGGCUUUGGGUCAUGGUUAUCAGCAAGAGAAGGAGUUGUGGUGGUGAAAGCCACCACUCCAAGAAGAAACACUAGCAAGUAUUUGGAAGACAUCUUUGGGCUCUUAGAAGCUUUGGGAUGAUUUGAAACUAGUAGAAGCCAGUGGCUUUUUAUAGUAAUAUGGGAACACUGUCGUCCUGACACGUGUCGUUUUGCAUCUGGAAUUUUUAAUGAAGUUAGUGGACUCAAUGGUGUUUUGUAUUGUUGGUACAAUUUAUAAAUGAAUUGGGGUCCAUUUGGGUCCUCAGGAGUUGAAAAGUUUGACAAUUUGCUAUGUUCAUACCUGGUGGGGACCUGAAUGAAAGCUUUGCACGACCGAGUGUUCACAACUCACAUGCACAAAUAUCAGUGACCUGGAGUACCUGGUGCACCUACUUCAAGCUCACUGGUUAUAGAUAGUGUUUUAACUUUUAAAAAGACUACGAAAAAUAGAAAAUCAUUUAUAAUAACUUAUUUUUGCAUGUGUGAGCAUAGCCAAUUUCUUUUUUUUCUUUUUUUGAAACAGAUGAUAAUAGGCACUAUACUAUAAGAAUGUAUAAAAAAUAACACUAAAAUAAUCAAUACUAUCUAAAACUUAAGUAUGAAAGAUAAGAAUAAAUACGUGAUUUUAAAAGAGACUCGCGCUUGAACAACUCAAAGAAAAACAACAACAACAAAAAAAGGAAAAAAAGAAGCAGAAGCAUGUUCAUACCAUGUUUACUGCAUAUAUAUAUAUAUAUAUAUCUAUCAAAAUGUUUACGUACUAUAUUGUAGACCGCUUUUGUAAUAUUACGAGAUGCUAUCAAAAGUAAGCAUGCAUGUAUAUAUCCUUAGUAUUUUAUGUUAUCCAACAUGUAGCACCGGAUGAAGGCAAGAAAACAUUAAAAGUCCGUUUGAUAAUUAUUUUAAUUUUAAUUUUAAUUUUUUAUUUUUUGUACUGGUAUAGAGAAAAAAAAGGGAGAAUAGAAGUGAGAUUGAGAUGGAAUAUGAGAACAGAGAAUGAGAGAGAGGAAUAACAAAAAUGAAAACAAAAACUAAAAACUGAAAUCUAUUUGAAAUUAUUUUCACUUUUGUUACUCGUCUCUCCCAUCUUCUCUCUCAAUCUCAUCCUAACUCUCAUUCUCACUUUCUCACUCUCAUUUUCCUCUAUACUCUAGCAAAAUUAACUAACUUUCGGCAAAAGCUAUUAUAUUGUUUUCAGCGUACACAACACAGAUUUUGUGUUCGUCAGUCCACAGCUUUUGCUUGAUUCUAGUGUCUACUGUGCUGAGUGGAAAGAUGAACGGCUAAUUUAGCUCAUUUCUUUUUGUUUUUUGUUUUAAUUAUAUAUCAAUACUACUAGCUAGCUAGCCCACAAUGGGAUUUCUCCUUUUCCCACUUGGGAUUUGUAUUUAAUUGCAACUUGUUAACACGAUCGAUCAUGUGAAUUGCUUUCAAUUAUAAUAAAAACUAAAGUGCCCUUCAAGUUUGGCCAAGAAAUACUUGUGCGUGCACGUGCAUAUGGUUGGCAUGGUGUGUUCACAACUCACAUGCACAAAUAUCAGUGACCUGGAGUACCUGGUGCAGCUACUUCAAGCUCACUGGUUAUAGAUAGUGUUUUAACUUUUAAAAAGCCUACGAAAAAUAUAAAAUCAUUUAUAAUAACUUAUUUUUGCAUGUGUGAGCAUAGCCAAUUUCUUUUUUUUUUUCUUUUUUUUUGAAACAGAUGAUAAUAGGCACUAUACUAUAAGAAGGUAUAAAAAAUAGCACUGGAAUAAUUAAUACUAUCUAAAAUUUAAGUCUGAGAGAUAAGAAUAAAUACGUUAUCUUAAAAAAGACUCGUGUUUGAACAACUCAAAGAAAAACAACAAAAAAGAAAAAGAAAAAAAAGAAGCGGAAGCAUGUUCAUACCAUGUUUACUAUAUAAAUAUAUAUAUAUAUAUAUAUAUAUAUUUAUCAAAAUGUUUACGUACUAUAUUGUAGACCGCUUUUGUAAUAUUACGACCACUGACGGACCCAGAAAUUUUUUAGCAGAGGUGCAAUAUUGACUAAGUAUGAAAAAUAAUUUUGGCGGCUUUUAUUCCUUACACAUCAAAUAAGAAAACUUGAUUUUAUGGGAUUUCAGUAUGAAGUAUAUAUUGACUUAAUGAGCUAUCAUUUUUAGCCUAAAUCGUAUUUUGCACUAUAACAAAAUUUUCAUAUUUUGAUUUGGUAGGAAUUUGAUUUUCUAGUAUUUUUAUUUGAAUCCAAAUGGGGGGUACUUCCUUAUUUAUAUUGUAAACUUAAGUAAAUGGAGUAAUAUAAAAAUAAAUAAAAGUAAAAAGACAAAGACAUUUACUUAAAUGUUGAAAUAGAAAUAAGGUAAUCUGUACACCAGUUGAGCAAAGGGACAAUUUGAAGCACCUACAAUAAUUUUUUCGGUUAGGGGAAAUGCAACACCUCCUUGCGCCUUACUAGGUCCGUCAGUGAUUACGAGAUGCUAUCAAAAGUAAGCAUGCAUGUAUAUAUCCUUGUUAUUUUAUGUUAUCCAACAUGUAGCACCGGAUGAAGGCAAGAAAACAUUAAGAGCCCGUUUGAUAAUCAUUUCAAUUUUAAUUUUUAGUUUUUAUUUUUAGUACUAGUAUAGAGAAAAAAGAGGAAGAAUGGAAGUGAGAUUGAGAUGGAAUAUGAGAAUAGAGGAUGAGAGAGAGGAGUAACAAAAGUGAAAACAAAAACUAAAAACUGAAAUCUAUUUGAAAUUAUUUUCACUUUUGUUACUCUUCUCUCCCAUCUUCUCUCUCAAUCUCAUCCUAACUCUCAUUCUCACUCUCAUUUUCAUUCUCAUUUUCCUCUAUACUCUAGCAAAAUUAACUAACUUUCAGCAAAAGCUAUUAUAUUGUUUUCAGUGUACACAACACAGAUUUUGUGUUCGUCAGUCCACAGCUUUUCCUUGAUUCUAGUGUCUACUGUGCUGAGUGGAAAGAUGAACGGCUAAUUUAGCUCAUUUCUUUUUGUUUUUUGUUUUAAUUAUAUAUUAAUACUACUAGCUAGCUAGCCCACAAUGGGAUUUCUCCUUUUCCCACUUGGGAUUUGUAUUUAAUUGCAACUUGUUAACACGAUCAAUCAUGUGAAUUGCUUGCAAUUAGAGAUGAUCAUUAUAAUAAAAAACUAAAGUGCCCUUCAAGUUUGGCCAAGAAAUACUUAUGCGUGCAUGUGCAUUUGGUCGGCUUGGUGAGAAGACUAUGUGAAGGCAUGAAAUAUUUGUAUACGAGUCAUCUGACUGCCUUCUCUUUUUUCCCUGAUAGCCACCAGGUGCGCCAAAAUUUUAUCACAUCACAUUACCAAUGCAUGGAUGCCGCGUUAUUUUGCAGAUAAUUUAUUAGUGGUCCCUUUCAUCGUUUGUUUACAUAGAGCAGUAAAGUCUUCAUUAUAGGAUAAGAUCCUUAAUUUGUUAAAGUCUCUGCCGACAUGUUAAUGUGUUAUCACUCAGUAAUUUUCAAACAUGUCGGCUCUAUUAUUGCCUCGGGACAAUGGCUCAGGAACCCUAGGGCGUAUAGAAUGGUUGCUUAACUUUAAGCAUAUCAUGUCAGUACGGUAUAGCUCAAUUAAUUUAGUUCUUCUACUCACAUUCAUGUGUGCAGAAUUUAAAAACCUAAAACACAUGCGGAUUUGUGUAUGGGCUAGAGUGGGCUCUAGCAUAGUACUAAAUUUAGAGAUGAAAAAAAUUAGUGUUAAUUGUAUAAAUAAAACCCAGGUGAAUAAAAAAUAGUCCACCCCUCUCCUCCUUUUUAAAAUUGUACCAAUCUAUAUUCAAUAGGUUCUUUAAUAUUAGUAAGAUUUCUCUUAAUUUUUAUUUAAUUUUCAAUUUCAAUUGUUAUUGUUAGCUUUUUAUGAUUUAGGGUUUAUGUGUUAAAUUUUGGGGUCUUUUUUCUUAUGCAAUUUGCUAGGAUUUUAUUGCUAACUCGUCCUUUUUUUUCUGAUUCAAUCUAUUCAUUACUUGAUCUAUGCUUUUAUAAUCUAGUUGUCUGUUGGUUUUGUUGAAUAUUUGUAGCUUGUGAUUGUGCAAUUGUAGAUCUAUAUGACUACACUCCCUACUACUUUUAUUACUUGAUCAAUUACAUUUGUUAGCCUUUAAUUAUCACGCUAUGUCACUUUAUUUAUUUUGAAAAAGAAAAAAGUAAUUGAGACCCCACUUGUGUAUUAUUUUCAAUGUACGAGGCCCAUAAUACUUUACCAAAAUGAUGCGAAAGAAGUUAUUUUCAGGCGUCGAGAAUGUACAUAACAAAGUUGCUUUAUGAGUAAAUGAACCCUAGGUUGGAUGACCUUAUAAUGUAACCACUACUAGUUCUGUUGUUGAAAAAACCAAACCAAUUCGGCUGAUAUCUCCAAUUGAUUGUACAAUUUGUCAAUGGGACACAUAGGCUUCCACAAGUCCCAGAAACUGACAAUGGACGUUCUUAACUUUUGAAAAACUUGUGAGCAGUGUAGGUGGGAAAGUCCUUCUGCAGUCAAUCAAUUCUUGAGAUUGAAAAGGAUCUAGCGAGCCCCAUAUGAUUUGUAAUCGUAUAGGAACAGAAAACAUCUCCACGGUCUAAAAUGAAUUUCUCAGUCCUCAAAAGUCGUAUAUGUUUGCUUUAGUUUUGACAUGUAGAUAAGAGUAGUGGAAACACAAAACCGUCCUUUGUCUUUUUGUGCCCAAUUUUUAUUGACCACAAAAGAAAUUAUGGAUAACCCAUUUUUGUCAUCAAGGACUAAAAGCUUCACUAAAACUAAAUAAUACAACCAAAACAACUAGUCUUCGAUGAUGUAAUGACGUGGUCUCGUUAAAAUCUUAUUUAAAAGAAAUGGUAUGAAUCCACAAACAAAGCUACAUUCAUUGAGCCCACAUUCUAAUUUUUAUUAAAAAUACCAAGAGGCUAUACAUAAUCCCAUUGAUUGAGACAGAACAUCUUGAAUUGUCGUUUACCACUGGAUCUUGCAAUUACGUCCCCAUACAUAAAAACGAACAGACUGGGCUGAACUGUAACGUAGUACUAUGCUGCAUAUACAUCGGUCCAAUAGGCAAUAGACACGUACAUCCAAAUUCUAUCAUAUUAUUAAUUGCCUUUAAACAUGUUUGCCACCACCAUGCAUGCAACAUUUACCAACAAAAGGUGGAUAUGCCAUCCGGUUAAUGCAGGAAAUUAGAUUGUCUUUAGUUUUGUACCUAUCUAAUUUGCAAUUACGUGUUGAUCUAAAACUCAGAUUGAUGCACCAUGCGUUGUAGAUAGAUCAGAUGUUAAUAGACCAUACGUGUUUAUCUUUUUUUCCCAGGGUCAUGAUGCUAGAUCUGUAUCCUAGAUUGUACGUCAAUCCCAUGGUCUUUUGCAAAUGGAGAAGCAAGACCACUGCGUAGAAAUUAAGAGAAGUUCUCAUCCUUGGUGCUUAUAAUAUUAUAAAGAAGUGUUAGGGUCAUCAAGAUUGUUGACAAGCUCAUAUGAUUUGUUAGUUUUUCAAUUUCACAUAUAACUUUCUAUAUGCAAAGGACUUCUAUCUCAAGUGGUAAGAGCAAUUAUCAUACACUUAAGGUCCUGUAUUCGAACUCCUCCCCUAAUAUUUUAGUUGCGACAAUAGAGAAAGUGAGAGUCGAACACACAACAACAAGUGAAAUGAUAAAUACUCUUAAUUACCUUAGUCACAAAUUUCACCUAAUAAUCCAACUUUUCAACUCGAUUGGUGGGCUACAAAUGGUCCGAUCACCCUAUAAUUUCUGUAUCUGUAACUUUCCCAAGAGAAUUUACAAACUUUGGUCUAUAUAGAAAUUAAGUGCACAAACACAAGUGUGCUGACAGUAUUGGCCUCCAGUCCUAUAAAAGGGCACACACUUACACCAAAUUUGUACCAUCCACAGUAUCAUUCACUAGCUAUACCUUAACAAUAAUGUCUCUCAAAUUCCUGCUGGUGGUGUCCCUGUGUGUGCUGGUUGUCACCACUUGUUCUCUUGCUGAUCAUGAUCACCAUAAACCACCACACAAUAGUUAUUAACCAAAACUGAUAUCUCACAUUGAAUUGUAUCACAAACUAGUUCAAUAACCAUGUAUAUAUUUUUUUGUUUUCUGGUUAUUGUAAUCUUAAAUUUCCAUCUUUGCUAUCGAAUCACGUUUGGCAUCAACAGAUUCAAUACUGGUUUAAGUGUGAGUCUAAAUAUUUAUAUAGUGGGAUAACUAGUGAAAAUGAGUUCACAAUAUCCAUCCUUAAAUACAAAGAAACUGAAGAUUUUACAUCUUCAGGAAUAUUCGUCAGCUUGUGUAGAAAAGCAUAUGCUAAAGAGUAGCUCAAAGUAGAGGUGUCAAAUAGAUUAGGCUAGCCUGAGCACAUCAUGAGUUCAGUUCAAUUAAAUAAAACGCAAUACACUAUGUUUUGUAUUUUUAGAUGGAUCAAAAUGACCCAAUUCAAUUCAAUUGGCCGAGUCGGCCAGAGACCCGUUGUGGGUCGUGCUGGCCUAAAGUCCAACGGGCCGGCCCAUUUAAAUUUGACAAUGGAAGCUACGAAUACGGGGUUCAACAGAAAAAAAAUUCCCCAAUCUUACUGCCUAUGAGCAGUGUGAGUUAAAUGAUCAUUACAUCACCAAUUAUGUCUUUGUCAUGGACUAACUGGUGGACAUUGUGACGGAUGUGGAAUUGUUUCCUGAGAGUGGAAUCCUUGAAUCUAAGCUACUAGAUUGCGAAAAAACAGCAAAAUUUAUUAACUCCUUGACUUCGACAUUAUUCAAUUCAGUAGAAAAUCUUAUUUCGCCAAUCUUUGCGACGAAUUGAAUAACUACUAUAAAGAGCGUUGGCACCAUUGGAAGUAGAGUGUCAAACAGGUCGGGCCGGCCCAAGCAAGGUAUGAAUUUGGGCUGACUGUGUACGGCUUGACACAACAUGACUAGUAUUUUUGGGUGGGCCAUGAUGAGGAAAUUUGGUCCAAUGGGUUAAGCCUACUCGAAGCCCAACGGGCCGGCCCAUUUAAAGCUCAUUUAUUAAAUUAUAUUUAUUUUAGAGAAAAUUAUUACAUAAUAUUAUUAUAUUUGUAUAUUAAAUUCAAGUAUGUUUCUUUUUUCUAAUAAUAUAUUUUAAAAUACAAUGUUUUUUCUUUAUAAAUAAAAUCAUUAUUUUUAUUUUUCAAUUUUUUAAACCGAACAAUAAUCUAGUUAUUUUCUAUUUUAAUGUACUUCAAAUAAGUCAUUCGCUUUUUUUUUUUUUCAACAAAUAAUAAAUCUUGUUAGUAUAUACAUAUUUAUAAAUAAAAUAUAAAUAAAAUUGACAAAAAAAUGCAAUUGACACCUCAAGCUCAAAUGUAACAGACAAAAGGAGAGUAUAAAUGGCUGAUCAACUUGGCGAAAUAGCUAGGGAUAGAAAGGGGAAAGGGCUAAACUUAAUUAGGUAGCAAAAUGAAACUUGGCAACGAUAACAAUAAUAGAAAAGGAAAAGGGGAAAGGAAGGAAGUAAAAAGUUAGAAAACACAAAGAAAAAGCUAACACUAAUAUAUUCAAAAAGUAUAUGGAAAAAGUAUAAUUAAAAAAAAAAAAGAAAAAAAAAAGGAACCCAAUAGUCAAGGUUCAUUUUCAAGGAAUGUGAAAAUGGUACUUGGGCGAAAGGGGUAAAUUUAAACUAUAACUAGAGUAUAGAAGGAUAGAAUAAAUACAAUGUUCUUGAACAAUAUAUGACUAGUCAGCAACUGGUCAUGGACUUGAGAUUAAUAUACACAAAAUCACACGUACAUACAACAAACAAUUAUCAAGUCCUUAUAGACCUAGAAGAAAACUAGGUGACAACCUAAGCACUUAGAAGCACUGGUGGACCCAGAAAUUUUUUAGCGGAGGUGCAAUAUUGACUAAGUAUGAAAAAUGGUUUUUUGGAAUAAUCAUUUUCUCAAGAUAAUUUUUGGCGGCUUUUAUUCCUUACACAUCAAAUAAGAAAACUUGAUUUUAUGGGAUUUUAGUAUGAAGUAUAUAUUUACUUAAUGAGCUAUCAUUUUUAGCCUAAAUCAUAUUUUGCACUAAAACCGAAUUUUCAUUUUUUGAUUUGGUGGGAAUUUGAUUUUCUAAUAUUUUUAUUUGAAUCCAAAUAGGGGGUACUUCCUUAUUUACAUUGUAAACUUAAGUAAAUGGAGUAAUAUAAAAAUAAAUAAAAGUAAAUGGACAAAGACAUUUACUUAAAUGUUGGAAAUAGAAAUAAAGUAAUCUGUACACCAGUUGAGCAAAGGAACAAUUUGAAGCACCUACAAUGAUUUUUCCGGUUAGGGGAGGUGCAGUCUACCAGUGCUUAGAAGGAUCCAUCCAUCAUCUAGGCGUUUUAUAUGCUUGGUGAUAUGUGUGUCAGCAUGCAUUAAAUCUGAAAUAGGAAUGAAUAACAAAAGAUGAUUAGGUAGCAAUAUGAAAUAGCUAGGGAUAAAAAGGGGAAAGGGCUAGGUAGCAAAAUGAAACUUGGCAACGAUAACAAUAAUAAAAAAGGAAAGAAGAGGGGGGGAGGGGGGUUGGUUUCAAAAGACAAAGAAAAAGCUAACACUAAUAUUCAAAAAGUAUAGGGAAAAAGGAAAAAAAAAACGAAAGGAACCAACUAGUCACAAAGAAGGUUCAUUUUCAAGGGAGGAAAAAGAUGUAGAAUGUAUUGCGUAUAUGCUUUUUUCGUUAACAAUAUUAGCCCCCCGAUGGUUAAAAAAAGAUUUCUGUUUUGUAAAGAGGUUCUCUUAAAAGAAAGCCGAUUGCCAUAUUAUACAUAAUUAAGAGGUAGAAUUUGAUUGUCGACAUGCUUAUAAUAUUAACUUUAUCCAUAAAACUUUACCAAAAGGUGGAUAUGCCAUCCGGUUAAUGCAGGAAAUUAGACUGUCUUUAGUUUUGUACCUAUCUAAUUUGCAAUUACGUGUUGAUGUAAAACUCAAAUUGAUGCACCAUACGUUGUAGAUAGACCAGACGUUAAUAGACCAUGUAUACGUGUUUAUCUUUUUUAUCAGGGUCAUGAUGCUAGAUCUGUAUCCUUGAUUGUUCGUCAAUCCCAUGGUCUUUUGCAAAUGGAGAAGCAAGACCACUGCGUAGAAAUUAAGAGAAGCUUCAUCCUUGGUGCUUAUAAUUAUAAAGAAGUGUUAGGGUCAUCAGGGAUUGUUGACAAGUUCAUAUGAUUUGUUAGUGUUUCAUUUUCAAAUAUAACUUUUUAUAUGUAAAGAACUUCUAUCUCAAGUGGUUAAGAGCAGUUACCCUAUAUUUAAGGUCCUGUAUUCGAACUCCUACCCUAAUAUUUUAGUUGCGACAAUAGAGAAAGUGAGAGUCGAACACACAACAAUAAGUGAAAGAAUGCUCUUAAUUACUUUAUUCACAAAUUUGUUACAAUUUCACCUAAUAAUCCAACUUUUCAACUCGAUUGGUGGGCUGCGAAUGGUCCUAUCACUCUAUAAUUUAUGUAUCUGUAACUUUCCCAAGAGAAUUUACAAACUUUGGUCUAUAUAGAAAUCAAGUGCACAAACACAAGUGUCCUGACAUUAUUGGCCUCCAGUCCUAUAAAAGGGCACACACUUACACCAAAUUUGUACCAUCCACAAUAUCACUCACUAGCUAUACCUUAACAAUAAUGUCUCCCAAAUUCCUGCUGGUGGUGUCCCUGGGUGUGCUGCUUCUCACCACCUGUUCUCUUGCUGAUCAUGAUCACCAUAAACCUCCACAUAAACCACCACACAAGCCACCUCCUUUGGAAGCAGAAAACUCCGUUGAAUUGGAUGGCAAGCCUCCUAAGGGUCCGAGACCACCCCCAAAGCACAGGCCGCCAACACCGCUUGAUAAUGAGGCAGCAGUGCCAUUGAAGGAUGUCGAAGCCUCGUACAAGCCUCCAGGGAAGAAACCACCACAUAACCCCUACAAGCCACCCUACAAACCUCCUCCAUCAAACUAAGUGCAUGCAUGCCUAGCUAACUAAUUAUAUGUAGCUAGCUAGGUUAUUAUACAUCGACGUGUAUAAAAAAUAAGAGCUGCAUCUGCAUGCAUGAUGAUGUAAUAUUACUCUGUUAUUAGCUUUAUUUUACUACUACUGCUACUAGCUUAAGUUAUUCAUGCUGGAGCCCGUUUGUUGUUGUUAUGCACUUGUAUUUACUUACCAGUCAUGAGCACUGGCGAGUAGAUACAAACUUUAUAUAUAAAAAAAUUAAAUAAAUUAUGAUUGAUCAUAAUUCUAGUCGUGUCGAAUUUACUACUGAAUAAUGAUCAUAAGAGCCAAAUCAGAAAAAAUAAAUUUAAAAGCAUGUUACAAAAAAGAGGGAAAAAAAGAAGAAACGAAUUGGAGUUUUGGUCAAGAAGAAAAAAAAAAAAAAAAACCCAGCACAACAAACUUACGUUUUGGUGAAGAAGGAAAAAAAACGCAGCAAUAGCUGCGCAACCCAAUUGAUUUCUUUGUUUUUAAAAUCUUUUUGUAAUCCUUGUUUAAAUAAGAAAGCAAAACAUGUUUAAAGACUUUUGAAAGCCAACGAAAUGCAGGGCUAAGCAUGUUGUUGAAAGCCCGUAAACUGCAGUUUGCCUCCUCUUAAGUUUUUUUUUUUUCUCUGACCCAAAACGACGUCAUUUUGGCCAGGACUUUUAAAAAAAAAUUAGGCGUGCAGGCAGCAACGCAACGCAACAAAUAGACUUUGGUUGAGUCAUUUUGUCGAACACCUGGAGUGCACCACCACGAGCCGAGUAGAGGUGUAAUUUGAAGUACCUACAAUGGUUUUUCCGGUAGGGGGGAGUACAACUGCACCUUAUUGCGACUUAAUAGGUUAGUCACUGGUCAUGAGCAUGAAACAUACUCAACUUCAUGUUUAGCUAGCUUUUUAAUAAAUGUACUUACUACGUACUCUUGUGUAAUUUAAAAGAUGUAUCAUUAUAAUAAAUUAUAUAUAUAAGGAGUUUCAAUUGAGAGAUUCUCUAAAUAACGUUAUUUGAAAGAUAUUCUCGACUUUCUUUGAGCAAUACUUUGACAUUUCCAUUUGGCUAAAAACAGAAUGGAGUUAAAGGAUAUUGUAUACUAUAAACAAAUUGACACUUCUGUACAAUACGAUUGCGUACUUUUUAUGUUUAGAACUGAAAUCGAAUAAUUCACAUUCUUUAAUUGGAUUGUAUAUAAGAGUAGGGUCAUGGCGUAACUCUUCACCCCAUCGGAGAAGAUUGAAUGUAUGUCCAGAACCGAAAUUGUAAGUAACCCAAAUCAAUUCAAUUUGGGUUAGGGUUGGGGUUGAACCCAAAUUCAGUCAUUCGUUUCUUUGUUUCUUGUAUUUAUUUUCUUUAUAAGCUUUCGUUGCUUUGUUGUUUAAGCCCAAUAUUUCACAGGCUUGGCCUUCUUUUCUUUAAGAAAUUUUUUCGAACUUUUCUGCUUGAAACUAAUGAAAAUUUUGAACUUGUUGCCAAAAGAAAAAAUAAUAAUAAACUCUGCGAUGAUUAUCUUUGUAUCUUUAACUUUUUUCUUUUCUUUUUGGAGAUAAACUUUCUUUGUGUCUAUGAUGUGAGACACAGACACAAAGAAAGUCGGAGUAACGCACUAGAUAUAUACAGUUUGUCGCUAGACCAAAUUCCUACACUUGUCUCGACCAAAAAAAAUUAAAUUCUACACUUGAAAAUUAUAUGUACUGGUUUUUAUCUUUUUCAGCUAUGCGUCCUAAGAUUGGUCAUUUGCUUAUUAGUGGUUAAUUAUUGCAACUUCCCAAGAACCUGUUCCCAGUGCAACUUCUGUUGAUAAUCCAGCUUAACAACUAAAUUGGUGGAUUCUAAAAUGGGAGAUGAAAUUGUAUGUCACAGGGAUAACACUGUUUUGUUAUUAUUAUCCAAUUACGUUCUGUCAUGUAAAAUUCUUAUUAUGUAUGAAAGGACGUGAUUGGUUGGGAAUAACAAAAUAAUUUUAUACCUGUGAUAUACAAGUUUUUCUCCUAAAAUGGGCUAAGCAAAACAACAAAACUAUUUCCUAAAUUUGUCCACCAAAUUUUGUGUCUAAUAUAUGUUAAAAUGUCUUAUUUGUUGGAAAUAAAUAAAAUUGAAAAUGAUUCUUUCGUCCCGAAAAAGACUUGUUUAAAUUACGAUAAAUGAAUAAAUGUAGCAAUAGCAGUUACUUCUGCACCCAGAAUCUUGUGUUCUUCCCUCCUGAAAUAUUGACUUGUAUAUAAGAAAGAAGAGUAAAUAUGAACGCCUAUAUUAAUUAUAUUACUAUAUCCAAAAUGGAAAAAGAUUGGCUCCUUCAAAUUGAAGAGGAGUUCCUCCUUACAAUCAAUUAAUGUGUUUUUGACACGGGUCAAAUUAUUUUAUUUUAUUUUAUUUCUUGAAACUUUGUUAAUAUUGCUCGAAUUUGACAAGUCUCAAAACUCCAUUGAUUUUAAGGAGAAGCUCCUCCUUAAUUUUGAAGGAGCCAUGCUGAUUCAAAAUUCUCUGAUGGGAAAUGAGUGUCGUGGGAGGUAAGUGAGUGCCGAAUUCACAACUCACAGGAAAAAACCCAUACAUCAACUGCCUUUAUAUGUGGUCUAGAGUUGUUACCUCUUAUAAAAAAGAAAGACCAAGACUUCUAGUUUUGCACCAUCUAGAACUCAAUGCUCCAACUAGCUAGCUGGCCAUACAAUGUGUCCUAAAUCCCUGCAAUUGAUGUUGCUGCUCCUUGGUCUGCUUCUUCUCACCACUUGUAUUGGUGCUGAUCACCAUAGACCACCACAGAAGCUACCAAUUUAUAAGCGUCCUCCUCCUUUGGAAGCAGCAAACUCCCUUGAACAAGAGUUGCUGCCAUUUGGUGGCAAACGUAAGAGACCAAUGUCACCGCCCCCGAAGCACAAGCCACCUCCGCCCCAAAAACACAAGCCGCCGCCACCACCUACACCAAAACUCAACCCACACCCACCCCCAACCUCAGCCCACACACCAGCCCCAAACUUACGCCACACACAAACCUUAACCCACCACACCCCAAGAGCACCGNNNNNNNNNNNNNNNNNNNNNNNNNNNNNNNNNNNNNNNNNNNNNNNNNNNNNNNNNNNNNNNNNNNNNNNNNNNNNNNNNNNNNNNNNNNNNNNNNNNNUCUCAACCCACCACCACCACCACCCAGAAAGCGCACGCCACCACCACCACCACCAGCAAGGAGACCACCCCCAAACCUCAUUCCGCCACCACCACCAGCCCCAAAACAGAGCCCCGGUACCACCGCCACCACUCCAAAACACAACCCGCCAGUUACCCCACACUUGAUGAAGCUGCACUAAAGGAUGCUGAAGACCCGUUUGUGCAAGCCACCGUUAGAAUCUACCUAGUCCAUUCACCUAAGUGCCCACCUCACCUCACUAAAUUAUUAUGAAGCUAGCUAGCAAGCUAUCUCAAUAUGUACGCAUAUGCAUCAAAAUAAGUGCUGCAUGCACGCGGGUGGGAUGUAAUAUAAUCAUUUUAUAAGCCUUUACUUUACUACUACUGGUACGUAUGGACUUGGAUUAACUAGUAUAUAUAGCAUGAAAACGCCGCUCACUUUCUUCUUACCAUACAAGCUAAGUACCCUUUGUAAAUCAAUUUGAAGUAUCGUUCGUUAGGGUUCUCCAAUAUGUGUUAAAUCGUUUAUUAAUUUGAUUUGCAAUCUUUAGAUCUUUCAUUCUAAACUCACUUGAUAAUUAUGUCCUAUGUAAUGUAGGGGUUUUUUCUUUUUUUCAAUUACUGAGUUUCAUCUCCCAUGUUCCACCACUAUUGCAACCACCACCCCAAAGAUGGUUUCCUACUACGAACAAAGACAUAUGACACUAUGAUUUAUGGUUUUUAUUUAAUAACAAUGAAUUUGUUUUUAGUUUACUCCUUGAUUUGUAUAAUUCAACACUUUCUUGAAAGAUCAUCUCUGUAAAAAAAUCACUUGAAUCCAAAAUCAUUUAAUCAGUCAAUUAAAAAUUUGAAAUUUUAGUACUUUCUUAAAGCACUAUAUUCAUUGAUUUUGUAGAACACAAUUAGAUAUCGAAACGAUUUUUGAUUUGUAUAAUUUUUUGCAAGGAUAAUGAUCUAUGAAUGUAUACUUAUAAAAUAUAUGAUUUGGAUCGUUGAAAAACAAUUUAUAAAAAGGAACUGAUAUAUAUAGUACAUAUAUACAUAUAUAUUUCUAUAAAAAAAAGCCUUAAUGUUAACAAGAUUAGAAUAAUAAUUUAGUAAGGAAAGAGUAAUAAACUUUUCUUAAAUAAUAUAUUUAUAAAAAAAUUCUACCAAGCGCAUACUUAUUGCUUUUUCCCUUUUCAAAUAUCAGCACCAAACACUUGUAUUUUUCGUUCUCGUGUCAAACUUCCAGACGCAUAAUUUUUCAUUUUCCAAAGCAGUUUUUUGAAAACCCCUUUUGUAAACUGGUAUGUAGGGAAGGAGGAUUUCCUCUCUUUUUUUAGCUGCAAUUGCAGCAAAAUUCUGCAUCACAUAUCUUUCUGGAUUCACACUACCGACUUUAGCCGUGUCAUUCAUUCUGUCAUGUUCCCAUUUUGGGUGUGUAGAACUGGAUUCCACAAAACAUCAUUGCACUUUGGAACACGACUCAGUUCCUUUUUUAGUGCUUUAAUUAGCCAUUUGUAGUUAUCUUUAAUUUUGUAUCUAUCAAUAUCAUUGCAAUUUGGCGUCACUGUGAGCCACAGAAAAAGUCAGACUAACGCACUUGACAUAAUUUGUCUACAUAUGCCAACGAACAAGGAAGAGUAACGCACUAAUUUUUUUUUAUCUUGUUUGCCUUUCUCUAUCCUAUGAUGAUUGGUCAUCGCGAUCCCUUGGUUUCUAGCAAAUGAAGAAGGAAGACUACUACAUAGAAAUUAAGGUAAAUGCUUAAUGUAAACUAUACCACAGAAAAGAUAUACACACCCAAGACACUAGGCAUACGUAUUUAGAUACAAAAUCUCUAUACCUUUGAUGCAACCAUGAGAAUAAGCAAAGUGGUUUAGAUCAUCUAUUCUCUACAAUUUUUUCCUUGAUAUCUCUUUGAAUGGUGCUAGACUAAUUGUGUAUAAUAAUAAGACCAACGGGGUCUAGUCCAGUGAAAAAUGGUUUUGACUUGUGAACCAGUGGUCUCAGGUUCAAACCUCCAUGACAUCUUGGUAGUGUGUGUAUGUGAGUAACCUCCCUCCCCCUUAUAUUAAAAAAAACCUAUGUAUAAUGAGACCAGGAACUUAAUUAUUUAAACUCUCCAAGACCUUGCUCCAAAAUUCGUAUACUUGGAUGAUUGAAUCUCAUCCUUUGGCAACCCAAAAAGAAAAACAGACUGACUAAAUACGUCCACAAUAUGAUAUGUCAAUAUAAGUAUUUUGUAUCUGUUAAAAAAAAAAUACGUAAAAAGAUUUCGAUUAAGUAACUAAUUUGUUGUUAAGACUUUAUCAAUAUACUUCAUAAUAUGAACAAAAUUAUCAACAAUGUGAAUCAUAUAUUGUAGAUUGGUAUUAGUAUCAACCAAUCAGUGUCUAUAGCGGAUUUGGCAUGUAAAUCAAGUGCGAUAUGAUCUAGUCCAAUAAAUGUGGCCUCAAGCAUAAACACCAUAUAUACUACUAGUUUGCACCAUCUAGGCUCACUCCCAACUAGCUAGCUAGCAAAAAAAAGGAUGCGUCCUAAAUCCCUGCAAUUAGUGUUGUUGCUAUUCCUGGGUGUGUUGCUUGUCAGCACUUCUUCUCUUGGUGUUGAUCACCACAGAUCAAUACACGAGCCACUUCCUUUGGAAGCAGCAAACUCCUUUGAACAAGUGUCUCUGCCAGUGCCAGGUGGCAAACAUCUCAUAGGACCAAAGAGAAAGCUUGCAAACCAAGAGUACAGGCGCCGACCACCCGGAUAUCCGGCUCCAGAACCAAGGCACAGGCCAUCACCACCACCUCCAGCCCCACCUCCCCUGCCAAUUCUCAAUCCCCCACCGCCCCCAAGACGCGGCCGGAGGCCACCACCCCCAAACCUCUACCCGCCACCUCCCCUGCCAAUUCUCAAUCCCCCACCGCCCCCAAGACGCGGCCGGAGGCCACCACCCCCAGAUCUCUACCCGCCACCUCCCCUGCCAAUUCUCAAUCCCCCACCACCCCCAAGACGCCGGAGGCCACCACCCCAAAUACCCAGCCCUGGCAGUGGUAGCUAAGCCGCCAAUUACCCCACCAUGAUGAUGAGUCUGCAUGCGGAACCAAAGGAUACCAAAGGCUCGCUGAAGCCACCCUCAAAAGCUUGUCCUUUCAACUAAGAGCCUUAGCUCACUUCACUAGUUAUAUGUAUAUAGCUGGCUAGGUUAAUAUUUGCAUGAUAAAAUAAGAGCUGCCCUUACUAUGCUCAUAUACUCCUUUGGAUAUUUGGGGCAGCUGGUUGCUCAUUCCCGUGUUUAAUUACGUUUGUAAGUUUGCUCAACUAAUAUUUAGUCAUGUACCACGUACUAUGUGUAACUUAAAACAUCUUUAUUAUACAUAAAGCAUGGACUAUAUCGAUCUAUAUGAGCUCAUGCUUGAUAAUUCUCGGAGCAGAACCUGUCAUUGCCAAUUAAGCUUAUAAAUAAGGAGAGGAUCUGGGUCCUUUGUUGAAAACCAAUUAAGUUGAGAUAUAUUCCAGUUGGCCUCGAAGAAAAGUGGUUCUGGUCUAUGAGCCAAAUAAUUUAGGGAAGUGAAAUAUGGACAAAAUGAUUGAUGUGAUGUAAUUCAAAUUUAAUAAUGAGAUAGAAAGAAUAAACGAAAGAUAUUGAAAAAUAUGCCUAAAUGAGAUGCAUUUCUAAAAGGAUUCUAAUUCAUUAAAAAGCAAGGAAGAUCAAGGAAAUAAAAUCAUAUCAUACUCCAAAAAACAUUCAUAUUAUGAGUGCAUGAAAGAUGAUAUAUCUGACCCAUGGAUCAAAUGCAUCAUACGUGUUAAGUCACAAUUAUGGAAUUCGGGGAUUACAGAGCUAUUUCAAUCCUGCAGUUUCUAGAAAUUGAACACACCAAUUCUGCUUCAACCAAACAACUAAAUGACAUUUCCAAACCUAUACUAAGUUCGAGGAAAUGCUAACAUAAAUAUCAUACCAACAAACUCUCAUGACAUCUUAGUGGCUAAUAGCUAACUAUCACAAUUAUUGAUGUCCAUUGCGUUAUUUGGCACUAAUAAUGCCUUUAACCACAUCAUCCUAUACAACUGUACACUAAUGUCAGUGAUUUGCUCAAAAUUGUUGUAACGUCCUAAAUUGCAAUCCACCAUUUCUAUUAAUUAUUUUUAAAAAAACAAAGUGAGAUAAGGGAAUCUAGUGCUUAUAGUCCAUCCUUACAUGAUUGCCAUAUUCUAGAUUUAAGCUCCAUAUGACCCCUAAAUAGCAAAUGUGCAAAAUGGCACUUCGAUGAGAAGGAAGAACAUCUAAGCAUGAAAAAAUAUAUAUUAUAUAUAUAUUAUAUAAUUAUAUAAUUAAAUAAGUGGGAGAGAGAAAGGAGGUGUGAUGAACUUACCGCCGUAUACGUGCGUGUGAAAUUGGUAUGCUGCCGCAGAAGUGCUCUUAACGACCCAGUUUCAAAGUGUUUUCUCAAAAUUGGUGGCCUUCUGCAUCAUCUUUCUGGUUUGUUUCCGCCGCACUCACAAACCCGCUUUACCCCUCUCGUUCAUUCCCUGAUCUCCACUUUCUUCUUUAAGGAAACAAAGAUUUCAAAGAAAUAUUCUUUGUUUUUUUACUUCUGCGUGCACCAUUCGUUGUUGAAAGAUUUCAUUUUCGUCUUGGGGGGAGGAUCAAGAAGGAACUUGGAGAUGGAACCUGGUGUUCUUGAUAGUAUAAUUAAUAAUGGGCUUAUUGAAGUUAGAGGGAGACCAGGCAAACAAGCCACCACACCGCCACCCCCAAAGCGCAAAACAUCAUUGCCCCUUGGAACACGACUAUAAUAUUCGAUCCCAGUUCCUUUUUUUAGUGCUUUAUUUAAGUGGGAAAUGGGGAAAUUCAUUUGAUAUCCCAUAAACAUAAUAAGGUCGAUGUCAUCGUGUCAUUCAAAUACUGCAGGAAAUGAGUGAAUUUCAGGACUAUUAGUCUAAUCCUAUUAAACUAAUUAGCCAGUUGUCGUCUUUAAUUUUGUACCUAUCAUUGCAAUUUGGCGUUGAUGUGAGCCACAGAAAAAGUCGGACUGACGCACUAUACAUAAUUGCGAGAAUAUGAAGAAAUGUCCCACAUCAGAAGGUUAAGAAGCAUAUAGCAAGGACUUAUGAGAGCACUUUCAUCUAUGGUGUCAUGAUAAAGGGCAACGGCAAGUGAAUAGUGACUGCCCUACCCUUUUUUAUUUUGUUUUUCCACCUAUUGUCAGGGUAAGUAAAGGCUAACACUAUUUAAAUGAGAUAUACGGAGAGGAAUUUGUAUGGAGUUUUGACGUGAGAAGUGAAGAACAUGGCUAGGAAUUUAUAAAUAAAUAAAAUUAUGAAUUUUUUGGUUUUUUUUUUAAUUUUUUAAUUUUUUUAAUUUUUUUGGGUAUUUAAAUUGGUCGAUGAUGUCAUGCUGAUAUUAGCAAUCCCAGUCAGCAGCCCAGGCGAAGUCUUAUCUUCUGGCUUGCCCAAGUUGAUGCAGCCCACUCCUUGCCCGGGCUAGCCUUCACAGCUAGAGUUAGUUUUUGGGGGCUAGGGGGCCUUCUGCCCUUGCUGGCUUGCACGGGUGGAAGUGCUCAAAAGAGUUGAGCUACAACUCCUAUUGUGUGAAGCUAUCCUAACAUCUACAUGUACUCCACAUCACCCAAUGUAUGUUGUCCAUGUGUUAAGCUUGAAAUGUAGCCAUAAAAUGCGAGGGUGUGUGAAAAUAUGAUAAUAACCACGACCAUAAUCAAAAUGGCUUAAAUUAUCUAUUUUCUACAAUAAUUGUUUCUUCAACAUCUUUGAAUGGCGCUAGACUAACGGUGUAUGAAGAGAGCAUAAAUUUGCCCGUUCGUUUAUGUUUUCAAGGCACCAUUUUCAUUUUAUGUUUCAAAUUUUCACCAAAUACGUCCUUGGCACCGCUAAAUUGAAAAACACAAGAUUUUUUUUUUGAAAAUGAAUUCAGCAACCAUGAACAAAUAUUGAAAACGAUAAAUCAAUUUAUCAUUUUCUGUGAAAACAAAAACGUGGCCUUCCUUCUUUCUUAGGGUCAGUUUGGCAUUGCUAUGUUGUGAAAGUAAUCGCUGUUAGAUUUGUUGUGAGAGAAAUUAACUAUGAGAGAAAGCAGUUUGGCGUUUGGUAAAUUUUUUGUUAAAAGUGUUGUUAGUACCGAUUCCCCCAUAAUAAAAAAAUGAUUCAUUUAUAAUCAUCAAACUCAGUGCCUCUUCCAAACUAAUUCAUGCAUAAUCAGAAAAUGAAAGCACCUUAUUAGUUGUUUUCCCUUAUAAAUUUCUCUCACAGCAAUUUUUAACAAUAAGUGAUUUUCUCAUAGUUUACCAAAAGGGCUAGGCUUUCCAAUUUUUUAAAAAAAUCACUUAUCACCUCAAAUAAGCAAUCACUAAUAAGGUGCUUUCGUUUUCUGUGAAAACAAAAACGUGGCUUUCCUUCUUUCUUAGGGCCAGUUUGGCAUUGCUGUGUUGUGAAAGUAAUCGCUGUUAGAUUUGUUGUGAGAGAAAUUAACUAUGAGAGAAAGCAGUUUGGCGUUUGGUAAAUUUUUUGUUAAAAGUGUUGUUAGUACUGAUUCCCCCAUAAUAAAAAAAUGAUUCAUUUAUAAUCAUCAAACUCAGUGCCUCUUCCAAACUAAUUCAUGCAUAAUCAGAAAAUGAAAGCACCUUAUUAGUUGUUUUCCCUUAUAAAUUUCUCUCACAGCAAUUUUUAACAAUAAGUGAUUUUCUCAUAGUUUACCAAAAGGGCUAGGCUUCCCAAUUUUUUUUAAAAAUCACUUAUCACCUCAAAUAAGCAAUCACUUGGCAUGUAGCCCGACCAUUCACACACAGCCCGACCAUUUUCCAAACCUCUAGUAGUUGUGAAUCCAUCUGUCAAGUUUUGGACUCCAAAGUCCCGGGCGCCAAUCUCCCAGCCAUACUCAAGUGCAGCCUGGUUGCUCAUAUCUUCGAAAGGUGUCCGGGUUGUGUGAACUUUCACCACGCCCAAACGCUCUCACAGUUGAUUUCUCUCACAACAAGUCUGACAAUGAUUAUUUUCACAGCACAGUAAUGUCAAACUGGCCCUUACUCUCAUUCAACCACUUAGCCUGUAGCUUUUGUUUUUCUUCUCACCUAUCUCAUCUCGUCUCUGGGAUAUUGGCCCUCAUUCUCCCCAUAACAACCCACUGCUCAUUUUUUUCAAUUUAAAAUUAUUGAAGGAAAGCCCACAACCACCAUGAAACGAGAUCGCCUACCUUCAUCCAUUAUUUUGGGUCUCUUUUUUUAUAUUAUCAUUUUCAUAUCUGCGCUUUAAUGGAGGCAAAAAAGCAAGCAAGGCAGCAUGUUUUUAUUUUUAUCCUUUAUGUAUGAGAGGAUAAAGAAGUAAUGACCUUAUGUGAAAGAUUUUCGUUUGUGCUUUGUUGUUAAGGAGAGGAAAGGAAGAUAAAGAUAUCACUUUGUCUUUCUCUUUUGCUUUUCUGUUUGUACUUUUUAAUACCCAAAAAUAGCCCAAUCAAUGGAAGGUUUUCGACAGUGUGGAGACACGAUGGAAUACGUAAUUGAAGUUUAUCUUAAUUUUCAUAUGUUUGUAGAAGACAAGUUUUCAUUAUUUUUGUUCUUAGAAAAUGUUUUCUAGUUAGUUUGUCAUACACAUUCUCGAAUUUUGAAAAUACAAAUUUGUUUUUUUGUUUUCAUUUUCUUAAAAUAUUUUAUGAUAAUAUUUUCCAAAAACGUAACUAGACAACUCACCAAAACCCUGCUCCGGAUGCAACUUCUCUUGAUAAUCCAAUUGUUCCAACUUAUCAACUCCAUCGUAAGUUUGGAUGACUGAAUCUCGUCCUUUGGUAGCCCAAAAAGAAAAAUAAACUGACUAAAUAUGUUCACAAAAUGACAUGUAUAAGUAUUUUGUAUGUUGGAAAAAAUACUAAAAAAUUUCGGUGAAGUACCUAAUUUGUUGUUAAUAUUUGAUCAAAUACACUUCAUAAUAUGAAAUAUCAACGAUGUGAAACGAAUAUUGUAGAUUGGUAUUAGUAUCAACCAAAAAUAACUGUCUUUAGUGGCCUCAAGUACAUCACGUAUACUACUUGUUUUGUACCAUCUAGGCUCACUUCUUCCAACUAGCUAUAGAUCUAGCAAAAUAUAAUGCUUCUUAAAUCCUUGCAAUUAGUAGUGCUGCUCUUCCUGGCUGUGUUGCUUGUAAGCACUUCUUCUCUUGGUGCUGAUCACCACAUAUCACCACACGAGCCACUUCCCUUGGAAGCAGCAAACUCCUUUGAACAAGAGUCUCUGCCAGUGCCAUUGGGUGGCAAACAUCUCAAGGGACCAAAGAGCAAGCCACUGUCAAACGAAGGGUACAGGCGGCGGCGACCACCCCGAUGCCCGAUUGACCCUCCAGAACCAAAGCUCAACCCACCACCUCCACCACCAAACCUCAUUAAUCCGCCACCACCCCAAGACCUCUACCCACCACCACCGAGAAAUCUUAACCCCCCACCUCCCCCAAGAUAACGCCCGUUGCCACCAGCCUGCCGAAUCCCAUACCCCCGUUGUUCGCCACCACCAUGGUGAUGAGCCUGCAUGCGGUAAUGGAUUCCAAAGGCUAAUUUAAGCCACGCUCCAAAGCUUGUCCUUUCGACUAAGAUCCUAGCUCACUAGCUAUGUGUACAGCUGGCUGAUAAAAUAAGAGCUGUUCUUAAGCAAUGCUCAUGCUCCUUUGGAUAUUUGGGCCAGCUGGUUGCUCAUUUCUCUGUUUAAUUAGGUUUGUAAGUUCGCUCUUUUCGAAUGAAUAGAAAAAGAAAAUUAUCAGAUUGGUAUAUUAGAUCAACCAGAAAUUAAAAAGUUGAGACAAUUGCUUGUUAAAUAAUUAUAAAUAAAAAAACAAUAUAAGCAGCAGUUACAUAUUGCCAGUAAGUAUCUCAUAAUCAUGUUUGUGCUACCCAACUUCCUCAGGCUGCACCACCAGCCUAUGCUAACGCUUGACGGACCUGUAGGCUGAAGGCCUUUUGAUUAGGUGUGCCAGAUUUUUUUGGUAAAACGUUAGCCCAGAUUGAGUUCAUGCUCUUCCUAUUCCUAAUAGCACUGCAUUAUCCAGCUCUAGUUCAACAAAAUUCCGCUAGAAGAAAAUUAAUAAUUUUUUUUUUUAACGGAUUGAUAGAACAAAGAAGAAGAAUUUGAAAGCAUUAAUUUGAUUACAAUCCUUUUCAAAAUCAUAUUCAUUUGAUAAAAAUAAUAAUAAGUUAACUAAAAUCGAACUUAUUUGGGGCGAGCAUGUACUCUUUGUGAUAUUUCACUUCUUCUUUUUUGGCUUAUUUAUUGAUAUGUUUCUAUGCUUUACCGAAAAUUUCAGUUUACCUCUUGACUUUUUAACUAAGUCAAUAUGCCCCUUUUGCUAUUAUUAUGUGUCUCACGUUGCCCUAUUCCGUCAACUUUCUCAAUAAAAAUGUUAUCUUUGUUGACCUAACAUGAACAUUUUAAUAAUUUUAGCUAUUAAAAUAAUUUUAAACAUAAAUUAAACACAAAAAACAGUUAUAAAUAUUUUAAAUUUCUUUUUAAAAUUCAAACAACUUUCAGUUUUAUGGAUUAGUUAAAAAUCAAUAAAUAAAAAUAAUAAAAAAACUUUAUCACAACUUAGUUAUAAAAUAAAUUAGUUAAAAUUCAAACACCCUCCCCUGCCCCAGCCACCUCAACCACUAUCCACCACCGUUCACCUCCAUCUCUCUCUCUCUCUCUCUCUCUCUCUCUCUCUCUCUCUCUCUCUCUCUCUCUCUCUCUCUCUCUCUCUCUCUCUCUCUCUCUUCACCAACAAAACCCAACACUCUCACCCCAAACCCCGACCAGGUCCAGACUUGAUAUUCUCCAACUUCAAGCAAUCAUUUGCUUCCAAAUGGUUGGGAUAUGGAUGGAAGAUGAUGAUGACGACGACGACGACAAGGGUGGAUGUGGCUUGUAGGGCCGUGGGGGUGGGAUUGGGUUGUAAAACUGCAAUUCAUCUCCCCAAUUUCAAAAAGACUUAUAUGUGAUGGAGAUAACACUAUUUUGCUAUUUUCAGUCAAUAACACAAUUAUAAGUAGAAAAGUUAUCUUAUGUGUUAUUACAUUAUUAGCCGAGAAUAGUAAAAAAUGAUAUUCCCGUUGCAUGAGAGUUUCACCUACUUCUUCCAUGUCUUGAAUUAGUAAGUUAAGGAAGGGAGAAAAGAGGGGCUAUGGAGGUGAAAGGUGGUUGCGGCAGGCACUGGCGGACCUAGAAAUUUUUUAAUGGAGGUGCAAUAUUGACUAAGUAUGAAAAAUGAUUUUUCGGAAUAAUCAUUUUCUCAAGAUAAUUUUUGGCGGCUUUUAUUCUUUACACAUCAAAUAAGAAAACUUGAUUUUAUGAGAUUUUAGUAUGAAGUAUAUAUUGACUUAAUGAGCCAUCAUUUUUAGCCUAAAUCAUAUUUUGCACUAAAACCGAUUUUUCAUAUUUUGAUUUGGUGGGAAUUUGAUUUUCUAGUAUUUUUAUUUGAAUCUAAAUGGGAGGUACUUCCUUAUUUACAUUAUAAACUUAAGUAAAUGGAGUAAUAUAUAUAAUAAAAAAUAAAGUAAAAGGACAGAGACAUUUACUUAAAUGUUGAAAAUGGAAAUAAGGUAAUCUGUACACCAGUUGAGUAAAGGGGCAAUUUGAAGCACCUACAAUGAUUUUUCCGACGAAAAAAGCUGCAGUUGCACCUUCUUGCGCCUUAAUGGAUCCGCCACUGACCGCAGGGUGAGGAGGGGUUGUUGGGUUUUAUUUUUUUCUAUUUUUUUGUGUGGAUGCUGGGUUUAAUCAUCGAGAAUAUCUUUUUAAUUUAGGUAAUUAUCAAAUUAAUAAUCAUUUCCUUAACAUUGGCCACAGAUUGGCCUGUAAAAAUCAGGCCCAAACACACUUUAGCCGUCUCAUUCAUCAAUUGGAAAUGGCAAGUGAACAUGAGAUUUCCACAUUUUAAUGGUUGAAGUGGAGGCACAAAAUUCAUCAUUGCACUGUGGAACACGACUAGAAUAUUCGAUCUCAGUUCUUUCUUUUUAAUGCUUUAUUUAAGUGAGAAAUCUGAAAUGAAAUUACUGAGACAUAUAGAUCUUCUUAUCCCAUUAAGGUCAAUGUCAUCGUGUCAUUCAAAUACUGCGGGAAACAUAAUUGUACUUAUCAUUGCGAGAUGGGAGUAGUGGCAGAUUCAGGAAAUUUCAUUCUAAGGGCCAACAUGGAAAAAGAUUAAAAAAUUCCAAUAUUAAAAAAUUUCAAUACAAAAUAGACCCAUCGAAAUGAAAUAAUAAUAUUCUAAUUCAUAGUUAAUAAAUAAAACCAUACAAAAUUCUCAUGUUCAUUAUCAAAGAGAAUUGCAUCGACUUCAAAAAAUAAACACAUGCGGCAAUAAACCAAAAAUAUCUCUAAGAAUGUGAUAAUAAACCAAAAAUUAGCACAAUCAUUUUCGCCUUCCAAGGCGUCUCGUCCUAUUCGACAUAAGAACUUGCAUAUAUUAGUGUAAUCCUGCUCACUUUAGGUCAUUUAGGUCAUUUUUGAGGUCCAUCGUCGUUUUGAUUUUGAGCUUAAUAUGCAUGUCUGUUGGGCUUUAGCUCUCAAACUUUGACCCUUAUGAGUAAUGUCUUUGGGGGAACUUAUUCAAGCAAAAAUUUCUUCAAUACGUAAGAGUUAGGUUAUUAUUAUAAAACUCUUUGUGAAUUAAACAUCUAAGGCUUUAGAUUGACCUUAGGUCCCUUCAUGCAUUCAUAUCAGACAUGAAAAAUUAUUUUAUAUAAAAAUAUUGGCUAAUUAUAAAAAAUAGUUUUACAGAAUAAUCAUUUUCUCAAGAUAAUUUUUGGCGGCUUUUAUUUCUUACACAUUAAAUAAGAAAACUUGAUUUUAUGGGAUUUUAGUAUGAAGUACAUAUUUAUUUAAUGAGCCAUCAAUUUUAGCAUUUUUCAUAUUUUGAUUUGGUGGGAAUUUGAUUUUCAUAGUAUUUUUAUUUCAAUCCAAAUGGGGGUAACUUCCUUAUUUACACUGUAAACUUAAGUAAGUGGAGUAAUAUAAAAAUAAAUGAAAGUAAAUGGAGUAUUUUAUCAAGCAGUUUGUGGGCAAUUUGCAGAGGUCAACAUCUUCGCCUCCAAUGGUGGAUUCCGGGCUUGCAGUGGUCAAUUGACCCAUCUUGCCCCUAUGUGGAUCCGCCCUUAUGAGCCACAAAAAAAGUCGGACUAACGCACUAAACAUAAUUGUGAGAAUGUGAAGAAAUGUUUUAUAUUGGAAAGUUAAGAAACAUAACAAGCCUGAUCGUUAGAGAAGGUGUACUAAUUAUCUUCAUUUUGAUGUUAGAUCGCUAUGUUAUUGUAUUGGCCCUUGAUGGCUAGAUUGUAUUAGUCAUUUAUGACUAGUUUCUAUUGACCCUUUAUAAUUAAUGAUUUUUUAAUUAAAUUACAAAUGCAAUCCCAUAAUUUUUAUAUAUAACUACAUGAGCUAGAUGGUAAGAAAUAGAAUCACCACUUAAUUUUUAUAUAUAACUACAUAAGCUACAUAAUUUUUAUAACUAAUGUCUUUAUUUCAUAUUAUUUAAAGGAUGAGUAUUAAUUCGCAUGUAUGAAAUGGGGCAAACUAUAACUAACUUGUGGUUUAGUAAUAGGUUAUUUAGAAUGUUGAAAUAAUUUUGAGCAAUAGUUACUGAUAUUAGUUGUAUACGAUGAAGUGGCUAAAAAACACUAUUAAUGACUGAUAGUUAACAUCCCACAAUUAUUGGUGCCCGUUGUUUUAUUAGAUACUAAUAAUAACGUCUUUAGCCAUCUCAUUAUGUUCAACUAAUGUUAGCGAGUAUUGCUCAAAAUUGUUGUAGAGUCCUAAGAGCAACUCCAGCGGCAAGCCCAGCCAAAGACUGGGGGGAGAAAAAAAAAACCCCCAAUUCCAGCGAGGAGCUCAAGCCCGGGUUGGGAGUGGGACCCACGAAGUCGGGCUGGCCCUCAGGCCAGUUCAGCCCGAGCUCAAGCUCGAGGGCUGGGCUGAUGUCAUUGCUAACGCCAGGCUGGCGUCAGCCCACUCAUUUUUUUUUCUGUUACCAUGUGGCGUCGUCUAGGCUCUCCGAUCGAAUUUUUUCCUCCAAUCCAACGGCAGUCAAUUUUUUUGCAAUAAAAUACUGAAAUUCGGAAAAUUUUUAAAAAAAUACCCCAAAAUUAAUGAAUUUUUUUCUAUAAAUACUAGUCAAUUUUUUUUUUUAAAAUUUAUCUGAAAUUUGAAAUUGAAAAUUUUAUCCGAUUAUGAGAUAUGAAUAGUAUUGACACGUAGGAACCCGAAAAUCUUAUCCUAAAAUAUUAUCCAAAUUAAUUAUUGAGGUAAAAAAAUUUGUGAAAAAAACAAAAAAAAUGAAUAGUAAUUGCCCUUUGCCAUGGCAACGGGUGGAAACACAAAAUACUAUUUGCAAGGGCAACCACUAUUCACAUGAAUAGUGGCUGCCCUAGCUCUCCCCUUGCCAUGGCUAAUGGCAAAUGGGUGGAGUUGCUCUAACAAGGCGGGUCCUGAAUCUUUCAGGGCACUGGGCAAAUGUAAAAAAUUAGGGCCUAUAUAUAUAAUUUGUUUUUUUUAAACUUAGUAAUGGACUCACUCUCAUUUUUCAACCAAGAUCUAACCUAUCUAAAUUAACUAAAAAUUUAACAUUCAAGACAAAUAAAUUAUAUCAAUCGAAACUUGAACAUGAUUUUUUUGUUCAGAUUCAUUGACUAAAUCAUUAUCAAUUCCUACAAAUUCUUCAACAUGAUUUUGCUGUUCAGAUUCAUUGACUAAAUCUUCAGUUGAGUUAUCAAGUGAACUAUUUGUUUUGUUAAGAAAUUUUUUAUCUAGAGCUCCAUUUGAGAUUGAGUUCAUUUUUCUCUCUUUUUUUUUUUUUCUCUCUCUCUCUUUUUCUUUUUCGUUUUUGACUUCUAGAUGGUUGUUUCUUAGGGAACAUUGUUACUUGGAAACAGAAAUAAUACAAGAAAAGCCAAUACAAUUUUAAUACUUCAAAGAAUAAACAAAGAACAACAUAACCUAGAAUUUGAGAAACCACUCCACAGCAACAAACUUGAUAAUUCAAAAUUUGCAAUCAAUUAGAGCUUAGAGGAAUUCAUGCAAAAAGAAUGUGUAACUCAUGAAUCUACAAACAAACAAACAAACAAACAAAAAUCAUAUUUUCCUUUUCAUUUGAUAUCAAAUCAAGAAAAAUUACCUUCAAUUGAUUUCUAUAAUGGCCAAUUUUGCACUAUACAAAAGGCCACACUUUGGAUCUUGGAAUAUCCCCAAAGUACCAACAAAAAAUUAUUUAGGGAUUUACAACUCUGGAACUAGUAAGAGAGGCUUAGAUGAGAUGAGAUGAGAAAAAGAAGAGGAAAAAGAAGAAUAAGAAGAAAAAUUUAGAAUAGAUAACAUUAACCUGGAGGUGUGGAACGGUUAGCACAAAAGAGUUCUUCUUGAGGAGCGGAAGAGAUGAACGCCAUUUUUUUUUCUCAAAAAUAUUAAAUCAAUUUAUAAUAAUAUAAUAUAGCACUUAUAAAUAAAUAAAAAUUUGGGCCCCCUUGAAUAAUGGGCCUAGGGAAGUCGCACUGACUACUCCUAUUCAGAGCCGGGCCUAAAUAUCUAUGCCUGAAAAAACAAGAAUAAUUAAAUAAAUGCUUAAUUGCUACAUUGUACCCUGAAACAUUAGUCAAAUCCUACUUUACCCUCUUAAAGUUAAAGUGACCCAUUUUGGUCCCUUGACUAGGGUUUCAUGUGUCACUUAACCACUUUUCAUCAACUUCAUCCCAAGCACCGUUGAAAUGAUGACGUGGUAGGGGUAUAUUGGUCAAUUCAUCUGAGUUGGCAUAUUUCCCACCAAUCUGAGUUGGUGGCGUGGGUUUGUGGACUUCACCUCGAACAAAAGUCGUUUUGACUGCUGAUGUGGCGGUGUGGACCCCACUUGGAACAAAAGAUCCCCAAGAGCUCACGUUAUUAAACCCCAAUUGAGCUUGCUGGUGCGGAUAAAAAAAACCCUCAAUUUCACUUCCUCCCCAUAGAAGACGAUAGAACUCUAGAAAUCAGAGGUUGGGUUUCCACGAAAAUUUAAGAUGAAGCCUGAAAUAAUUGAAGGAGGGGAAUAGCUGGAUGUGCAGCACAUUUGCUUUCGUGGGAAGAUAGCUCGCUUACAAAACCCACUUCAGGGGUAAGUUUUGUUGUUCAAAGUCUCUAAAUUUUGUUCUAAUUUUUCUUAAUUACUAUUAAUGGUUGAUGCAUAGGAGGAAAAAAGGAUGUGGUUUUUUUUGUUUGGGUGGAUGUUGAAUUUCUACCUAAAGAGAAAGCUCUGGUGGCUUGGCUACUUAGAAGAUUAAAGGAACUGGAAAAGGAUGUUAGGCGUCGUCAAUCAAGAGAAAGAUAGUUAAUGGGUUGCUUUCUUCUUUCAUGGUGUAGGGGUUUUUUCUUUCUAGCAGUUGAAAAUGGGCCUGAACUGUUGUAAAUAGCGAAUGAAUGAAGUUACCUCUGUGCUUGAGUUCAAGAAUCAGGCCCCAAGAGUGAUUCGAAAAGUUUGUGGAGCCUUAAGAAGCACUUUGGUUCCUUUCACCAUCGAGACAGACAACUAUUACAAAUCAAUAUUAUGGCUUGCCUUGAGAAGCUUAUGGCAUGAGAGCUAAGCUUCCAUAAGUUUAGCAAUAGAGAGAGAGAAAGCUUGGAUUUCUUAUAGGAACCAGGGUUCAGAGCAAGAGGAAAGGGAAAUUUGAGAAUAUUUUGAUGAGGGAAAAGAGGGAAAGAUGAGGAUAAAAGGAUGGGUGACUUAAGUAGAUCUUCCAGCAGCUUGAUGAUUGCUUCAUCGUGCUCUGGAUGGUUGUUUUGCUGGAUAUGAGGUGCCCCUUUUUAUAGGCACUAGAAGCCCCUUCUGGUUCAGGAACCCUAGCUAACUUUCCCCAAAUUUUGCCAAGUCUUCUCCUCAAUUUCCCUUUACUUCCUUUGAUUCAAUCCUUUUUGGUGAAAAUUCCUUAAUCCAAGCAUAUUAGGGCAGAGCAUUUUGGGGCUCCAUGGUUUUCCUGCAGCUGACUUCUUCCAUCAUGGGUGAGGCACCUCUUACUUUUCAUUCUGGUUUUUCUACCAAAGUUUGUAGAGGAAAGAAUGGGUAAGGGUGCUGGUCUAAAAGGUGUCUCAUUUCCAGUAGCCAUGCACAUGGAUUUCACUUGGUUUUAACGAUGGCUUAAUUUUGAUUUGGUUUUAAUAGGGUGCUGGGAUUUUUUCUAAGGUGCUAGGCUAUUUAUUCUCUCUUAUCCUUACCCAUAUAUUUGGGCUGAAGAAAUGGGCCUGAGUUUGGUGCUCCCAAACAGCCUAAAACUUCCAUUUCUUGGACCAUCAAUAAGCCUCAUGAACACUCGUAACCAUCCAUACCACAACCUACUCAAUAAGCCCCAGGCAUUUGCGUGGCUUGGACCUACUUAAGCUUGUAGCGUGGCUUGGUACUAAAAUAAAGGUUUUCUUCGCUUGACAUUGUGUGUCGUGUGGUGUGUUUGUGCUCAGGCUCUGCCUUAUUGUAACGGGCUAUGGACGGGACAUUGAGCGCGGGUUCAUGGAACCAUUACAUUUUACAGGCUCAUUGCAACCUCUUUGCGUGGCGGGUUGCUUAUUGGCUUGGUGUGGCAUGCAUACCAUAACUUGUGCAAGAGCAUAUGACAAAUUCUUCCAUAACCCCCGUCGGGUUUCUUUCUCGAUUGAGUGUUGUAUUGGGUUAGAAAUAUAUUUGGGCCCAGCCUUGGAUUUUUUGGGCCUCAACACACGAGGUUUAGUAAUUAUGUUGUUUUGGCAGUUUCUGCAAAAGUUGUGACAUAAUUAAGCCAUUAGAGGUUGGCGAUGGAUGAAAUAUGGUGAUUUUGGAAGUCUGUAUUUUGCAUGAGUAUAUCUUGUACGGUUCGGGGGGUAAUCGGCGUACUCCGAUCAGUGGGGGAGAAUCUUUGGCUCUAUCGGUGAUGAUGGAUGAAUUAGGGUGAUGUGGAUGUAUUUUGCAACUAUUUGUAACAAAUCAUGUAUUGGUACUUAUCUAUUGAACAAAAUGUGGGAGGCAGUUUUAUAAUUGGCAUUAUUCUAGUACUUAUGUAAUGAAUAUCAAAAGAAUUACCAAAACAAUAGUACCUCCAACACUUCUUAACAGUUACCAAAACAAUAAUUAUGAACAUAACAAUUCCUCACAAAUAUCAAAACACAAUUUAUAACAUUACUUUCAAUCUGGAAAACAUUGAUGAAAAUCAAUACUAGUACUUGAUAUAUGUUACGAGCUAUCUAACAAGGUUUGUCCUAAAUAGUUGGACUUGCAAUAUAUCAAUUUAAGCAUCAUCCAGCACUUGCACAUCAUCAAAAUAUAAUACAUGAAAAGCUCGUCUAAAGAGUCAAUUCAGCCAAAUCACAAGACGUGCACAUCAUCAAAUUAACAGUUUAAUAAGAGGCAUUUUAACAAAACACGCAACACUUGCACAUCAUCAAAAUCUCCAAGGCUGAUAACUAUCUAACAACUCCUUCUUAUUGGUAAAUUUAUUCCUUUUGGCAGGAGAUUUGAACAUUUUUUUUUUGUACCAGUGCCAAAAGGCUGUAAUGAGCUUGCAGUUGGUUGAGAUCCAUGCAUACUUUGAGAACUUGGACAAGCUUGCACAGAUUGACUCCCUUGCACAUAUUGACUUCCAAUGGAAGUUUGAGAUCCUUGCACAGUUUGAGAAGCAUCCUUCUUAUUGGUAAAUUUAUUCCUCUUUGCAGGAGACUUGAAUUUUUUUUUUUUUUGUUUUGUACUAGUGCCAAUAAGUUGUGACAAGCUUGCAAUUGGUUGAGAUUCAUGCACAGUUUGAGAAGCUUGGACAGUUUGAGAAAAAUGGGCAGUUUGAGAAGCUUGGGCAGCUUGAGAACAUUGGCCAGUUUGAGAACAUUGGCUAGUUUCCAACCUUCUUUCGACCUAAAAAUUGAAGCACAAUGCAAUUUAUAUCAACUACAUAAAAUAUCUAUUCCUCUAAACACUGUUUACAGGUUACUUGUCUCUUGAUUGUCUUCUAACCCUCUUGGUUGAUGUGGUGACAAUUAUUUUCUUCACCCUUGGUUUAGAUGGGACCUGACAUAAGAAGAGAAUAACAUAAAAUAAAUAUUAAAGAUCCAAAACAAUUAUAAUUACAAUGUAAGAGAAUAGCCAAAUCUGACUGAAACUGUCUUUCUUUGCCUUAGGGUAGCUCCUCCUAUUAUGGCCUCCAUAUCUACAAACUGAACACUCAGCGGUUUCCAAGUUCUACCUUUGUAGCUUGGUGGCUUUCGGAUUAAAGGUUUGUGGUGGUUCACCUACUAAUCUCAUCCUCUUUUUCCUUGGUCUCCUAGGUUUCUUGUGAUACAGUGGUGGCAGCAAAAGAGGCCUAUGACACUAAAGCCACAAGUCUUCGCUUGUCAUUAGGUGCACCAUUGGACUAUAAACUCUCAUAAAUGCUUCCUUCUUGUAACAAUCAUCAACAUAAGCAAUAUGAUCCCCACUUAAUUGUCAAAUGGCAACAUAAGCAUGCUUGCAUGAGAUCCUAAUGAUAUCCCAUCUCCUAUAUGAACAAAUGUUCCUUGCCAAAUCAACCUCAUCCUAACUUCCAUCAUGGUUUUUCACUUCAUAUAAUUCUGCCCAACAAGCUUUGGAAUACACCAACUUGCUUCUCUCUUCAUCUUCUCAAAAAUGCUAAAAAUCCUUGGACCUAUGUCAUGUUUCCAUCUCUCAGAAGAUGCUCUUCUAGUUUCCACCAUCAACAUAAUAUAGUAUCUAAUCCUCUCAAGCAUGGUUAAAAUGGGUUUGUCUCUGGUUUUUAGAAGGGCACCAUUUAAAGUCUCACACGUAUUAUUCAAAAGGAUGUCACACUUAGAAUGAGUUUUAAAGUGAGCUCUACACCAUUGUGAUAGAUCUAAGGCCACCACCCAAUCAAAUGCAGCUUAGCUCAACUUUCUCAUUUUUUUUAAUCUCAGCAUCCCACCAUGGGAUGGUUGUGCUCCUUGCAAUUUUUUCCAUUUGCAAUUUCAACACCAAUCCUCUAUGACCAGCAAGCAUAAAAUUUGCUUCUAAGUGUUUAGGCAGUGUAUGUGCUCAACAUUUGGAAAAUGAUCAUCUACUACAUCAAUCAAACCUUUUUGCCUGUCUGUGAUAAAGACAUAGGAGUUGCUGUUUUUCAUUCCAAGGUCUUCUGCCAACAAUUGACAAAACGAAGACCAUGUUUCAUAAUUCUCCACCUCAACCACUGCAUAUGCAAUAUGAUACAUGUCGUCGUUGGGAUUCAUAGCAACAACAAAUAGUAAUUGUCCAGGGUGAUGACCUUUGAUGUGACAAGCAUCAAAUCCUAUCACUAGCCUACAUCCUUGCAAAAAAUUGUGUUUAACUACAACCAAGAAAAUGUAAAUCCUCUAAAACCUUGGUCUUUCACCUUCCAGCUCACAUUUGAUAAUUACUGUGCUCCCCACAUUUGUCCUUCUUAGUUCAGCAACAUAAUCCCACAAUAACUCAUACUGUUUUUGAUAAGUCCCCUCACUUAUGGCUGUUGCCUUGUGCCUUGCCAUAUAAAUAUGGGAUUUGGAAGCUAUCACACUGAGAUCUUCUUGUACCUGUUGUUUAAAAGAUCCCAUAUCCCAAUUAUGAAUUCUAGAUAGUUGAGUAGCAUAUCUCUGAGCUAACCAUGUUGAGUUAGCAUGAAAGUUUUGCUCAACUGUCCCACAAUCAUGCUCAUCAACAAACUUCUUCACUUGAACUCAUUCAUUGUUGAAGCAAAACAAACCCAUCAAGAAUUCCCUUCACACACUGCCCUUACCUUAUUACGAUAAUUUCAUUUGAAUUUAAUUAACCUCCUGUUUAUAAUUGAAUAGUUUCUAAUUGCUUUCCUAAAUAGGCCAGUGGUUGCAAAUCUUAAACCCACAUCAGCAGUCAAAACGACUUUUGUUCGAGGUGGAGUCCACAAAUCCAUGUCACCAACUCAGAUUGGUGAGAAAUAUGCAAGCUGAGAUGGAUUGACCAAUAUACCCAUGCCACGUCAACAUUUUAAUGGAGUUUGGGAUGAAGUUGACGAAAAGUGGUUAAGUGACACAUAAAACCCUGGUCAAGGGGGCAAAGUGGGUUACUUUAACUUUAAAGGGGUAGAGUGAGAUUUGACUAAUAUUUUAGGUGCUCACCACUUUAACUCAAGGUGUACCCUCACUACUAUUUUAAAAGAGUGUUGCUAUUUCCACCAACUUGUCUUAUUUUUCCACCUACCUUAUUUUCAAAAUUUUAAAGAUAAAUUUACUUCUUUAUAAAAUGACUUAUAAGGACUUAGGGAAAAAAAAAAAACAUUAAAACCAAUUUAAAAAAAAUGAGAAAAGGAGAAUAAAAAAAAAUAAAAAGAUUAACCCCACCUCACCCCAUCAUCUUUCGCUUCGCCUCCACCAACGCACCCCUCAUUCUUCUCUAUUGUCCCUCUUUGUUUCUUUAACAGUCACCACCCCACAAUCAAAAGAUCCCAAGCAGAUCCCCCCCCUAAAUUUUCAGUAUUAAUAAUAUGAAAGGACCUUUAACUGAGAUUUGAAUCAGCCAACAAUUCUAGGCUCUCAAAGUAUGCACCUCACAAUAGAGAGAGAGAGAGAGAGAGAGAGAGAGAGAGAGAGAGAGAGAGAGAGAGAGAGCAACAUCUGGGUUGAGUUCUGUGACUAGGGUGCUGGGCUGUGGGAGGUGAAUUUGAUGGUUGGGGUGUGUUGAAAUUGGUGGGGAGGGGAUCGGGUAAAACAGAGAGAAAGUGUCUGUCUUUUUAGUAUUUUAUAUUGUUUAUUAAUUAAUUAAUUAAUAAUAUAUUAUUAUUUAUUUGGUGGGUGGGAAGAUAAUGCGUAUUUUAGGAAUAAUGGUGGGUGGAAAGAUAAAAUUGUGUUUUUUAAAAAUUAUAUAGUGGUAGGAAAAUAAGAUGGGUGGGGAAAUAAGACAUGGGAGUGGAAAUAGCAGCACUCUUUUAAGGCUUGUUUGGUACACAAGACUGUCUUGGCAUGAACUAUGCUUAGGGACUGGCUUGGCUUGGCUUGGCUUGGUCUAAGUUGGAUAACACUUAUCCUGCGUUUGGUGUAUGCUUGGACUAGGACUAGAAUUUUUUUUAUUUUUUCAAAAAUAUCUAUAUAUAUGCAUAUAUGUAUUUUAUAAUAUAUAUGUAUAUAUACAUACAUAUAAUAUAUAUAUAUGUGUGUAUAUACAUGUAUAUAAGUAUAUUAUAAUAAUAUUAUAUAUUUUAAAUAAUAUAAACGUACAUACAUAUAUAUAAGUUAUAUAGGUGUAUAUAUAUAUGUAUAUUAUAAUAUACAUGGGUAUAAUACAUAUACAUAUAUUUAUAUAUAUGUAUGUAUAUUAUAAUAUAUAAUAUAUAUGGGUAUGUUAUAAUAAUAAUAAUAAUAAUAAUAUACAUGUAUAUACGUGUAUAUAUGUAUAUUAUAUAUGUAUGUAUAUAUACAUAUACAUUAUAUAUUAUAAAAUACAUAUGUAUAUAUAAUAUAUGUAUAAUAUAUGUAUAUAUAUUAUAUAUUAUAAUAUACAUAUAUAUAUGUAUAUACAUGUAUAUAAUAUAUGUGUAUAUAGGUGUAUCUAUAUAUUAUAAUAUAUACAUGGGUAUAAUACAUAUAGAUAUAUAUAUAUAUAUGUAUAUGUAUAUUAUAAUAGAUAAUAUAUAUGGGUAUGUUAUAAUAAUAAUAUACAUAUAUAUACGUGUAUAUAUGUAUAUUAUAAUAUAUAUAUAUACAUAUAGUAUAAAUAUAUAAUUUAUAUGUGUAUAUACGUGUGUAUAUGUAUAGUAUAAUACAUACAUGGGUAUAAUAUAUAUACACAUAUAUGUAUAUAUAUAUUACAUAUAUACAUGUAUGCUAUUAUUAUAAUAUUAAUAUGUAUGUGUAUAUGGGUAUAUUAUAAUAAUAAUAUACGUGUAUAUAUCUAUAUGUAUUUAUAUAUUAUAUAUGUAUAUAUGUAUAUAUGUGUUUAUAUAUAUAUGUAUAUACGUGUAUAUAUGUACAUUAAUAUAUAAUAUAAUAUAUAUUACGUAUAUACAUGUAUACAUAUAUGCUAUUAUUAUAAUAUUAAUAUGUAUGUGUAUAUGAGUAUAUUAUAAUAAUAAUAUAUGUGUAUAUAUCUAUAUGUAUUUAUACAUAGAGCUUCCAUUGAGGGAUCCCUCAAAUAAGUUAUUUGAGGGACACCCCUUGUAAGCCCCACUCCGGAUUGUAUUUCACUAAUCCAAAUCGUCUAUUUUGUAGAUACUCAUUCAAAAAUCAUCUCUACAAAAAACACUUGAAUCCAAUAUCAUUUGACCACUCAAUUAAGUUAUUGAAAUUUUAGCAUUUUCUUGAAGCACCGUGUUCAUUGAUUUUGUAGGACACAAUUGGAUGUCGAAACGGUUUCCGAUUUGUCUAAUUUUUUGUAAGGAUGAUUUAUGAAUGAAGACCUAAAAAAUAGAUGGUUUGGAUCAUUGGGAAAAAAAUUGUAGAAUACCAUAAAGGGCGUCUCUCAAAUAAAAUUAUUUGAGGGAUCCCUCAAUAGAAGGGGACUGUGUAUUUAUAUAUAUAUAUUAUGUAUGUAUAUAUGUGUUUAUAUAUAUAUAUACACAUGUACAGAGAGCUUCCAUUGAGGGAUCCCUCAAAUAAGCUUAUUUGAGGGACACCUCUUGUAGGCCCCACUCCGGAUUGUAUUUCACUAAUCCAAACAGUCUAUUUUGUAGAUACUCAUUCAAAGAUCAUCUCUACAAAAAAUCACUUGAAUCCGAUAUCAUGUGACCACUCAAUUGAGUUAUUGAAAUUUUAGUACUUUUCUUAAAGCACCGUGUUCAUUGAUUUUGUAAGACACAAUUGGAUGUCGAAACGGUUUCCGAUUUGUCUAAUUUUUUGUAAGGAUGAUCUAUGAAUGAAUACCUAAAAAAUAGAUGGUUUGGAUUAUUGGGAAAAGAAUUGUAGGGUACUCUAAAAGGCGUCCCUCAAAUAAAAUUAUUUGAGGGAUCCCUCAAUAGAAGGGGACUGUACACAUGUAUAUGUGUAUCUAUAUAUAUAAAGCAAAAGGCAGAGAAUGGUGAAACAUUCAAAAUACCAGAAAAUGCCCUUGGUUAAUGCAAACAUUAAGAAUUGAAAUUAUUAAUUAAAUGAGGAUAAUAUGAUAAAUUCACAAUUUUUCGUAUUAAAAAAAUUAAAAUUAAAAGAAAAUUCAGAUAAUGAGUCCUAUUUUUAUGGAACACAAAUAUUCAUUAUCUUUUUUAAUUCUAAAAUAAAUUUAAAUUUUUUUUAAAAAAAACCUCUCGCAUGCGCGGAAGCGCGUGCAGAGAGGCUAGUGUAAUAAUAAUGUAUAUAUGUAUAUACGUGUAUAUAUGUACAUUAUAGAAUAUGUGUAUGUAAUAAUAAUAAUAAUAAUAAUAAUAAUAGUAAUAUAUGUUAUUAGUAUUACAAUAUAAUAUAUGCAUCUUAUACAUUGGUAAACAUAGGACUAGCUAAUCCUCCCUUUCUACAUGGGCUUCGUAGUCCCCUCCUAAUGAGGUGUUUUUGGUGGGCCCGGUAUUAGCAAUCACAUCUAAGACUAGAAUUAAAUGAAACAAACAUGGUACUAAAUUUAGUCCAAGCCAGUUCAAGCUAAUCCAAACCAAGCCUGAGACCCCUUAAAAUCUUUACACAUGCCCAUGUGUAUAAUAAAUUAUUUUUAAAUCUUUUAAGUACUUAAAAUCAUACAAUAUUAUAAAAAAAAAUAUUUAUUAUUAAAAAAACACUUUCUCCUCUCUCCCCUUCCCCCUUCCCAUUCCUGACCCACACACAACCCCAGACACCCAAUUCUCUACAACUACCACCCACCCAACACACAUACACAUAAUAGUGUCCUUGAAUUGAAAUUAAUUAGUUACAUUUGAGACUCUUGAAAAUAAGAUUUCAACGAAAGCAUCCAAAACCUUUUUUUUUUUUUUUUUUUAAUUUUUAAAAAAACGUUUCAAUGAAAGUAAGUUUUGGAAAAAAUCCUAACUUCUUGUGAGAAAUGAGAAAGGGAGGUAUGUUUCAAGAUCCCCUGCAGUGAUAAGAGGAGAGCUUACGAAUUCCAAGCCCGGCUCAAAUCUAAAUGAGAUUUCAUAUCCGAAGCCGAAAAAGCAACGAAUAGAGACAAACAUGAAGUCACCACGUUUGACUGCAGUGCUAAGGUUAGGAAAUCUGGGCACAAAGAUAUCACAUAUUACUUGUUGCAUAAGAGCCACAACGACGGCGAAAACACCGAGAAAUGGUGGCUGGGUUUGAUGAAGGGGUAUACUAGGUUGGGUUGGGUUGGGUUGGAUUGGAUUGGGUCAGGAAGAGGGAGAGAGAAUGAGAGAGUUUUUUAAUGUUAUUUUAUUUUAUUUUAUGGUUUUAAAUAAUUUUUUAAAAGACUUAUAAGUAUAUUAUUAAUUGUGGUUUACACAUGUACAUGUGUCAAGUUUUUAAAAUGAUGAUAAGAAUAUACCUUGAGUUAAAAUAGUGAACAAAAAUGCUCACAAUGUUUCAAGAUAUACUGUAGCAAUUAAACCUUUAAAAAAUAAGUGGGAGAGAGAAAAGAGGUAUGAUGAACUUACCGCCGUGUGUGUGCGUGUGAAAUUGGUGUGCUGCCGCAUAAGUGCUCACUGACCCAGUUUCGUAGUUGUUUUCUCGAAAUUGGUGGCCUUCUGCAUCAUCUUUCUGGUUUGUUAGGGGUCCAUAUUCCGCACUCACAAACCCACUUUUCCCCUCUCAUUCAUUCCCUACUCUCCACUUUCUUCUCCAAAGAAACAAAGAUUUCAAGGAAUAUAUUCUUUGCUUUUUAUUUCAGUGUGCACCAUUCGUUUUUCUAAAGCUCAAGAAGGAACCCAAAUCCCCUCCCUAUCCAUUUUGAUUUAAAGCUCACAGUCCCUCUAACUUUUCUGUUUUUUCCUCUAAAGAAUGAAAGUCUUUGGGGCUCUAGAAGGCCAGAGCACUGCUCUUUAUUCUUAUACUUGGGCUUUGCUUUUCGGGUUUGCUUUGUUCUCUGCUUGUUGAAAGAUUUCAUUUUUGUUAGGGGCGAGAUGGAACCUGGUGUUCUUGAUAGUAUAAUUAAUAGGCUUCUUGAAGUUAGAGGGAGACCAGGUAAACAAGUGCAGCUCCAGGAGGCUGAGAUAAGGCAACUUUGUUUUGUAUCCAAGGAUAUUUUCUUGAGGCAGCCUAAUCUUUUGGAGCUUGAUGCUCCUAUCAAGAUUUGUGGUAUUUUUACAUGAAUCCCAUAUUCUCCUUUGUCUUAUAUUAUUUCUAAUUUGCUUUUUGUUUGAUGGGUUGAUAAAUUUUGAGUUUGAAUAUGAAAACUCUGUUCUGGGUAUAAAUAAAUAGUAUUCUGCUUGUGCUGGGUAUGGAUAAUUUUUAUUGGCUUGAAAUGGGUUAUGAUCAAAUCUGAAGAUUAAUAAGUUGUGUUCCAUUCCAUCAUAAAGUGAUCAACAAUCUUGCUAAAAUGUGUCAUCUUUAUGCUCAAUUCUCGACUAAAGGGAAGAAUCACAUGGCUGCGAAGAUCUUUGAAAACUCUGAAAACUUAGGAUUCAUAUUGGAUUCGAGAUGUAUGGACACUCGUAAAUGCCUAGUGGUAUCUUUUGAUAAUGCUCUAUUGUUCGUCUUCUGUGUAUUUUUCUUUCCUGUAAAACCUUCUCUUCUGUCUACUUUAUUACUAUUUGACUUUCAAUUUGUUUAAGCACUAUACAACGUUGAGCUAUGGAAAGGUUGAGGCCUUGAGUGCUUGGGAAUAUUUGCUGGCCAAUUACCACUACUAACCACAACCCUAUAAUUCUUUUUGUGUUCCCUAGUUGGCACCACUUCAGUUUUUGAAGUGUAGGGAUAUUCUUCUCCCUGGAGAGCAGAGGUCUAUAUGUAUGUUAUGUCAACACCACUAGAAACUCCACAAAACAAACCCCCCUCCCCCAAACUGUAGUGUAAUUUUUGAAAUCCUCCAGUGUAGGGUUGUUAUAUCUUGUGCAGCUGAAAUCGUGCAUGGGAUGAGUCCUUGAUAAUUUCAGUCGUAAUCUGUUUAUCUAUCUGUAAUUACAUCUUUCUAUAUUAUUAAAACAGCAAUUCUUAUUAUCUGUCUUCACGUGAGUUUCUUAAUGUCACCCAGGUGAUGUCCAUGGUCAGUAUUCAGAUCUUCUGAGGCUUUUUGAGUUUGGCGGAUUACCUUCUCACUCCAACUACUUGUUCUUGGGGGAUUAUGUUGAUCGUGGGAAGCAAAGCCUUGAAACCAUAUGCCUUCUCCUUGCAUAUAAAAUAAAGUAUCCAGAGAAUUUUUUCCUUCUGAGGGGCAACCAUGAAUGUGCUUCAAUAAACCGAAUAUAUGGGUUUUUUGAUGAGUGUAAACGAAGAUUUAAUGUCAGACUCUGGAAAGUAUUUACAGAAUGUUUCAACUGCCUUCCUGUGGCAGCUCUCAUUGAUGAGAAAAUUCUCUGCAUGCAUGGCGGACUAUCUCCUGAGUUAAACAAUUUAAAUCAGAUUAAGAGUUUACAGCGACCUACUGAUGUCCCAGACAGUGGUUUGCUAUGUGAUCUCCUGUGGUCUGAUCCUAGCAAAGACAUUCAAGGUUGGGGACCAAAUGAGCGGGGAGUUUCCUUUACCUUUGGUGCUGAUAGGGUGACCGAGUUUCUUCGGAAGCAUGAUCUAGAUUUAAUUUGCCGAGCUCACCAGGUCUUAUAUAUCUUUUAAUUUGAGAAUUUGCCAAAAUCACACAACCUAGAGUGUCUUCCACUGACUGGAUAUCAUUUAAUUUUCAGGUUGUCGAAGAUGGAUAUGAGUUCUUUGCCAACAGACAACUUGUGACAAUAUUUUCAGCACCUAAUUACUGUGGUGAGUUUGACAAUGCUGGGGCAAUGAUGAGCGUGGAUGAGUCUCUUAUGUGCUCUUUCCAGAUAUUGAAACCUGCUGAAAAGAAGUCAAAGUUUGGCUUUGGGAGUAGAGCUUCAGCUAAGCCGGGUACUCCAAUGAAAGUCAAGGUAUGUUCAUCUGUCUCACCCAAUUUAUGAAUCUUUGGUUGAGCGUAUAAUGAGGGCAACAUAUGUUUACUUGUUUGCCACUGAUACAAGAGGAAUAGCUAAUUAUAUAGAAAUAUUUUCCAACUAUCAUCCAUGCUGAUUUGAGCACAGAAAAGCACUGUACAUCCAUAGAUGAAUGCAUCAUUCAGUAAACUGUGUUAUGGUACCUUGGACCUGUUGCUUCGGCUUGCCAAAGAGACCCCGGGGCAAUUAAGCAAAAUAAUUUUAAUGGGUUGUAAAGAAAAACGGUUUCUAAGGCAUGGGUACCGAUGUGAUAUCACAUCUUGAGUUGCAAUUGUAGGUUUGUUCUGUUGAGUCAUGUUGUUGUAGAAACAUUUCAAUUUAUGGUCUAUGUUACAGGGCAUAGGAUCUUGCUGUUCUCAGUGGUUCGAGUGUGUACUGGAAUUUAUAUUUAUGCUUUCAUGAACCUUCACUUUAUAAUUGACACUUGCAUGCCUUGUUAAAAUGUGUUUUUUUCUUUUUCUUCCAGUCGUUUCUUGGUGCAGUGGCGUAAGGUAUUGUGAUAUGAGAUCCUGAAGAAAAUAUCUGGUCCUAGGUUGGACAGAGGUAAUAAGGUUGCAAUUUUAGAAGUCCUGAUUGCUUUCAACACAAGGGACAAACACAAUUUAGCAAAUUCCUUCAGCUAGGAAGAGUGCAGAAGAUCUUCCGUGGAGAAUCUGCCAUCAUAUGAAGUGAGACUGUAAAACAUUCCAUGUAAGAGUGGGGAAAGUUGGAAAAAGAGUUCGGUUGAAUCAUUUCUUUCUUUUUUUGGUUAUUUGGGUCUUGCAUUUCAAUAUUAAAUAAUAACAGUUUACAGUUGUAAGACUCACUGUCAGUAUUCUCCUCUUUGUUCAAUCUGUCUGUUAAGCAUAGAACGAAAAUAAAGUUGAAAGGAAAUUUGGGAUUGAAUUGUUUGUUGUGUAUUUUGAAGAUAUAAAAGUCCUACAUUGAAAACUUAACUAAAUAAAUUACAAUUUAUAAUAAAUAGUUCCACUCUUAAUAAUACCGAAAUCUUUUGUGAUCAAAUUUCACAUCUAUCAGAUUUUAUAGAUUGUUAAGUUGGAAAUAGUAUCGGUAUUAAUUGUCAAGCGCGAAAGUGCGUGCAAAGAGGCUAAUCAUAUAUUAAAAAAAAUAACCCUACCAAAUCAGAUGCGAAAUACGUCGAAUAUCAUAAAGUUGUUGAUAAAAACAAUAAAAUGAUAGAGCUGAUUGAGUUGGCCGACUUAGUGGGGCCGGCCCAAUGCCCAUACACCCUUGAGCAAGAGGAAUAAUGGGGCUACUUGGGCUUCCCUUGGCUUUUACUCGGUCACAUCUUAAGGAAGGUAACAAAGAACAAUGAACUGACUAGCCUAAGCAGGAAGACUGAGAAGACCUUGUAUAUCACAUAAAUAAUAUUAUUUUGCUAUUUUAAACUAAUCACGUUCUGUUACGUUGAUAACACUAUUUUCUCAUAAGGUUUUUUGUCCAAAUUUUCCUUUUGAUCCAUCCAUCCAUCCAUCCAUCCUAAUCUACACGACUUAUACUUUGAACCGCGUACCUCAGAAAGUUAUGAUCAAAGUCUUGUGAUAAAGACUCCAUUGAUUCCUUGAUGGACCACUUUCAUUUCAAAUUGUAUUCGGCCUUUCAUUCUGGAAGAAAAAAAUGAAUUAUUCCGAUGGGGAUUCUUUAAUGGUAUGUGAUGCCUUUUUGACUUAAUGUAGUAGAUCAAGUUGACUUGGCCAAACCCCAUAUUGGCUUUGCCCUCUUCCUCAUGCAUUGCUUUUGGCUUUCAUGUUCUGUCCCAAAUUAGGUGAGUGCUCCUCUAGAUGCUUUCUUUUCAGCAACCAAGGGUGGAACUACACCAUGAAUAGGUGGGCUAUAGCGUAGUGCAAUGUUUGGGAAAAAUAAAAUUUAGUACUAACUUUAAGACAUUACACCUCAAAUCACAAAAAUUAAUCUAGCCCGCUCAAGCAAAAAUUAGUCUAUCUUAUCCAAGCAGAUCUCCAGUUAGCCAUAUAUAUUUCAGAGAUUUCAAACUUUUUCUCUUAUGAAUGAAAUUUUAUUUAAAUCUUAUCUAUAUAAGAAAUGAUAGCUCACCCUUAUAAAAAUUUAUGAUUCCUCCCUUAUCAACGACAUCAAACUUACUCAAGUUAUUGUCAGGCGAUUUGAUUAAGUGAACGAUUCUCACGUUAACCUAGCACUACAUUGUGGAAUUGGAAUUGAAAUUGGACCUAAACGAUUUGGAUUUUAAGUCAACAAUUCAAGCUCUCUAGAUUUCUUUGUUGGGUUUGGGAUUGUUGUGGGAACUUUUUUGUGCUGUGCUCGAAUCUUAUCUAUAGCUAUAUCGCAUACUGGAUGUCUUUUUGGAUUGUGGUGCAUUGUGACACUGCUUGACUAAUUAAUAUGCUUUUUGUACAAAAGAUUAACAACCUAUUAUCCCAAUUUUUAGUAAGAUAAAAUUAUAGGAAAGGAAUUGGAUAUGAGGAAAUUUGAUUCCUGAGACAUGGUGUAAAACGUUGGAAUUAAGGAAAAAAAAAGAGUAAACAAAACAGAUUUCUUUUUUCUGUUGGUACAAGUGAAAUUGGAGGAGGGAGAAAUAGAAUAUAGGACCUCAUAUGCAAGAGUAAGUACUCUUAUUCUUAACCCACCUAAUUAUUUGAUAUUGUAAAGCUCUUAGAUACUGCGUUCAAUCCACAUUGUCUUUGGGAGCAAAUAUUUUCGUCUCCAAUCACGGCACGCCAGUUUAUCUGGCCAAUUAAUUAAUAGGGAUAAAUAUCUUAAUUAAUAUGAUAUUAUCUUUAUUUAAUAAGAUAAUAUCAUUAAUUCAGAUAUUAUCCUAAUAAAGAGAAGAUAAUAUUGUUAAUUCAGAUCUUAUCAUAAUAAAGAGAUCAAUAAAGAUAUAUAAUCAAGUCUGACUCGAUCCCUACGAACUUGGGUAGAGAAUAAACUCAGCAUAUUCUCUACAAAACCCUAGCCCCGAGGCUCCUAUAAAUACACGACCUCAUUUAUCAUUCAAUCUACAUCUAAACUUACUCCUAAUACCCGAGAAAAAUACCCGAAGCUCUCUCUCCACUCUCCACAUUUUCUUCACACGGCUCCGGCCACCACACAUGGAUUGGCCGCCCGAUUCACACACUGCUCGGCCGCUCGGUUCACACACGGCUCAUUCAUCAUAUCUAAAUUUACAUCGGAGGGACGUUGGCCAACACUUGAGUGUGGUCUAUUUACUCCAAUAUUUUUUUACAGGAAUCGAGGAAGAGAGAAGAAAAAUCGAAGAUUGAAUAAUCUAAAAACGAAUAUUCUCCUGCGAGAUUAUUUGCACAAACAUUGUCAUUAUCAUCUUCAUUUAACAAAAGUUUUUUUUAUAAAAUAAAGAUGAUAGUGACAAUGCAGAUUUAACGCGGUAUCUAAGAACCUUAUAACGUCAAAUGAUAGGUAAGCAUGCCAGGCUCUUAUUAUUGAACUUUAAUGUUUUGGACUAUGUUCAAGUUGUUAUGUAGUAGAGAGAGAAUGCAUGAUCUCGACACCUAUCGACUCCAUCCUUGUCAUUUCAAGUAGUUUUCUUGACCCUUACCAAAUUUUAACCUAUAUAAUAAUUUCAUUAUGAAGUCCAGAUUAACAGACUCAUCCAUAACCUCAGCGUUUUCCCCCUAACACUUCAAUAGUAAUUAGCUUGCUUCACACAUAUCCAAUAUGAGAUUUCGACUGUUUCCUCCUCAUCAAUCUAUUAUAUUUUGAGUCCCAUUUUACUCACCAUCCUUAACUCAUGUGCAUUAUUCGUUUUUCUAAACGGAACUGGUAACAAUUUACUAGCUCUCUUUGUUGUUAAAUAAAUAUUUUUUUAGUACGUUUUUAUAUUAAAAAUUAUAAAAUAAAAUCAUAAUAAAUUAAAAAAACCUAACAAUUUGAAAGGGAAAAAAAGCAUUUAUCCCCUACCCUAAAUGUUGUGAUUUCUCUCUCUUAAUAUAUUGGGGGAAAAAACCUCCUUGGCUCAUUUGUCGUACGCGUUAAUUCAUGUUUGGUGGGCCUAUCCACAGCAAAGAGGUGGGGAAUUGAUGUUUGGCACAACUUUUUUUUAUUUUCUUUUUCAUGUCGAAUCGAGAAAAUCGAACCUGAGACAAUAUUUGAAAGAGAUGGUUUUAAUUUGAUAUUUGCUUAUGGGAAAGUAAAAUCUUCUUCUCUCGUCAGUUUGGUUGACCCUUUUAAUUAAUUUAUUUUCAGGAAUUUUUAGUAGGUGGUCCAUUUGAUAAGCAUCCAGAUAUGUAGUGCUUGCGGCUAGUUGACCUUUUUAUAAUAACCGUCUGGUUAUAAUUUUUUUAGCUAAAUUAUAAAUGCAAUUCAAAAAAUUUUAAAUAAAAAAAGAAGAGAUAUGUAGUGCUUGCAGUUUACCAACUUGGUGUGCUUAAAGACCUUAUAAUCAAUUUCAUAUUAUGCCCCAAUUUUGCAGUUUAAUUUCAACAUUUUGCAGAUACCUAUAUAUUAUAUAGUUGAUAUUUUAUUUUUUGUACAAAAUAAAUAAUGGUUGACAUUGUUGGCACCAAUUUUAAAUUCACUCAGAGAUUGAAGAACAAAAUAUUAUGUACUUUGACUUUAACAUGUAUCCUCCUGAACCAGCCAAACAUAAAAAUAAAACUAAAAUUCGGUUUUUGACUUUUAAUUCCUCUGUCAUCGGGCAAGCAAAGAUUCAGAAAUGUUUCCUAACAUCUUUUCAUUCCGCCGUAUUCCAUCCAUUGCUGAGUUCAGCCCACAGGAAAAAAAUACAAACAAACAAAGAAAGAAAUAAAAACGUAACGUAUUGCUUGAAAAAGGAGAUAACAACACCGCAAGCGUAUGUGACGUUGGCAAUGGCAACACCUCCAAGGAUUUGCAUAUUGUCAUCAACUCUCUCUCUCUCUCUCUCUCUUAAAGAUACAAAUCUUUUGUUAUGACUUUGGCAUUGUGACUUUAUUUUAGCUUAAGUUAAGCUUCCUCCAGUGUGCGUCGGGCAUUGUUGAAACAUAUUGAACAAUUAAUUUGAAAUCAUCUAUGUUAAUUCUUAUUACCCAACACCACAAAAAAAUCUCUAUUCAAAAAUCCGUUCUUCCAAAAAAAUUAGUCAAAUCGAUAAUCGAUGAAAUAUAUUAUAAGAAAAUAGAUAAAUCAAUUGAAAUUUCAUAAUAAUGAUUUAUGUUUAAAUGGUGUCUGAUUUGAUUGAAUUUUUUUUUUCAAGAAUGAUGGUUGAAUUAAGAUUUUUUUUUUAAACACAGGAUAUAUAGUCUAAACUACAAAGGGUAGAGAGGAUUCACUCACACACAUAUUACUAAGGUGUUAUAGGGGUUCGAAUAUAAGACUGCUCUAUAUAUAAAUCAAGACAUUUUUUUAUUGGACUAGACUCCGUUAGCUGGACAGUACAUGUGAAGACUUGAAUAAUUAAUAAUGUAAUAUGUGCUACAUAAUUAAUAGUUUGGAAAUACAAUAUGUAGAAUUUUCCGCAUAAGAACAAUAUUGAUACACACACUAUCCUUUAAAAAGCAUUACCAAUACCACAGAAAAUUAUGCGGCCAAUGCAAUGCAAUUCCAUUGUAACAUCAGACUUCCACCCUCUGAUCAUAUAUAGAUUCAAUGCUGAUCAUGCAUGGGCAGUGAUAAUCAAAGGGCAACCUACAAGUCAUAGGCACUUUCACUUUCUUGGUUAGCUGGAACUAGUCUUCUAUGAUUCGUGCGAAUUCCUUAAUACAAUUGUACACAAGUUAUUAGGUUAUUACGUGCUAGGAAUAGUGUUCAUCAUAUAGGCACGCAUUUUACAUGUACCCUAUAAAAUUCAGCCUCCGAGUAUUAUAUCAGCACCAAAAACAAAAACAAAAAUAAUUGUGGCUAUUUUGCAGUGAUUUUCAUUGACCUUGUUUUGAAGAUCACCUGUAUGCAGACAGUGCAAUCAUUUUCAUACUAUAAAAGAUUUAAUAUACAACUAGUUUUGCUAGAUCUGUAUAUAUGUAGAUGGGUUGCCUUGCAUAUAUAGGUUUUUUAAAAUGAAAAUAGACAUUAUUAAAUUUUAAUUAUCUUCGAGACUUUGAAGACCAUAAAUUAUGUGCUAGUACUUUAAGCCUGUAUGUGGAGGAUAACUUCCUCGCAUUGGUUUUCACCCUUUUUUUUUUUUGUAUGUCACUCUUCACGUGAGGUGACACUUAUUUGAAGUCACAUUCACGUGAUGAGAGAGAUAAUAUAGAGAAGAGAAUAAAAACCAGGGGCAUGUACCCUAUUGUGAAAAAACGUAGGUUGGUGGGUGGUGUUAGAGGAGAGAGUGGAUGGCCAUUCAUGUUGUGAAGGGGUCAGUCGAGUGGCUAACUUAUUAGACCCGCAACAAUGCACUGCACAUUGGAUUUAGGCUAAUACGAUUGAGCCCUGCUGUAUGCACCGCUGUCCAAAUAAAAGAUUAAGCUUAUAUAUAAAGCCUAUAAGAUUCUGCGUCAUCCAUUAGGUCAUGGAUAAAUCGUUAUCAUCCAGAAGUUCAUCAGUCGGUCAACGGUGGACAUAUAAAUUUAUAUUUAAUACUAACGGCUAAUCCUAUUUUAUAUGAACAUGUUGUAUCAAUUAUAUAUAAUUAAGAUGCAUUGUCACUUCACUUGUAGAUGUGAGCAAUUAACUAAGACAGUGUGUUCACUACUUUACACCCGAGUUCGAAUCUCCUUCCCAUCUAUUAAGAUAGGUGAUAUACUUCACUUGUAGAUGUGAGCAAUUAACUAAGACAGUGUGUUCACUACUUUACACCCGAGUUCGAAUCUCCUUCCCAUCUAUUAAGAUAGUUUAAGAUAUCACCGUGUCACAAAAAGAUGCAGUGCCACUCAUUUGAGUGUAGUUAUGCACUUGCAAGAAAAACUAUAGGCAAAAGACUUGGUGACUUCUGCUAGGCUAGCUUCCUUUGAUGCGAUUGCUACCAACUCCCUAAACUUAGUUCCAUCAAACCGUUUUAUACGUUCACCUUGAAAAUAUCCAUAUACUUUUUUCUUUUCUUUUUUUAAUUUAUUUUAAAAUACGUAUGAUUUGAUGAGAGGUCUCAAUAUAUACCAUCAAUCAUUUUCUAGGAAAAAUGUUUGAGGUUUCCCUCUUGUGGGAUGUCAGUCUUUGUAUACGGUCUCGUUGGAAGUUGCUUGGAAAUUGUUGGCAAACAUCAGAUAGGAAUUUCUCAUUUGCCACUUCAAUACUUGUGACAGUAAACAAGACCAACUUAAACAACCCAAAUUAUAAUUUAACAUGUAUGCAAACAUUUUUAAGGUUGUGUUUGGUUUUACCAUUUGUUCCAUGUUUUUGUUCUCUUAUAUACAGGCGGAGAAGAAAAACCAAAGAUAAGAUUAAUAUUUGUUACCAGCUGGUUGAGAAACUGUCUGUACAAGUAACAAAAACCCAUCAUGUCCGACAAAUAGAGGUGAUCUAGGGCUUUUGCCUUGGGCCCUUUCUGAGUAUUUUCGACUCGGUUUUUUUAAAAACUGAAUUGGCUUGGCUCACUAACUUUGGUCUGGUUCCAUUCAUUAUUUCUAUUGUCACAGUUUAUUCAAAAAUGGAAGUCACUUCAUGUUGCACUCCUAAAGGCAAACACACGUGACAUGACACACCUCCAAAUAUGGUCCCCAAUAGAAAAAAUGAAUGGAAGUAGAACCACUUGUAAAAAGGUGCCUAGACUUUUCAAGUUCAAUCCUUAAACCAAAAAGCAAUUUAAUUACGUGGUUUCCUAUCUUCCAAACACUUAAUCAGUUAAUGAUCCUUGCUAAUGGGAUUUAAUUUAAUGAAAAAUGGCCUUCAUUUGUAAACCAAUAGUCUUAAAUUCGAAUACCCAAAACACCUUGACAAUGUGUGUGAAAAUCUCCCCUCCUUCUUCCUAACUUUGACAAACAAAAAAAACAGUUAGCCAUCUUUUAUAUAUGUAGUUUGCUUGCAUCACUGGCAGGAGUUAAAAAGUCCUUUUCGAGUUACGCAUUUCCUUUUACAUGAAUUAGAACAUGACUUGCAUGAAAUCCGGCAAGAAAUUAUUUUUAAAAAGAGCAUUAUAAGAUGACGACGAUGGAAUUAAUAUUCUGAUUUGGAAUACCAAGUUUCCCUCCUACUCUUCCAUUAUUAUAUGCAACUUGGUAAGAGCAAGCAACCCAAUUCAAAAUAUAAUGGAAUGGCUUGACACUAGGCUUCAUUUUUGCUACCAUUGCAUCGGGUUCUGGCCUUAUUCUUUUGUGACUUAUACUCCAAUGAUUGAUUUGUAUCUUUUGCCUUCAUCACAACCAUGUUUGAUCUUCUUCUUUUUUUCCAUAGCUAAUGAUUUUAUCAAGUGGUUAACAGUAUUCAGUUUUGCAUUCGAAGUUUCGUGUUCAAUUACUCUUUUUUUUUUCUUGUAUAAAAUAAAGGAACUUACAAAGACAAUCCCCUAGAGUUCCCAACAUUCCGUACAUCAAAAUAGAUAUUUACUAUGCUAAAAAGAAAAUUAGAAAACCAGGCACAAGGGGCUGUAAAAAGUUACGUCCUAUAUUUGCUAAAAGAUCUGCAAUUACCCCUCUAAUAAAAGUGAUGUUGACAAUCUUUGGAAACUUGUAAUUACAAUAUAAAUAACCAGGGAAAUGCCAAAGAAGAAACCGUGUGGUUAUUUCUAAGAUAAUGAACUUAAUCAUAAAUAAAUGAAGAAGCAAGAGAUAGAGAGAGACUUUGUUAAAGAGUUGACCGGAGAAGCUGCGCCAGCAAUUGAAGCCAAGUAUAUGCCUAAAGAUGCUAGAAUUGAUUCUAAGGUCAGUGACCCUUUAAAUAGUCAGCUACUUUGCUCAUUAAUAUCCACGCCAUAACCCAACAGCACGACAACAUCUUCUUCUCCCUCCUCCAAAUGCUAAGUUCAAGAAGCAGGUUAGUUCCUGCAAUCUCUGUUUUCUUUUGAUUUGUACCUGCAAAGUUUUCAGACUUUGAUGCAUGAAAUGAAAUGAAAGCCUAACAGUUAAGUUCCAUGUUUUUCGGAACUGGUUUCUUAAUUUGGAAAUUAGGACCACUUAAAGUAGAUAGACUUUUACUUUUUCAAGGUAAAAGGUGAUCGUCAUGGUAGGGCAGCCCCUUGAUCUUCCAUUGGAAGUUGAGGGUUUAUGUAUCCAACCAGAGGAGGGUGCCCAUAUCACACUAAGGCUCUACUUUUAAGGGCUGUUUUUAGCCUCUGUGUUGCUGAAUUUUUAGGAAAAACAUGCUUCAAUUGUUUCUUUUCAUUGGCUCAACCAAGAAAAUAAUACCAUAAUUAGAACAAAUGCUCAUGAACCAGAGUUUGCUUGUUCUGAGCACACUUGAGGUCUGCCUUGUCCAGAAAAACUUGUGUGAAACUGCUAUCUCCGGUCAACAACGGUGUGCCACAGGUGAUAAUUUUUUCACUUGGCAUACUGUGAUUGGACAUAUAUAGCAAAGCAGUGUUAUCUUCGUUCCACACAAGCGUUUCUCCUGCCUCGUCCCACAUGCACCAUACUUCAAAAUAUUUCUUCACUUAGGACCGACUCCUUGGAAAUUUUGAAACUUCCUCAGUUCUGAUUUGUUUUUUUUUUUUUUUUUUUCACACAAAUGAUAUGAAUUCCAGUUUCUGGACCAAAAAAAUAUGUGGCGUUUGUUUCUCUGUCUGUGUUUUUUCUCUUGUUCAAUUAAAGCCAUUCAUGGAGUAUGCUUGCAACUUGCAAGUUAGCCCCAUAUGGCAGGCCCUUGAUGUUCCCCUAUCUGUCUUCAUUCAUUCAAAUCCCAUAAAACCUACCAUUUAAUUUCUGUAAAUAAAAAAUACUUUGUCGAUUCUUCCUCCCUUUUUUUAAAUAUAUUUAUUUUGUCUUGAUAUGAAAAAGUCUACGUACAUUAUGGAAUGAGAAAUUUUUAUCUUUAGUACAAUAAUUGAGAAGUUAGAAUAUGUCACUUCUGGAUGACGUUUUGAAUCGAAUUUGAAAAACAAAAAUAUAUCUGUUUAAAAUUAAAAAAAAAUUACUCCUCCUUUGAAGUCAAUAGUCAACCACAGUCAAUUUGCCAAAACGCUAUAAACAAAACCAGCGGUGCAAGUACUACAAUACAAAGUUACAAACGAAAAAUGGCCUGCGUGAGCUGAGCCAAGUAGUUGGUCCAUCAAUUCCAUCGAUGCAGACCUGCAGACUGCAAUGAAUAAAAACAAGCAUUUCCUUUGAAAAUUCAACAUCCUGCUCCUCCUUAUGUCAAAGUGAUUACAAGCUAGAAGAAAACUUGGUUGGUUCCCAUGUCUUUCUUUCCUUCUUUCACGGUAACACAUAGUCAUGAGCUAAUUUUUCCUCUAAGUGGGUAUGCUUCUAGAAAGUUAUGAUUUAUGAUUUUGAUUGAUCUGGGGUCACCAAAAAAUGAUGGGAAUUUUAUUUAUUUAUUUAUUUAUUAUUUAUCAUAUGGUCAAUUAAGUUGCGGAAACAAUAUGUUUCUUGUAUUUUCUUGCUUCUGAUGCAGUGAUUAUUGAUUUUUCAUAUGCAGAACAAUUUAAUUUUCAGCGGGCAAUUACUAGCAAGCGAUGGCUAAAGAGCAAUUGGGAGUGCUUAAUGCACUCGAUGUGGCCAAGACUCAGUUGUACCAUUUCACUGCAAUUGUGAUUGCAGGAAUGGGGUUUUUUACUGAUGCUUAUGAUCUGUUCUGCAUUUCCUUGGUCACCAAGUUACUCGGCCGCAUAUACUACACGGACCUAAACCAGCCAAAGCCGGGCACAUUGCCUCCCAAUGUGGCUGCUGCUGUUAAUGGUGUGGCUCUAUGUGGCACCUUAGCAGGCCAGCUCUUUUUUGGUUGGCUUGGUGACAAAUUGGGUCGUAAAAAGGUCUAUGGGAUCACCCUUGUUCUCAUGGUCCUAUGCUCCGUUGCAUCAGGACUUUCAUUUUCUGAUCACCCAAAGGGUGUGAUCACCACUCUUUGCUUCUUCCGGUUCUGGCUUGGAUUUGGCAUUGGUGGUGAUUAUCCGCUUUCAGCUACAAUCAUGUCUGAGUAUGCCAACAAAAAGACUCGCGGGGCGUUUAUAGCCGCGGUGUUUGCAAUGCAAGGAUUCGGUAUUUUGGGUGGUGGGAUUGUGGCUUUGAUUGUGUCAACCGCGUUCGAUCACAGUUUCAAGGCUCCUGCAUACUCUGUGGACAGAGCUGGUUCUCUUGCGCCUCAAGCUGACUUUGUUUGGCGUAUCAUUUUGAUGGUUGGAGCUCUCCCUGCUGCUCUAACUUACUACUGGCGUAUGAAAAUGCCCGAGACAGCUCGGUACACAGCCCUUGUGGCCAAAAACGCCAAGCAAGCUGCAUCAGACAUGUCUAAGGUGUUGCAAGUUGACCUUGAAGCUGAAGAGGAAAAACUAGAGAAAAUUACUCGAGAGAAAUCCAAUACCUUUGGUUUGUUCACCAAGCAAUUUGCUCGUCGCCAUGGUCUUCACUUGCUUGGCACCACUUCCACUUGGUUCUUGCUAGACAUUGCCUUCUACAGCCAAAACCUUUUCCAAAAGGACAUCUUCAGCGCCAUUGGGUGGAUCCCGAAAGCAGAGAGCAUGAAUGCAAUUCAUGAGGUUUAUAGAAUUGCAAGAGCACAAACACUCAUAGCAAUGUGCAGCACUGUCCCUGGAUACUGGUUCACUGUCUUCUUCAUUGAUUACUUGGGCAGGUUUACAAUCCAGUUGAUGGGUUUCUUCUUCAUGACAGUGUUCAUGUUUGCAUUAGCAAUUCCUUACCACCACUGGACCUUGAGGCCCAACAGAAUUGCAUUUGUUGUCAUCUACUCAUUCACCUUCUUCUUCGCCAAUUUUGGACCCAAUGCCACCACAUUUGUUGUGCCAGCUGAGAUUUUCCCAGCAAGGUUGCGGUCUACGUGUCACGGUAUAUCAGCUGCAGCUGGGAAGGCUGGGGCUAUUGUUGGAGCAUUUGGGUUUUUGUAUGCAGCACAGAGCAAGGACCCUACAAAGACUGAUGCAGGGUACCCACCUGGUAUUGGUGUGAAGAAUUCUCUAAUUAUGCUUGGUGUGAUCAACUUUUUCGGCAUGGUGUUUACUCUGUUGGUGCCAGAAUCCAAGGGAAAAUCACUUGAAGAGCUGACUGGUGAGAAUGAAGAAGAAGAGGGGGCAGAGCAGCAGGCCAAUUCUACUAGAACUGUUCCAGUUUGAUGGGGUCGUUUAAUCAAAGCUUUGUGAAUUUACAAUGGUUUUUAUUUACUUUAUUUGUGAUGCAAUAAAAAUAAUUUUUAGAUAUAUAUAUAUAUAUAUAUAUAUAUAUGCUUGUGGAAGCCUAAUUGCAGAAGCUAUUGUAUCGUGUUUUCGAUUUGUUUCGAUUGUGUAUGUUGUUUAUUUGUACGAUUUUUAUUUUGUUCUGUUUUGAAAUAUAUUUCCACCUCUUUUUGCUUGCAAUUGUUUGAACAAGCCUAAUGGAUAUCUUGGAGUUGGGGGAAAGCAUAUGCAACCUAGUUUGCAAGCCCAAAUUUGAACCCAUUUCCUUCUGUUUUCUGAAUUCAACCAGAGAUGCUCGAAUAUGAAGGAUUUUAGUCUAAAACUUUUGUUCAGGGAAAAGUGGUGUAGUUGUUUGUUGCUACUUGCAUCUCUUCCUAGACAAAAGCAUAUAUACCCUUCAACCAACGGCAAGACGCAAAAUGCAAAAAACUCAGGAAAAUAUAUAGGUGCCCUUCACACGGGUAUUUUUUAUGAUACUAAAGCAAAGUUCAGUGCGACGACCAACUAGCUCUUGCUCUAAUGGCUUUUCUUCUCGAUGUGAAAGGAUUUUACAAGUUCGAAUAUAAAAAUAGUGCAAAUACAAACCAGUUCUGCAAAUGCAAAAUUUGAUGUAAGUAAUGUCUGUCUCCGUCUUCCAGUAUCCAGAAUCUGAGAGAUAUGAUCAAAUGACCGGUCUAGUAGUUGUAGUUCAUAGCAUUCAUGAUGAUAUGUCAAACACAUGCCGGAAUGUUAGAGCCAUUUGUGUUGGACCAUCUGAAAUUGGAUUUUUUGUCUCUCCUUCUUGGUUAAGGUUAAACUAGAGUGACACUUCAGGUUUUCUGACCCCCAAAAAGUGACAAUGGGGGCAGAGUUAAGCUUGAAGUCUUAAUUCCAACCCUACAUACAAUAAUUAGAAAACAAAACAACAAAAACUGUGAAACCAGAAAAAUGUGCAAGUUUGUGAGACCCUAUUCAAGAGGAAGAGAAUUUGACUACCAAAAAUGAGGAAAAAUAGGUCAAGAUUUGAACGGUUCGGCCGAUUUUUUGUCCACAAAAAAAUCUGUCUGUUGCAUGAAUAUAUUGUAUGCAUAAUUAAUAUUAGAAGAGGGUAAUGUGAAAACAAUAUUUUGAACCUAUUGGCAGCCAAGAAAAUGCUUAAUUAUUGGACUGGUAAACUGGCAAAGUUUAAAACGAGAUGGUUUAGACUGUUUUGGUGAAAAUGGUGGGUAGGAUUUCCAGUCAUUGACUCUUACCAGCUUUGCUGUACUAGUAGCUAGCUUGGCUUGAAAGGGAAGGUCAUCACUUCACUAGGAUGACAAGUUGACUAGACAAGUCAAAAAGUUUGGAAAAGAAGGCAUGGGGAUAAGGAGGAGGGUGAGAGAAGGUGCAUGUGCAUCACUAAUUUGAAAUUAAUUAUGUGCCUCACACUUCUUAAUCAUCUAGCAAAUCACUUGUAGAUAUUAAUAAUGGAUUUGAAGGUUCAUAACAAAUGUAUGAAAAGAUCUAUAUAAAGUUAAAAUCUUACUAAAAGUUCAUCCUUUUGUGUCAAAUUGUUAUGAGCAUUGAUGCAAGACAUUUUGCAGGCAACGCGGCUGCAUUCAGUUCAGUUAUUUUCUCGCAUGCUCACUUCACUUGGUGACAGAUUUGCUUCUAAAUCUCUUGGCUCAUGUGAUUGGGAUCGCUUGCUCCCGACACUUGGAAAAUACGUAAACAUGUUUUUCAUGAAUGAAAUCAUCUUUUUCAGAUUUGCGUCUAAAUCUCUUGGUCCAAAAUUGUCUUUGACGUGAAUGAAAUCAUCUUUUUCCCCUGUAGAGUAACAUGUUAGCUGUAACUUGUAAGCAUACACAAAGAAGAAAAGGACAUGCUGCAACUUGCAAGGAUACCAAGACUCUUUGAGACAACUUGGUUGCAUCAUCUUUAGACUUGUUAGUUCUUCUUUCAGUUUCGAUCAGCAUACGAAAAUUUUGGAUAAAAUAUAUACACUUCCUGCGAUAUUUUCCUUCACCAAAAUUUCAAAACUUGCCAAUCUUACAUUUGGGAACCAUGUUCUCAUUAUGUAUAACUAUAAGUUGGUCCACAUAGAAAUAUUGAAACGCCAUCCAACUAGUUCUCUUUCAUGUGACAUCACGUCAACAAAAACAACUUUGAAACCACAAAUACAUGGGUAAGUUAUAGCGGCGGUCCUACGUUUUGGAGGUACUAGGUGAACAUCCUAAAUGAGGCCUUCUACUGUAUAUGUAUAUUUAUGUGAAUUUUUUUUUCUUUCUGUGAGUUAAAAAUAUAUUAUAUGAACUCAAAUUCACAAUUGUAACAUAAAAGAAACAAUCAAUGUGUAAUUUACACAGCAACUUUAUAAAAUGCAUCACUUAAAAAUGUCACUCAUUUUUCAUUUUUCGAUUCAAAAAUAUCAAUUAACAUAAUCAAGUUUUUCUCCCACGUAUUUUUCAGUUUCCUAAUUGAUUCAACUAGUUAAUUGAUUUAAGUUAUAAGUUUUAAAAAAAAUUAGGUCUUUAUUGAGUUUUCUCUUUUUAAUUUUGAAUUUUCUCUUUUUUCAUUUCGCUUUGUCUGCUUGUGCCCAGGGCCUCUCCUGGUAGGUUAACUUACGUGUAGCUAGGGAUAUCUUUUUUUCUUUAUGAUCAGGUUGGUUGAAUGAAUAUAAUGACCUCACUUUCGUGAGAACUCAGAAACUUUGGUGGUCCAACUUUUCUUGGCAUUCAUGAGUUGUUUAAAUCUAUAUGGCUAGCUUUUCUUUUGAAAUCGUAGCUUUUUUACUUUGACAUACAUAUUAAUCUGUGCUAAGCAUCAAAACACCAUGCAUGCAUGUUUUUCAUGCGAAUAUCUCAAUUUAGAUGCUUUUUUCUAGACCAAAAGCUUUGCAUUUCAAUUCAAAGACGUAUCAAAAAUGUGGUAAAUGUGGUACCACCUCUCUAAUAGAGGUGGAGUCCACCAAUAUAAUGGGGUUCACCUCUAUUAGAGAGGUGGUACACAAUAUGGUAUGAAAAAUGUGGUAAACUUAACAUUUUCCAUCAACUAAUCACAUAUAUUAUUUAUUUAAGACUCCAAUUAAACUUCUAUUAUGUGUUAUUGUCAUUUGACAACAAUAUUAGAUAAAAAGAGCAUUUUAAUACAUUUUUACUUUAAAAAAUUUCUCGUAGCCUUGGUCUACUGGUACGAUUCUUUCUCUUUCGAAAAUUAGAAGAUAUCUCAAAUUCAAAUCUCUGUCCUCAUUAAUCAAAAAAAUAAAAAUCAUUUUGGACAAUGUAUAUAUUUUCUUCUUUGUAAUGCUAGGGGAGCAACUCGUCUCAAUUUUUUUCUUUUUUUCUUUUUCCUAUAAUUGAUCUGCUACCCACCCAUAGUGGCUGGGGCUAUCUUAUCUCAGUUUUUAAUAUCAACUAAUAUGACACAUACCAUAACAAUUGGUAUGAAUAAAGACAUAAAAUUAAGUUCAUGCAAACAAAAAUCUAGUUAAAUUAGGAAAUGCACCCAAGUCUAUUGUAUUUAUAUAUUCCUCUCGGAUUUUAAUCUUGAUUUGAUGUUCACAAAUACUGAAUGACAGAGCAUAAUUAAAUUAUAGAAGCUCUCAUAGAAAUUAUUCCAAUUUUCCUUUUUCUUUAUAAUUCCCUCAUAUAGUCAUCAAAAGAAUAACACAAUGGAAUAAAGUUAGACGGUUAGACUCUAAAACUAAAAUGGGUCUUGCAAGGAGCUUGUAGAUGUUGUGAUUAAAAGUAAUUUUUCUUGCACCCAAGAUCUUGUGUUCAAAUUCCCUCCUUCAAUAUAGUUUCUACAAAAUAAAAUAAAAAUGAGUUAUGUAUUUGGACGUAGGGAAUAGUCAGAAAAUUUUUUGUAUGGGUAAAAAAAAGGGUUUUGGGAAAAAUAAAGUUACUAUGUUGACUAAUAGGAAAGAUAGGGUCAAAGAAGAGAGGUAAUGUGAGUGAGAAAUAAGGGGGGGAAUAUGCCUGGUAAAAACGAAGAUUCCUCUGAACAUUUACUGAGAGAUGAUGAGGGUCUGUUGCAGUUAAAUACGGAACCAACCCCGCUUCCCUUCCCUCCAUUCCCAUACUUUCGCUCGCUCGCUCCUCCUUUUCUCUCUGAGUCUAAAUAUAAUACAAAGAAAACCACUCUCCUUAGCUUCAUCACUCUCUUUAAACCUCUCUGUUUUCUUUUUCCACUAGUAAUUGCAGUAAGACAAGGCAUUGGUUUUUCUCCUUGCAGUGUGAUUUCCUCAUAAUUGCAUUCAGAUUCUCUCACCUUCGUUUUCAGCUACGGCUACAAGGUUUGCCGAUUCUUUCCACUCUACCUUUUUUUUUUUUUUUUUCUUUUUGCUUUGAUUUUUCACUCAUGUGGGUUUGUUUUGUUCAUAUCUGUUCUUCAAUUGCCUGCAUAAUUUGGGAUCAAUCAAUGCCUGGAAUUUUCAAUUCCUUUCUUUCUCAGCUCUCACAAGCUUCAUUCUUUUCCAUGAAAGUUUAUAAAUUGUAACAUAUUGCAGAGAUUUAUCUAAUGCACAUACAUUUGUUCUUUGUUUUGCUAAGCCUUGUGUUGCAUUUUGCAACGUUAUCAAGAACCCAAUAUAAAAAUUUAGAAAAGGCAAACACUUUUUCUUGAUUUGGGCACGUGAAAAUCAGUUUCUUUUCAUCUUUGGUGUUGGAUGGUAAUUGGGUAAUUACCGUAAUGUCAAGCAACUUCGCCAUCUUUUGUUGCUCUUGUUCAAGAAUAUUCCUGGAUGUGUCUUUUCUGUUUCUUCAUACUUCACGUCUGUUCUCAAAGAAAGCAGAGGAAAAAGGGAGAUAUUUUAUUUGCGUGACAGAUUUUUCAAGCGGUGAAAUGAAAAAGUGUAACUGAAAAUCAUACUAUAUAAUCUGGGCUUCUAAAGCACAAUUCUUUCAUAAGUUUUCUGCUUCAAAGUAAAAUUAUAAAGGUUUGUUGCUUUCAACUUUUGCGUUCUCUAAGCUCCUGUAGUAUUGGAGAUCAUUUCCCUGUGUGUUUUUUUGUUUCUAGUUCUUUCUUUGUUGUGUAGUGAAUCAUUAAUUCUCCUUUCUUUGAUGGAAAUUGGGUUGCAUAAGAAAUUAUUUAACUCUAUGUCUACCCCUUUUAUUUUGUCUGUUUAGAGCACAGAAAACGAGUAGUUGUAGUUGCAGUUGUAGAUGCAGAUGCAGCUGUGUAGUUUGACCAUAUCCCUGCUUUCAAGAAUUUUAAAUUCACUGUUUGAAAUUCAUAUGUAAAUCCAUCUGUCUGCUAAUUCAGCUGCAUCCAUUAGCAAUUUAAUAUAUUCUGACUGAUGAACAUUUAAUUUAGUUUCUGAAUUUGACAUAGACCAACUUUUGUUUUCUUGUUAUAGAAGAAGGAAAGUAUUUUAUUCCACUUUCUUUAGAAUUAAUUUCACUUUAUUGACCCAUGACUUCCUGUGCUCUGGGUCAUUUUCUCAUGUUUCCUUUUGUUGUCAUCAUUAUCGCGAAUUGGGUCUACCACAAUGGAAAAACCUCUUUAGAGGUGUUAAGUUUGAACUACUAUUACAUGACAUUAAUUUUGUGUGUGUGAAAAAUUUUCCUCUUCAUUUGCAAAUUAGAGGUCUUAAGUUUGAACUCCUAUUACAUGACAUUAAUUUUGUAUGUGUGAAAAAUCCAUCCCCCUCUAGUUUAGACUAUCACUUCCCCUCAUGCUUCUCCUAAAAUAAAAGGUCGUGUGGUUUUUAAAACUCAUCUGUUCACGUAAGCUCAUUGAUUGUAGAGGAAUCAAAUCAACCCCUAUUUUGUCUUCUUCUCAAUACCUGUUUUCUUUUCUCUUUUGUUGUGCAAUCACAAGUUUCAUAGAUUGAUUUUUUUUUUCUGCAAUCAAAAUUUCAGGUUAAACAGUUGAAGAAAAUACAACAGGGCAGACCGACUUUAGAGAAGGGGUGAUUUUGUGAUGGCCAGGGAACAACUGGAGGUGCUGAAUGCACUUGAUGUGGCGAAAACACAAUGGUACCAUUUCACAGCAAUUGUGAUUGCUGGCAUGGGCUUCUUCACAGAUGCCUAUGAUCUCUUCUGCAUUUCCCUUGUCACCAAAUUGAUUGGCCGCAUAUAUUACCAACAACCUGGAGCUGCAGAGCCUGGAAGUUUGCCUUCAAAUGUCUCGGCUGCUGUUAAUGGUGUGGCCUUCUGCGGCACCCUCACAGGCCAGCUCUUCUUCGGCUGGCUUGGUGACAAAUUGGGCCGAAAACGGGUCUACGGCAUGGUCCUUAUGGUCAUGGUCAUAUGCUCAGUUGCAUCCGGCCUCUCAUUUGGGAGAGACGCCAAGGCUGUGGUUUCGACACUUUGCUUUUUCAGGUUCUGGCUAGGCUUUGGAAUUGGCGGCGACUAUCCUCUCUCAGCCACUAUCAUGUCUGAGUAUGCAAAUAAAAAGACCCGUGGAGCCUUCAUUGCUGCUGUGUUUGCCAUGCAAGGUUUUGGGAUUUUGGCUGGUGGAAUGGUUGCAAUUAUAGUAUCUACAGCAUUCAAGCACAGUUUUCCUGCACCCUCUUAUGAGGCUGAUGCAGCUGCCUCUAUUUUCCCACAAGCCGAUUAUGUUUGGCGAAUUAUUUUGAUGUUUGGUGCACUCCCAGCUUUGCUUACUUAUUACUGGCGUGCCAAAAUGCCCGAAACUGCUCGGUACACUGCCUUGGUUGCCAAGAAUGCCAAGCAGGCUGCUGCUGAUAUGUCGAAAGUUUUGCAGGUUGAGGUAGAAGCAGAGCAGGAGAAGAUAGAGCAACAAGGAGGGAAUGCUUUUGGUUUGUUUUCCAAGGACUUUCUUAGCCGCCAUGGCUGGCACUUGCUUGGAACUACCAGCACAUGGUUCUUGCUGGACAUUGCCUUCUACAGCCAGAAUCUAUUCCAAAAGGACAUCUUCAGUGCCAUUGGCUGGAUCCCAAAGGCAAAGACCAUGAGCGCUCUUGAAGAGGUCUUCAAAAUUGCCAGAGCACAAACUCUCAUUGCUCUCUGCAGCACCGUCCCCGGGUACUGGUUCACCGUGGCAUUCAUAGACAGGAUUGGAAGGUUCACAAUUCAACUAAUGGGGUUUUUCUUCAUGACAGUCUUCAUGUUUGCCUUGGCCAUUCCUUACCAGCACUGGACUCUUAGAGAGAACCGAGUUGGGUUCGUUGUGAUGUACUCAUUGACCUUCUUCUUCUCCAAUUUCGGUCCGAAUGCCACGACAUUCGUGGUGCCUGCAGAGAUUUUCCCAGCAAGGCUGAGGUCCACAUGCCAUGGUAUAUCAGCUGCGGCAGGGAAGGCUGGGGCAAUUGUGGGUGCAUUUGGAUUUCAGUAUGCAGAAAAGGGUAUUGGGGUGAGGAACUCCCUCCUAAUUCUGGGUGUGGUUAACUUCCUAGGGCUGUUGUUUACAUUCCUGGUGCCUGAGUCAAAGGGAAGAUCACUGGAGGACCUGUCUGGUGAAGCAGAGCAAGAAAAUGCAGCUCCAUCAGAAUCAAGGCAGCAGGAGAUUGAAAGUGGCACAAGAACUGCUCCAGUUUAAUUAGGCUUUUUCUUUUCUUAUCAGAUUAUUAUAGCAUUGUUGUGUAGGAUUUUUCGAAUGGUUGAUCAUGUUGCUUUUAUCUUCAUGCUCGGAGCCUGUUUAUUGUUUGUGGUAGCCUACGUUCCAAUUAAAAGUAAUUAAAAAGAUAGUUGGCUAAAUGCUCCUAAUUUUCCCAGUUGUA
rnacentral:lncRNA from 1 species